GGGUCAUUAUUCAAACACCAAUCACAUUUUUGUUUUAAAACACCCUUUCAUUUAUUCUUUAAGCUUCUUUUUUUUUUCCCAAAAAAUGAUGAAUAGAUAUUGAAAAUUUUGUUUUCAUUUUUUUAUUGAAAAAAAUGAAAAACACCAAAUAUUACUGCUUCCUUGUCCAUUCUGUUUUUCGUCCUAUAUUACCUUAAUUUUAUAUCGUUUUCUCUAUUUCUAUUUUUAUAGUCCAAUUCUGAAAACACACUAUUAGACACAUUUUUAAAUUGAAAAACACCAAACAUGGCGCAUCAUUUUCAUUAUAAGCAUUAACACCUGACGUACACAUUCUCCAAAUGGGACUAAAAAUGGUGACUCCUUCAGAAAUGAAGUUGUACAAUUAGUUUGAAUUGAGUCGAUACAGAGACGUCUCCAUUGCGUCAUCUAUUUAACUGUCUUGUGCAACCUUAUUCUGUACAAGUAGGAUUCCACAUUGGCCAAGUAUAUGCAUAGUUGCUGGUUUAUUAACCCCAAAACACCCUCCACUUAAUUCAAGGUCUUAAAGAGAAGUCCAAUCUUACAGGUUCGUUAACAUUUUAAAGGUAAGUUUUAUCUUGUAACAUUCACACAAAAUUUAUAAUCAACUGGGGCGGAAAUUUUGAAAAUACUAUGAUUAGCACAAGCAUUUCAACAAUAAAGGAUGUAAUAAAAGCUCAUUAAGUUUAAACUUGAAAGGAAAAUUAGGGCAAGGUCAUUUCUUUAAAAAGAAUAAGGCAAGCUGAUGCACGGCAUGAAAUACCUGUGACCAAGCCUCAAAAGAUUCAUCCCCAGUAUUUUGCUUGCCGACGGCAUAAGUACACUUGGCUUCCCAAACAAAUAAUUGCUGGAGCUCGGACAAUGCAAGUAUUCAAUUUAACUUCAUAAAUAUCAGCCAGAGCAUAAUUACACUUGGCUCCCUAACGAAUAAUGCUGGAGCUCGGACAAUACGAGUAUUCAAUUUAACUGUACAUAGAUGUGCGGGGUUUUGGUGGUAAGUAAAAAUAUGUGAGGAAAAAUACUAAAGAAACUGAAGCUGACAGAGGGCAGGCAGAAUUAACUACAAAACCACCAGAUUUAUCGUGUUUUUGUCCUGUUAAUUAAUUGUUUUCAAUUAACACGGUAACCCGGCUCGGGUGUUAACUCUGUUUCUGUCAGUGCUCUGUUGAAUAUUUCUACUUAAAAAUCAGCACUCGCAUGUAAGUAGUAUGGCAGCAGCAAAAUAUCAUGUGUAAUAAUUAGGCUAUUAGUUCCGGGUCCAGGAAUCGAGAUAAUCAGAUUAGGUGCAAAAGCUAUAUGUACCAAUUUAUGUAGCCAUGCAUAAUAUAUUCAUUUUUUACUUGCAAAUUCUUCCUUUUCACAACUUUAGGUACAACUUUUCCUUUCCUUUUGAAGGCCCACUCCACUGGCAUAGAGAGUAAAAAGAGUUUCUUAUAAAUAAUUUUAGGAGGAUGCUUCUGCCACGACAAGUAAUACCAUAAACAAAUGAUUUCACCACAUUUCAAGAAAGCAUUUAACUUAUGCCUCAUUUUCAUUCUAGCAAUUUGCUUGCCAUUGGCUGAUUGGAAAAAGUGCAUUUAAGUGAUAGAUUACUGUCAACCUAUAGCACGAAUAGGGGUUAAACAAAGUAAAUCCCUACCUUUCCAUGUCAAAUAAAAGACUUUCAUAAUAUCAAAUAUCAAAACUCAUGUCUAGUAAAGGAUUCCCCAAUGCUGGCUCUCAAAAUUGCUUUUGUUUCAUGGAUGAGAUGAUGGUUUUUGUGGAUAUUCUGCUCAACUUGGAUUAUGACUUGGGUCAGAUCCCAACUUGCUGCAAAGCUCGCCUGACUAAAUCUUAGUUGAUUUGCUUUUCCAAACUAAAUCCAAGCAAGUAAGUACAAGAGAUAAAAGCAAAAGUUCAAGCAUCUCAUUUGAGCCUGUCACUAACAAAUAGUCAAUGAGCAAUGUCUAGCUAUGACUGAGCAACAGAAUCAAUAAACAGAGACAAAAAAUAAUAAUCAAGUCAUCUGUCAAAUGCUAGUCCAUGAAAAUCAUAUAUAUAUAUAUAUAUAUAUAUAUAUAUGUAUGUAUGUAUAUGUAUAUGUAUAUGUAUAUGUAUGUAUGUAUAUGUAUAUGUAUGUAUGUAUAUGUAUGAUCAUUCAUUUCUCAAUCAACCACCAAAUUGAUGUCAACAAAGCCAUGAGGAUUGUCUCACAAGUCUUUCAUUUUCCCUCUCUUUAGGCCAGAGACCAGUAAACCAUUUGAAAUAUGGAUGUGCAAACCAGUAAAUAAAUCAUGAAGUUACACACUAGUCUGCUUUCGCACUCAUUCAGAACUAUCAAUGAUACUUACUGCAGGUACGGUGUAUACAUUAUACUAAAGUGAAGGCUGGAUCAAUAAGAAAUUCAAAAUGUUUCAUCACAUUUGGAGCUUGAUGAUGCCAAAGAAAGACCAUACUAAUUAUGAUGAACAGUAAAAUGUGAACAAGAACAAGCAUACAUUUAAGAAAGCAGAGAAGCAUCAUUAAAAUAAAGUAUUCUUCUUACUAUUCUAUGUUGUUGGAAAAUGGACCAAAAUAAAAAAGAAACCAUAUAUGGUUAACGUCACAACAAGGGUAUUUGUGCAUUUGUACAUCAUAGGAUAUUGGGAAGACAUCAGCAAAGAAGUGCAAAUUUUUUUUUUUGAGGAAAGGAACAGAGAAGUGCAAGUCAAAAAGGAGAAAAAAUGAAAAGAGAGAGAUCAAAAGGAAUGCAAUCUAAUUAAUCGUCUAAGGAGACUACUAUGCUACAUUUAGCCAUUGGUUGAAUAGGCAGCUUGUUUUCUAGUACAACUUUAAAUUUUCCAAGAUUUAGAAUUUUCCUACUGAAGAAAACUAAUUUCUAAAUCUGCUAUUACCAUCUUCAUCCCAACGGUAAGCAGCUCCAUACUAAGGAAAGAGUGAAAUAAGUGUGCUUUACUUAUAGAAGCCCAUUCUUGUCCAGAGUGAAUAGCAAGUUGUUUCACCAUGACCCCCAUUAUGGUGACUGAAAAAAGAAAAAAAAAAUAUUUGCCGUGUAGAGAAUUCAGAUUGUGAAGAUGAGUCAACAGUUGACCCCAAGGCCAUGUUGGCAUGCCACCUGAGCAGCCAUAUCCAGCAGCCAGCUGAUGUAGAAGCUGAGGUGUAUUCAAUGAGCUGGCAGAACAGUUAUGCAGGGGAAUAUCUACACGUGAAUACUGCAACCUGGAGUUUCUAGAAUGUUUUCAAUGAUUGGCUAGUGCAGCUGUUAUCUUUUGUUUUAUUCAUUUCUGUUAUCCUUUGAGCAAGCUACCAUUUUUCUCGUUUAGUAUAAAUAUGUGAAGAAUGUGUAUAACUUAUUAAUUCAUGUUAUCAUAAUAUACAAAAGGGUUGUUUGUUCUCUGCUGCUUGCAUAUUUAAGCAAUUCGUAAGAAUUUCAAGUUGGUAUCAAAGCAACUUUUGAGCUAUGGAAAGCAGCAGAAAUUCACAAACAAACAUGAAUCAAACACUGGAAAAUCCAGAUGAUCAACCAAAUGACUUGAAUCAAAACCAACCUGAAAAUAUCGACAAUCAGAAUCCAAAUAAUAACACCAGAAAUGUGACCAUAAUGAACCCAUCUCCUACCCAACAUAUCACCAGCAACACAUAUGUGUUCACCACUCCCAUCAAGUUAACACAGAACAACUUCAUGCUCUGGAGAUCACAAGUGGUCUCCAGCAUACGAGCCAAUGAGCUUGAAGGCUUCAUAAAUGGAAGUUAUACAUGUCCCCCUAGAUGUUUCACCAGUCCUGGACCUAACCAAAUUGUUGUUACCCACCAAAAUCUGGAAUAUCAAAUCUGGAAGAAACAAGACCAUAUUUUGUUGAGCUGGUUGCUCUCAUCACUCAGUGAGGGUGUCCUAGGCACUGUGGUGGAUUGUUCUACUUCACAUGAAGUCUGGACAACUCUUACCAAUCAGUAUGGUGCAAGAACAAGAGCUAGAAUCCUGUAUUUAAGGACACAGAUUCAAACCACUAAAAAGGGCUCUCUUACAAUUCAUGAAUAUUACUCCAGAAUGAAAACUAUCUUAAAUACACUUAGAGCAGCUGGAAAUAAUAUGAAUGAUGAGGACUUCAUUAUAUGUGUCUUAGCUGGAGUAGGAUCUGAAUAUGACUCUGUUGUCACUAACAUUAAUUCUAUGCCAGAAACUCCCUCAUUAUCAGAGGUCUAUAGCAUGCUCCUCAGCCAAGAAACCAGGACUGAGCAAAAUCUCAGUCCAGGGACACUUAAGGCUAACUUCACACAGAUGAGAAAUGGCAGAAGGAACUGGGGCAAUGGUGAAAUAUUUGGUAAUCAGCAACAACCUGGGAUAGUUUUCAGAAAUCCUAGUGGUGGUUUUGGAAAUGGUGGUAAUGGUGGUCCUGGUCAGGGAAAUCAAAAUGGUCAAGAUAAAGGGAAAGCCAAAGCUGUUGCAAAAAAAUGAAAGCUCUGAAUCAAAGGGUCCAUGCCAAAUCUGCUUCAAAAUGGGACACACAGCUGCUGAAUGCUGGCAUAGGUUCAAGAAAAAUUAUAUGCCACAGCCAAAUAGGAGAAGAGGAGCCUACAUGGCCACAACAGAAGGACAAAGCAGCAAUCCCUGGUACCUUGACAGUGGUGCCACAAAUCAUGUGACCAAUGCCAUUGGAAACAUGAACCGGAACUCAGAGUACCAAGGUAAUGACAAGCUCACUGUCGGUAAUGGUAACAAACUUCACAUCUCUCACAUUGGUUACUCUAUAUUGCCCGCUUACUGUCCACACAAACACAUUAAAUUAAAUCAUGUUUUAUGUGUACCUGAUAUUACCAAAAAUCUCAUUAGUGUUUCCAAAUUGCUUCAUGAUAAUGAUAUUGAUGUUGAGUUCCAAAAAUCUGUUUGCUUCAUCAAGGACAAGAGCCAAGGGAGAAUUCUGGUGAAAGGAGUGGCUAGAGAUGGAUUAAAUGAGCUGCUAUGCAUGCCCACUCAUUUGAGUGGCAACAAGGUCACAUAUGCUGCUGAGUUAUCUUCAUCUUCAAUACCUGAGUCAAUAAGUUGCAUUAGCAAUCCAAUGUCAAUGGCAUGUUUUAAUUUCAGUGUUGAUAGUAAUGAGUCUUUAGGUACCAGUGUUGUUGAGUCCAGUAGAGUUGGCACAAGCAGUAGGAAUUUUAGAACAAAUGAAAUGGAUCUUUGGCACCUUAGGCUGGGGCAUCCAAAUGAGUCAGUUCUGAAAAAUACUCUUUUAUCCUGUAAUCAGCUCAACUUUAAUAAAAAUAUAUUUCCUUCAUUUUGUGAUGCAUGUCAGUAUGGAAAGCAAUCAAAGCUGAACUUUAAAAGCAUUGAAACCAAGACCAGCACAGCCCUAGAACUGAUACACAGUGACCUCUGGGGGCCAGCACCUAUUCCAUCUACCCAUGGGCACAGAUAUUACAUAUCAUUUAUGGAUGACAAAACAAGAUAUACAUGGUUAUUUCCCUUAACAACAAAAUCACAGGCCCUUGACACAUUCAUUGUGUUUAAAAGCCAAGUAGAAAACCAGUUAAAUUUAAGAAUCAAGGCUUUACAGACAGACAUGGGUGGAGAGUUUAAGACCUUCGAACCCUUUCUCAAGAAAGAAGGAAUAGCCUUAAGACACUCAUGCCCCUAUCUGCAUGAACAAAAUGGAAAAGUGGAGAGAAAGCACAGACACAUUGUGGAAACUGGCCUAACAUUACUAGCCCAAGCAAAAAUGCCUUUGAAAUAUUGGCAAGAAGCUUUUAGCUAUGUUAUCUACAUCAUAAACAGACUAACCUCACCCAUUCUUAAAAAUAAAACUCCUUUUGAGCUGCUACAUCUCACCAAACCAGAUUAUUCCCAAAUUAAAGUUUUCGGUUGUGAAUGCUUUCCAUACUUAAGACCCUACAACAAGCAUAAGUUUGAUUUCCACACUUCCAAAUGCAUACUGCUAGGCAUUAGCAACAAUCACAAAGGUUACAUUUGCAUGCAUCAUUCAGGGAGAAUUUACAUUUCAGCCAGUGUCAAAUUUAAUGAACAUUUAUUCCCUUUUCAAAAUGACUCAAACUUCUGCAAACACAGGCUCACUGACCAAAAUGAUUCCCUCACAGUUCUUGAAAAAUUUCAAGUUGUAUCCUUCAACACCAGUGUUCCCCCUGAGUCAGCACAACAAAACGCAGCUCAUAGUCAAUCUCAGGCCACUAUUGGAAACUCAGAACAACUCCCAAGCUUUGGUCAAGAAGAAGCCUGUCAGAAUUUGAACCUCAACACUGUAUCAGACAACCACACACCUACUCAACUCCCACCAAACUCCUCAGCAGAAAACUGCAUCUUGCCUCCUAUAACAGAACCAAACACUCAAGCCUCUUUACAUCCCAUGAUCACAAGGUCCAAAGCAGGGAUUUUCAAACCUAAAGUUUAUCAAAUAUCUACUCAAUCUCAAACUUCCUUACCCCCUGACUCAACUGUGGCACUAAAAAGAUCCUAAAUGGAGAAGAGCAAUGGAGGAUGAAUACAAUGCUCUUGUCAAAAACCAAACCUGGAUCUUAAUACCACAUGACCAGAACUACAAACUCAUUGGCAACAAAUGGGUGUACAAAGUAAAGGAGAAUCCAGAUGGCACCAUAAAUAGAUACAAAGCUAGACUUGUGGUAAAAGGGUUUCUGCAGACACCAGGACUUGACUUUAAUGAAACCUUCAGCCCUGUGGUCAAAGCUGCAACAAUCAGAAUCAUUUUAACUUUGGCUGUAAACAAUGAUUGGCUGUUGAGGCAGGUUGACAUAAAUAAUGUGUUUCUGAAUGGAGACUUGACAGAAACAGUGUACAUGCCACAACCUGAGGGAUUUGAAGAUAAGAGAAGACCAAACCACAUAUGCAAGCUCCAGAAAGCUCUUUAUGGACUGAGGCAAGCACCCAGAGCAUGGUUUGACAAAUUAAAGAAUGCUCUGUGCUCUUGGGGAUUCAACAAUUCCAAAUGUGAUACCUCUCUAUUCUUCAAGAGAAGCAGUGCUGAAAUAAUCAUUGUGCUUGUGUAUGUAGAUGACAAAAUUAUAACUGGCAGUGACAACAAAGGUAUUGAGGAAGUGAUAGGAAAGCUAAGUGGAGCUUUUGCACUGAAAGAUCUUGGAAAUUUGAGCUACUUCAUUGGGAUACAGGUCAUAAGAAAUCAGCACUCAAUUAUGCUCUCUCAAGCUAAAUAUGUUCAAGACCUAUUAGCUAAAACUGAGAUGGAAAAUUGCAAGGGAAUAGAGUCACCAUUCAGCACAACAGAGAAACUAAAGAAGGGUGAAGGCACCAAACUUGACAAUCCCUCAUUUUACAGAAGUGUUGUAGGGAGUCUACAGUAUGCUGUCCUAACAAGACCAGAGCUUGCAUAUUCUGUUAACAAGCUUAGCCAAUACAUGUCUGACCCAAGACAAUCUCACUGGACAGCUUGCAAACGAGUGUUGAGGUACCUAAAGAGCACUGGUAACAUGUGCUUAAAAUUCCAGAAGUUAGAACACUUAGAUUUAAUAGCCUAUACAGAUGCUGACUGGGCUAGUGAUCAGGAUGACAGAAGAUCGAUAAGUGGAUAUUGUGUGUUUUUGGGAGAUAAUUUAGUAGCUUGGAGCUCAAGAAAGCAGGGCAUGGUAGCAAGAUCUAUAGCUGAGUCCGAGUACAGGGCCAUAGCUCUGUGUACCACUGAAAUCACUUGGAUCAGUUCUCUGUUUGGUGAACUGGAAAUCGAGAUGCAAAGAGUUCCAAUGAUUUUAAGUGAUAGCACAAGUGCAGCAGCAAUAGCCACAAAUCCUGUGUAUCACUCAAAAACAAAGCAUUUUGAGAUAGAUCUUCAUUUCAUUAGAGACAAAGUCACUCAAGGAGAGCUGGAAAUCAGUUUUGUAGCCAGCAGAGAUCAAGUCGCAGACAUACUAACCAAACCAUUGCCUUACUACAAGUUCAGUCAAUUUAGAAGCAAACUUAAUGUUUUCGACAAGACCUUAAGUUUGAGAGAGGGUGUUGAGAAUUCAGAUUGUGAAGAUGAGUCAACAGUUGACCCCAAGGCCAUGUUGGCAUGCCACCUGAGCAGCCAUAUCCAGCAGCCAGCUGAUGUAGAAGCUGAGGUGUAUUCAAUGAGCUGGCAGAACAGUUAUGCAGGGGAAUAUCUACACGUGAAUACUGCAACCUGGAGUUUCUAGAAUGUUUUCAAUGAUUGGCUAGUGCAGCUGUAAUCUUUUGUUUUAUUCAUUUCUGUUAUCCUUUGAGCAAGCUACCAUUUUUCUCGUUUAGUAUAAAUAUGUGAAGAAUGUGUAUAACUUAUUAAUUCAUGUUAUCAUAAUAUACAAAAGGGUUGUUUGUUCUCUGUUGCUUGCAUAUUUAAGCAAUUCGUAAGAAUUUCAAGUUGCCGAACACAAUAGUAGCACCCAAGAAGUCCUACUUAAGAGGCUUCAUACCCUGCACAAAUCGGAGUUUUUUUUAAAAUUUUCAUGUUUCAAAUGAAGAUUGUCCAUUAAAAACAAGGAUAACCCAGAAACAAUCCAACCAUCAAUAACAUAAAACUUUUGUAAUUCUGGUAAAGUGAAUGAGAAGCAGAACAUACAUUUCACGUAAUAAUGAAGAUACAUCUUUUAAUAAGUCUUUGCUCUUAAUUUAUUAUCGUACUUCCUUCCAAUAACAAUUCAUAAUGCAGGUUGGUAUCUUGAAAAAUUAUAUCAUACAUUUCUCUUAUCAAUGGGGCAGGUUGCUAUUGAACAUUAUUCAUAAACAAAGAGCCAAAUAUGCUUUAAAGCUACUUAAAAAUAUGCCAUCGGGCACUGACGCAGACACUCAACAACAAAAAACAGACUUAUUAUAUUUGUUGCACAAAAGUAAAAAAGAAAAUACUCUUACUCAAGUAUUAUAUUUGUUGCGCAAAUAAGAAAGAAGAUAACAAUUUUAAAUUAAUCAACAGGUUGAAUCUUAUCGUAAUACACACUAUCAGCUAUGAAUUAGCAUACCUUAGAAGUCCUGAACUCAUUCACCGCCAUUCGAAGAGAAUCAUCCGAUAGAAUCAACCGUGACAAUGCUCCAGUGCUUAACCUGCCACAUUUAUAAGAGAUCACCAUAUGAGAAAAAUUUUAAAUUAAAAAAAUAUUGGAAACCUAAACGCCAAUCAAACACAUUACAUAUAGCAAUUUCUCCUUUUAAAGUUCAAUUAUCACUUGAUAGAGUAUUAAGCUUAAUGCAAUACCCCAAGAAUUUUGUUGCUUCUGAUACAGAUCCCUCGACUGCGAAAAUUAGAUCAAGCAGAGCUUGCAUUCCCUGUAGUUAACCAAAAAAAAAAAAAAAAUCAUUACUAUGACUUAAAUUUUAAUAGAAAACAAAAAACGAAGCAAGAGUGAAUAGAGUAAUACCAAAGCAAAUUUAGGAUUGUUAGGUCCAAAUUGUGGACCAACUUCUGAACUUCUAAUAGUAGACUUAGGAGGAAGGAUUUGAAGAAGCUGUGGCGGCGGCGAAUACGUAUCAAGAUUCACACUGCCCCCCACUUUGAGGGCCAAAAGAGUGCGGAGGCGCGACAAAGCUGACGCGCGAUUCUUGUGCUGCGAUCGGUCUUCGGCCACAUGCGCUAUGAUGCCGGUCGGUACGUGCUUGAGACGUACGGCGGAUUCGUGCUUGUUGCGGUGCUGACCGCCUGGUCCAGACGAUUUGUACGUGUCCAUUUCGCAUUCGCGAAGCAACUCAUCGUCCGUCAAUUCUAAGUAAUUCUUCUUCUUCGAAGAAGAAGAUGAAGAACAAUUGUCAUUGGUGCUGAAUUGCAAGACAAGAACAAUGGCUUAUAAUUCCCGCGAUGCUUGUACAACGGAAAGUUUAUAUUUUUCCUUCCGAGUUGGGGAAUCCGAAGCAGGAAUUGAGCGGCCAACGCCAUCAUAAAUUUCAAUUUCCCUCUAUGUGUAUGUGAUAAUCAAAGCAAAGCUUCAUACUGGUAACACAUUCUUAUAGCAGGCCCAGCCCAAUCCAGCCGAGUCUGGCAAGUGAGCUUUAAAUAGGUGUUCGAUUGUAAAGAUAUGUCUAAUUAAAUAGUGUCAAAUAUAAUAAAAAUAUAUCAUUUUAUUUAAAGAUGCAUCCAUCCAUGGUUUUAUACUUCAAUUUGAAAUGGUGAUGGUUUAUUUUGGACCAGUGAUGAUCUUAUUCAAAAUUUGAUUUAAUAACCAUAAAUGAAAGGGUAUCAUGAAAAGUGACAAUCCAAAUAAAAGAGUACAUAAUUAUCUAUAAAUAGAAGUCAAGACCUUUCUGUGAUCUAUCUAAUCUUCCUAUCGUACUCUUUUUUUCACUAGAAAAACUACAUUUGUAAUGUGUCUCGAAGCACCAUCAAUUCUUACCUAUAUUUCAAUUAAAAUAAGAGUGAAACUAUUGGCACCCCUUCAUUAUUCUUAUAAAACCCUAUUUCAAAUAAAAUUACAAUUAAGAGCAAAGAAGAAAUAAACACAUGUAGGAUUUUUUUCCCCAACAAAUUACUUUCAUUAAUAAUCAAUCUUUUUUUAUUUCCUACCUAUUAUUUCUUAUCUAAGAUAAAUUGUAUAAAUUUAGAAUAAUCUAUUUUUCUUUUCCUAUUUCUUAUCGAUUAAAUAUUUUUGUACUCAAGAUUACUUUCAAACUACAAUCUAAAAUAUGUGUUAUUUAAGCUAAUGAUUAGCAUUCAAACUUUAUCACCUAAAAAACUUUUUAAUUUGUAUGUAGGAUAACAAUACGAUUGCAAAAGAGAUGAAAAAAAACACAAUACUACUUUGAGUUUUAACAAUAAAAGAAGAUUAAAUGAAAAACUAAAAGAGUGUCUUUGAAAAUAAAAGGAAAUUUUUGGAAAUAAAAUAAAUAUAACUAAAAAAGGGUUUGAUGAGGAGACUAGAGGGGUGCCAAUAGUCCAACUUUUAAAAUAAAGUUUUAUCAAUUAUUUCUCCCUUUUUCUGCAAUUAUUAUUCCCCACAGAUAUUUCUUCAACAUUUUAUUUCAUAUAUUUACUCCCAUUACACUAUAACAAAGGACGCCUUUUGGACUACAUCAGUUUGUAGAUGCAUUUUAUUAAUAAAUUAAAUAAAGGCACCAUCUAUUGUUCAAUUUCUCUAAAUAACCACUUUCUGUCAGCUCUAUUAAAAUUUAUUAAGGAAUCUAUGUUGAAGACCAUUUCAUCCUUAGUAUUGUGUAAAUGUAUAAAAAUACAUUUUACACUUUGAAAUUUAAAAUGACCUUCUUUUAGCAUAAAAUUUUAAAACAAAUGCCGCUAACUAAGGGACAAAUUUUAGAAUACAUGAUCAGUACCAUGUUAGCCAUAUAAAAAGUAAAUCAUACUAUGAUAUAUGUGCACUUAUUUUGAAAAACUAUCAUGUAAAUGAUGGUUAUAUUGAAUCUAAGUAAGUGCAUAUCAUACAUGACACAACCUGACCCAACCUCUUUGCCAAAUUCGAGGUGAAUCAUGUGAUCUUAUAUCUAAAGCUUGUGACAUAAAUUUAAUUUAUGAAUACAUAACACUAGCCUCGGCCUUUGUUAUAAACAAAUAAUAACAUAUGUACCUCAUUCAAAAAUAUAUUCAAAACUUACACAGUUCACAUCUUACUGUACAUACAUACACUUUAGAUAUAUACAUAUAAACAUAAACGUGCUUAAAAUAUAAGUCAUGCAGUAAUGCAUGUUGUGGCCCAACCUCAACUGAUUAGAAACUGAAUUGCACAAAAUCCUACGAAAAUCUUAAAGAAAUGGGGUAAAUAGGAAAAUAAUAUACUUGUGGCUAAAUGAAUGGAUAUAAUUGUGUGUUUGUGUGUUUGUAUCUAUAUAUAUAUAUAUAUAUAUAUAUAUAUAUAUAUAAAUAAAUUAGUGCUCUGGUGCUUGUACAUAAUUGUAUGACAUAACUUCACACUGAACACAUUACACAAGCAAAUAUGAAAUCAUAUAUAUAUGAUAAAACUGCACCAAAUAAUAUGUAGGAGAAAUAACUCUCAAUAUUUACUGGAAUCAUCAUUGCACAAGUAAAGUGGGAGAAAAACCUCUCAAUACUCAGCGAAAUUAACUACAUCACAAGGGUCGAGUAAUCUAACUCUCACUACACAUGCAUAGAGCCUAUGGGGAAGGGUACACAUAUGGUAUCUGGCAAUCACAUCUCAUGAUUCAAUCAAUCAUAUAAUAUGCGUACAUAUAAUCAUAACAUGAUACUAAAUCAUACUAUCAAACAUAAAUACUUUGUAGAAUACAUAUAAAUAAUAAUAAUAGUAAUCCACUCACAAAACAUGUUUCACUUCGGGGUUCGUUGGAGCUCCGAUAGAUUCCUUAAUUCUUGGGUUUCUCCUAAAAUAUAGGAUUCAAAAAUUAAUUGUUAGAACUGAUAUAAAAACUUAUACAUAUGACAUAAACUAAAUCAUAAUUGUUCAAAUUUCUUAAAUACGUUACCUACUGACUUACUGGAUAUAGAUAUAACUAUCCAAUUCUCUUUCCGAUAAUAUUUCCUCUCAAUUCCUCUUUUCAAAAUCAUUUCUCACUCUCAGUUUUUCUUUUCUUUAUUUUUUCUUCUUCAUCUUUUGUUCUUCUGUUCUUUUCCUCUUCUUUCUUCAUCUUUUCUUCUUUUCCUCUUCUCUUUUCCUUUUGUUUUCUUCCCUUCUCAGCUUUUCCUUUCUUUUUCUUCUCUUUGAAUUACAUUGUUUUAGUUUGAUUCAUGAAAAUGGUGACAGCUGCUUCAAUUCUUUACUUUAUAUAUAUCUAUUGCCUCCAAUCACGCAUGACAAACACAUAGGUGAAGCAUGCAUGUGCUUUGCUUUAAGCUGACAGCUUGCUAAUUAGCCACAUGUACUCCCUUUUAGCUUGCAUGUGCGUCACAAUACGUGCAUUAAUUGAUUGUAUUAUUUUUAAUAUAUUAUAUAAUUUCUUUUAGUGAAGGAUGUAGCCAACAAUUUUAUCCAGCUAAACAUGUUCUUUGACAUAUAAUACAGUUUAUGGUCCAACAACUCAUAAGUAGUUGAAAUUAAAUUAUUUUUUAAUAUCAAUUUUCCUUUUCUCUCAAUUUGAAAAUACUUUAAAAGAUUUUCAAACAUAAGAUACAAUGGUAUACAAUUGAAGCCUAAUCCAACAUAGAAAGAUUAAAUAAAAUUAAUUUUCAUCACUAUGCAAGAGACUUGAAAAGAUAUUAAGGUAGCGUUUAUUUUUAAUUUAAAGUCUGAAUAGGUUAGAAUUUGAUUAAAAUUUGAAUGGUUUUGAAUAUAAAUGUUUCAAAAACAUGUUUAUUUUUUUAAUAUCUAAAAAUUAAGUGGCAUCUUGUUUGUUUUUAUAAAGAAAACACAUUAAAUGUAGUUAUUUAACAUUUAUGUCCUUAUAAGUCAAAACGAAUAAAAGGGAUUAGGUUUUGUAGUUUAUGAAAUAACUAUAUUGAAUUGAAAUAUUUUUAGGAUAUAGUAUUUAUUUUCCAUUCAAACAUUUUUUCAUUUCGGCAAAGGUCAUAAAAAUUUUCUUUUUUAAUUCAAAUGUAAAUAUCUAAAAAUCAAACAUAUGUUACCAAAAAAAACUAAUUUUCUUAAAAAAAGUUAAACUUCAUAUGUUUAAAAUAAACGCUAAGGAACAUGAAUAAGAGCUAUUAAAACAAAAAAAGAAUAAUUUUGAAACUAAAUACAAUUAAUUGAGAGAUGAGGACCGAUAAGAUAAAUUCAUAGAUAAAAAUUAAAAUAUCAACCCUACUUAUUGCUGGCAGUUAUGAGCAUUAAAGAAUAGAAGCCGUGUCUUGAUAAGUAUGGUGUUCGUGCGGAAUUCUCAAUUUUAAGAUAACUUUUUUUUUAAAAAAAGCUAGACUUCAUAUGUUUAAAAUCAACGCUAAGGAACAUGAAUAAGAGCUAUUAAAACAAAACAAAAAAGAAUAAUUUUGAAACUAAAUACAAUUAAUUGAGAGAUGAGGACGGAUAAGAUAAAUUCAGGGAUAAAAAGUAACAUAUCACCCUACUUAUUGCUGGUGGUUAUGCACAUUAAGGGUGCGUUUGGGAUUGAGGUGCUGUAGCUUUUAAGCUACAGCUGCUGUGAAAAAAAAGCUGUAAUUAUGAAACAAAAGUUAAUAAUAUAUAGUAAAUAUAAAUUUUAAAUAAUAAUUUUGAUAAAUUUAUUAAAGAUAUAAUAAAUUUUAUAUUAUACAAGUGAAAAAUCAUAUCAACAUAGCUUAAAAGCUACAGCAGCUAGUGUUUACCAAACACUUUAGUGCUGUAGCUUUUAAGCUACAGCUGCCCAACCUCAAUCCCAAACGCACCCUAAAACACAGAAGCCGUGCGUUGAAAAGUAUGGUGUUCUUGUGGACUUUUCAGCUAAAAGUCUACAAAGCAGUUGAAUUAAUCAAUCAUCGUGGAGUGCACGGUGCUUGGACAAUGAGAUGAAAUUGAAAAAUUAUCACGGAACUUGAAGGAAGCUUCAUGGCAUCGAUUUAUUCUACAGAGUCGCUCACAUUUGGUUCAAUAAUUGUUUUCAUCCGAAUCAAAAUCUUUUUCUAAUCAAUUCAACUGAUUUUGUUGAUUAUGGCUUCUUCUUCUCAAAACAACAAGAAGUAUGAUGUUUUUGUUAGUUUCAGAGGAGAGGACACCCGUGACAACUUUACUAGCCAUCUCUGUUCUGCUCUGUGUCGACAAAAUAUCCAAACUUUCAUUGAUGACCAACUUAACAGAGGAGACGAAAUUUCGGAGUCACUUGUGAAUGCAAUUGAAGCAUCAGCCAUUUCAGUUAUUGUCUUCUCAGAAGGGUAUGCAUCUUCCAGAUGGUGUCUCGAUGAACUUGUAAAGAUCCUCGAGUGCAAGAAAGAGUAUUCACAGAUUGUGAUUCCGGUUUUCUAUCGGGUUGAUCCAUUAGACGCGAGAAACCAAACAGGACCUUUUGGGAUUUCAUUUUCGAAGCUUGAAGAAAGAUUUAAGGAGAAUUUAGAGAAGCUGCAGACUUGGAGGAAAGCUUUGAAGGAAGCAGCCAGUUUGUCUGGCUUUCAUUCUCAUAACAUCAGGUGAAAUUGAAAAGUUACCUUUAAUUUCUCAUACUAAUAUUUAACAAUAAAUAAAAUUCACGCAGCACUCUUAGUUAAAUUUCCAGAUGCUAAACUUCAAUUUUAAAUAUUUUUAAGCAUCAAAUUCUAGACUUCUUGACUUCCUCACUUUUGUGCUCUAUAAUUACAAAAUAAUUUUGAUAGAAAAAGCAUGAGAAUUUUACAAUAUAUAUCUAACAAAAUUAGUGGUGAUCUGUUGUUUUUUAAGCAAUGUCAACCUGUCACUCAUACAGCACCAUUAAAAAAAAAAAACUCACGCAUAUUCGUGUAAUUUAAGAGUUAUCAAUUCAUUGGAAGAUUGAAGACUUGUAUGGUAUGUAUUAAUUUCAGUAGGAAAACUGACAAUCUCUCUUAUUUCUUAUUUAAUGCAAAUUCCUCCUAUUAAUUUGAAGUUACUGCUGCUAAUUUUAUGUAUUUGCUAGGCAUGAGUCGGAACUUACAAAUGAAGUUGUUAAUCACAUUUUGAAGAGAUUGGAUGAAGUGUUUCAGCCGCGUGAUAACAAAAACCAGCUGGUUGGAGUGGAAUCAACAGUUGAUGAAAUUGAAUCUCUAUUAGGUGUUGAGUCGAAAGGUGUUUACGCUUUAGGGAUUUGGGGCAUUGGUGGUAUAGGCAAAACAGCAAUCGCUAGAGCUAUUUUCGACAAAAUCUCAGGUGAUUUUGAAUGUUCUUGCUUCCUCGAAAAUGUUAGAGAAGAGUCACAAAGACCAGGAGGAUUAGCUUGCUUACGACAAAAACUUCUUUCAAAUAUAUUGAAGGAUAAAAAUGUGAUGCCUUAUAUUGACCUCAAUUUUAGAAGGCUCAGUCGCAUGAAGGUUGUGAUUGUUUUUGAUGAUGUGACUUGCUUCAGCCAAUUGGAAUCUUUAAUGGGAAGCCUUGAUUGGUUGACGCCAGUGAGUCGAAUCAUAUUAACCACCAGAAAUAAACAAGUGCUUAGAAAUUGGGGGGUGAGUAAAAUAUAUAAGAUGGAGGCAUUAGAAUAUCAUCAUGCUCUUGAGCUUUUUAGUCGAUAUGCCUUCAAACGAAACCAUCCUGAUGUUGGUUACGAGAAACUUUCAAGCAACGUAACGAAAUAUGCUCAAGGUAUUCCUUUAGCUCUUAAAGUUUUGAGUUGCUUUCUACAUAAAAGGGAAAAAGAAGUUUGGGAAAGCGCAAUAGAUAAAUUGCAAAGAAUCCUCCAUCCAAGUAUUCUAGAGGUAUUACAAAUAAGUUAUGAUGAUUUGGACGAUAAAGAGAAAAGUAUUUUCCUUGAUGUUGCUUGUUUCUUUCGAGGUGAGCAUGUAAAUCCUAUAAUGAAAUUCUUUAAUGCAAGCGGCUUCUACCCAUAAAUAGGAAUAAGUGUUCUUGUUGAUAAGUCUCUCAUCGCUAUUGAUUCACACAAAAAGAUAACAAUGCAUGAUUUACUACAAGAAUUGGGUAGGGAAAUUGUUCGACAAGAAUCAAUUAAUCCUGAAAACCGCAGUAGAUUGUGGUAUCAUGAGGAUAUUUAUGAAGUUUUUACAUAUAAUAUGGUAAGCAGUUUGUUGUGGAUUAUUAUUUUGGAAUAAUGUAGUGUUUAAAAACUUGAUGUGAAUAUAUUUACAUACGCUCGAACGGGAUGAGUCUUAGAAUUAAUAGAAGAGUGGCAAUGAUUAGAAAAAACAAUAGUGGUUAGAUGACGUAGCAAUAAAUUAUAAAUGCGAUGACAACUUGCAUAACCGUUUGUAAGCAUAAUUGAUAUGUAAAUUUGUGUAGUACACGUACAGAAUUUUUAUUUUUAUGUUAUUAUGUUUCUUUGUGCAUUUGCAAUUAAGUGUUUGAUAUGAGUAAUUAAAGAGAGCCCCUCUCCAAUCCCACAUAAACUCCAUACAAGAAUAAAUAAAAAUUGAAUUAAUAACUAAGCUACCUCUAAUUGUGAAUUAGGGACAAAAUUGCCCCAAAAAUUUGUCUUGGUGGGGUUGAAGUGCGAUUCAUUAGUGGAAUAUACAUAUCUUUCAUUUGAUUUUAACUUUAAUUUUUUUUAUUCAUUUUUAGGGGACAGAAAAAAUCGAGGGCAUCUGUUUAGAUAUGUCAAAAGUAAAAGAGAUCCGUCUAAAUCCCAAUACUUUCACUAAGAUGCCUAAAUUGAAAUUUCCUAAAGUUCUACGGUUCAUCAUUCAAUGGAGAGAACAAAUGUAAGGUGUCCUUAUUGCCAAACAAAUGUAAGGUGUCUUAUUUGCAAGACUCUGGAUUUGCUGAAGUGAAAUAUCUUCACUGGCAUGGAUAUCCGCUGAAGUCAUUGCCUUCAAACCUUAGUGCAGAGAAGCUUGUGUUACUUGAAGUGCCUGAUAAUGACAUUGAACAACUUUGGGAUUGUGUGAAGGUAUGCAUAUCUUAUUAUAUAUGUGCAAUCUUUCAAUAACAAUAUUAAAUUAUUAUACGUGGUAACGAUUUUGUCUUGGCCUCUUUUUUGACCGAGCAGCAUUAGAGUAAGUUAAACCAGAUAAUCCAUGCUGCCUACAAUAAGAUAAUUGCCAAAGCACCAAAUCCCACGUUGAUGCCACGUCUGAACAAGCUAGUUAUCUUGAAUCUAAGAGGUAGCAAAAGCCUGAAAAGUCUUCCAUCUGGAAUAUUUAACUUGGAAUUUCUUACCAAACUUGAUCUUUCGGGCUGCCCAAAACUGAAGAGGCUUCCAGAGAUCUCAUCAGGUAAUAUAAGCUGGUUAUUUUUAAGGGGGACUGCAAUUGAAGAACUGCCCUCAUCAAUUGAGCGUCUACUUAGGCUUGGGUUCUUGGUCCUUUCAAAUUGUAAAAGGCUUAAGAGUCUCCCAAGCAGCCUAUGGAAGUUGAAAUCUCUUGGAAUUCUUGAUCUCCGGGGUUGCUCCAAGCUUCAGAGAUUGCCCGAAUGUCUUGGCCAAUUAUCCUACCCAAUAAUAUUGAAUCUAGCGAAAACCAAUAUUGAGAGAAUACCAGAAAGCAUUAUCCAACAUUUCAUGUUGCGAUACCUCCUCUUAAGUUAUAGUGAGAGGCGUCAAUCCUUACCAAAGCCUCCAUUCCUUGCACGAGAUUGCCUAGCACCGCAACCAUUCUUAGGUUUGUUCUCUAAGUUAUGAAUCUUAUAGGCAGUGUUUUUUGACCGGAGCAAUAAUUUUAAAUUGGAAGGUAAUUAUACUGCAGGAAUUGUUGAAGAUACCCAGAGAAUUCCGCAUAUGGACCAUAUGCUAGCUUUCCGUUGGUAAGAAAUACAGGAAAAUGUGUGUCUUUAACUCUCUCUGUUUACAAUUUCUACAAUUUUUUUUUUGGGUUUAAAAUUAUGAUUUUUUGGUACAAAGAGGUUUUUCCAUGGGCUGAUACGCCGCGGAGGUCGUCAAGGAUUCCAAAGCCUAGCAACAAGUAUGCUGGGUACAUUUGAAUUAUGCAUGGAUGCUUGGAAGUCGAACGGUCACAUGGCUCAAGACUUAUGCAUACGUUACAUGCAACAUGCAGUACGUUGGAAGAAUGGUCGUUGGAGCAGUCUACAUGGAUCAUGGGGGGGAUUCGGUCAACAUGGGAUCACUUGCUGAUUUAAUGGAGAUUUAUCAUUUGGUUUAAUUCAUUUUCGGUUGUUUAGUUAAGCUAAAAGAAUAAGUCAAGUUGUUAGCUUAGGACCUGCCUACAAUCUCGAGUGAUAGUUAGAUUGUUUGGCUAAGUUGUUUUAAGUAUAAAUAAGCUCCAACGGACUUGAAUAAAGGGCAUUGACUAUUAUCUAAAAAUCAAAUAUCUUGUGGUCUUAUUUCUCACCCUAAGUAGAAAUAUAUUCAAUCACUUACGCUUUGACUGGGACCUCUAUCAGUGGUAUCAGAGCGAGGUUACUAUGUCAACCAACAAGGAACGCAUAGAGCGUGUGGAAGACGAGAUCGGAAGCUUGCAAGAUGGAAUGAAGCGUAUGGAACUAGGGCUUACUGACAGAUUACACCGUCUAGAAGAAACAAUGAGCAAACUGGUAGAUUCACUUUCAACUUCAAAAGGGACGCCAAGUCACAACAAUUCUGAUCACGUUGGAUCCUCACAGCCUAGCCGUGGAGAUAGUGAAGGGAGCCGCCAUCAGCUAGCAUCAAGACUUACCAAACUGGAGUGUCCACGAUAUUCCGGCGACGACCCAACGGAGUGGUAUAAUAGGAUCAUGCAAUUUUUCGAGUACUAGGAAGCAACCAACGAACAGAAAGUCUCCUUAGCUUCUUUUCACCUCGAAGGAGAGGCCAACCAAUGGUGGCAGUGGAUGCGACGAACUUAUCAAGAAGAGGAAAAAACAGUAACGUGGGAAAUUUUUGUGGAGGAGCUUUGGGCACGGUUUGGCCCUACUGAGUGCGAAGAUUAUGAUGAGGCGUUGUCCAGGGUUAAGCAGACAGGGUCACUACGUGAUUAUCAUAGGGAAUUCGAAAGGCUUGGGAACCGGGUACGAGGCUGGACGCAAAAGGCCUUGGUCGGGACCUUUAUGGGAGGAUUGAAGCCGGAAAUCUCAGGGGAAGCUAUAAGCCUCGCACGUAUGAAGGAUGAUCAAUUGACGCGACAAAGGAAGUUGCUACGACCACAGUACCUCAACCGUACACCACCAGCACCAACAAACAAUACCCGUGCCCAACCAACGAGACCCAUCAAACGGCUGACUUGGGACGAAAUGCAGCGGCGUCGAGCAAUGGGACUUUGCUUCAAUUGCAAUGAUCGGUUUACAGCAGGUCAUAAGUGCACCCAACCUCAGUUAUUGCUCCUUGAAAGUGAGACAAUGAAUGAUGAAACUACAUAUGAGGGAAUUCCUGAAGUCUUAUGCACAGAACCUGACACUAAAGAGCCAACCGAUCCAAAAAUCACUUUCUAUGCCCUCACUGGAUGGGCAGCCCCAAGAACCAUGCGGGUCACGACAAAGGUAGGACCAUAUGAGAUUAUGGUUUUGAUCGAUAGCGGUUCAACUCACAAUUUCAUCAGCUCCCGAAUGGCCAACAUGUUACGGCUGCCAAUCAUUCCCACAGCAGGAUUUUUGGUGCGAGUGGCAAACGGAGAAACGCUAUCGUGCAGGGGAAAAUUCAAACGGGUUCAGGUAUUAUUACAAGAAGUUCCAUUCACUUUGACUCUUUAUUCACUUCCAAUUACAUGGUUGGAUAUGGUGCUUGGAGUCCAGUGGCUUGAGAUGCUAGGCUCAGUGGUUUGCAACUGGAAACAACUUACCAUGGAUUUCACUUGGGACAACAAAAGUUGCCGGUUACAAGGCAUCGGGCCUCAAUCAAUCCAAACAGCAUCCUUGACCGAAAUUACCAAAGAGCUGAGACAAGGGCAGUCCGGUUUUGCUAUUUGUUUCCAUGUGAAUGUAGAAGACUCUCUCAACACAACAACUCCAGAUAUGCAAGAUUUGUUAAAGGAAUACAACACUUUAUUUCAAGAGCCAACAAAACUGCCACCUAGACGAGAAAUCGACUAUAACAUCACAUUGAAAGAGGGAACUGAGCCAGUCAACGUACGGCCAUACCGCUACGCCUAUUUCCAGAAAGCCGAAAUUGAAAAACAAGUCCAGGAGAUGCUGAAUUCGGGACUCAUUCGGCCUAGUACCAACCCUUUUUCAUCACCAGUACUACUUGUCAAAAAAAAAGAUGGAAGUUGGCGAUUUUGCACCGACUAUCGGUCUCUCAAUAACACCACUGUUAAAGACCGAUUUCCAAUCCCUACAGUCGAUGACAUGCUGGACGAGUUACAUGGAGCAGCGUACUUCAUUAAAUUGGACCUAAGGGCCGGAUACCAUCAGGUACGUGUAAACCCAGCCGAUAUCCACAAAACGGCUUUUCGUACACACAACGGACAUUACGAAUACUUAGUAAUGCCGUUUGGCUUAUGCAAUGCACCAUUGACAUUCCAGGCCAUCAUGAACUCUAUCUUCCGUCCCUAUCUCAGGAAAUUUAUCCUUGUUUUCUUUGACGAUAUACUGAUAUACAGUCCCUCUUGGCGUAGCCACCUUACUCAUGUUAAGAAGGCAAUGGAGGUUCUUAAACAACAUCAAUUUUUCCUUAAAGCAAGCAAGUGCACUUUUGGCCAACAAGAACUCGAGUACCUUGGCCACAUAAUUACCAGCCAUGGGGUAAAAGUAGAUGAGACAAAAAUUGCGGCCAUGGUCUCCUGGCCUCAACCGAAGAACAUCUCAGAGCUACGGGGAUUCCUUGGCCUUACAGGUUACUAUAGAAAGUUCGUCCAAGGAUAUGGAGUUUUAGCUCGGCCACUCACGAAUCUUCUAAAAAAAUGACAGUUUGAAUGGAAUACAGAAGCGGACAAAACGUUUAUCAAUUUAAAAAAGGCAAUGACAAGUACACCCACAUUAGCCAUGCCUAAUUUUAAUGAAACUUUUGUUAUUGUGACAGAUGCAUCCGGUGACGGCAUCGGCGCAAUACUCCAGCAACAAGGGCAUCCCAUCGCAUUUAUGAGUCGUGCCUUGGGAGUCACAAAAAAAUCUUGGUCCACAUACGCAAAAGAGAUGUUGGCGAUUAUAGAAGCUAUCCGUGUGUGGCGACCUUAUCUGCUAGGACGAAAGUUUAUCAUCCAAACCGAUCAACGCAGCCUUAAGUACCUUUUGGAACAAAAAAUUACGACACCCGAACAGCAACAGUGGCUGGCCAAAUUGAUGGGGUUUGAAUAUGAAAUCCAAUAUAGGCCCGCCCGUGAGAAUGUUGCCGCCGACGCCCUUUCACGACGACCUGACAGUUCUGCUCUUAACAGGUUAUUUGUGGCGCAGGUAUCUAUUUGGAACGAAAUAAAAACGGCUGCCCAAGAUGAUGAUUACAUGCAGCAAAUUACACAUCAGGCUCUGACUCAACCUACUGGCCCUUAUUUCAUGCGUAAUGGGCUGAUUUUCUUCAAGGGUCGAGUUGUAUUUCCUCUUCGACUCCGUCAAUCUUUAAUUUUUGAAGCCCAUGACACUAAGAUGGGAGGUCAUUCAGGAGUUCUACGUACUUACAAACAUUUGAAACAACAAUUCUUUUGGCCUUCAAUGUUUCAAACGGUUCAUGACUAUGUAGGUAAAUGCGAGAUUUGUCAAAAAACGAAAGCAUCAACCCUUAAGCCUGCGGGUCUCCUCCAGCCCUUGCCAAUUCCUUGCCAAGUGUGGGAUGAUAUCACGCUUGACUUCGUUGAAGGGCUGCCAAACUCACACGGUAAAAAUUCUAUUCUAGUGGUGGUGGAUCGGCUCAGCAAGAGUGCACACUUUAUGGCCUUGACUCACCCAUUCACAGCAAAAACAGUGGCUGAGAAGUUUAUUGAUGGAGUGGUAAAAUUACAUGGCAUGCCGAAAUCAAUAAUCAGUGGUCGAGACCCUAUUUUUAUUAGCAAGUUUUGGCAGGAGUUUUUUCAUAUGUCCGGUACACAACUCAAGAUGAGUUCUGCGUACCAUCUGCAAACCGACGGUCAAACGGAAGUUAUUAAUAGAUGUCUUGAACAAUACCUGCGAAGCUUUGUUCACCAAUGGCGGAAGCAAUGGAACUCUUACCUACCUUGGGCAGAAUACUGGUACAACACAACGUACCAUGAGUCCACAGGCAUGACUCCUUUUUCGGCUUUGUAUGGGCGACAUCCACCGGUAGUACCAAUGUAUCAUGUGGAAUCUUCUCCAGUGCACGAGGUAGAUCAAGCUUUGUUGUCUAGGGAUGAGCUGCUGCGACAAUUAAAACAGAAUUUGAAAAUGGCAACCAAUCGCAUGAAACAAUUUGCGGAUACAAAAAGGCGCGAUGUGGAGUUUAAGGAGGGUGACAUGGUAUUCCUAAGACUUCCACCGUAUAGGCAGACUACUGUAUUCCGUCGUGCUCAUCAGAAGUUGGCCAGUAAAUACUUUGGGCCAUAUCCAAUUCUGCGAAGAGUGGGACAAGUGGCUUAUGAGCUUAAACUACCGACGGGAUCUCGAGUGCAUCCGGUAUUUCAUGUGUCCUUACUCAAAAAAUACGUUGGUGAGAUGCCUCAAUUCAGUGCAGAUCUUCCAUAUGUCAAUGACAACGGAGUACUCGUUUUAGAACCGGACAAAAUUAUUGAUGUUCGUUGGCUUAAAAGAGGUGGCAAGUUGGUGGAACAAAGUCUUGUCCGUUGGAAACGCCUUCCACAUGAGGACGCAACAUGGGAAGAUUCAGAGUUCCUGGCAAAGCAAUUCCCUCACCUGACCCUUGAGGACAAGGGUCCUCUUCGUGGAGGCGGUAUUGAUACGCCGCGGAGGUCGUCAAGGAUUCCAAAGCCUAGCAACAAGUAUGCUGGGUACAUUUGAAUUAUGCAUGGAUGCUCGGAAGUCGAACGGUCACAUGGCUCAAGACUUAUGCAUACGUUACAUGCAACAUGCAGUACGUUGGAAGAAUGGUCGUUGGAGCAGUCUACAUGGAUCAUGGGGGGGAUUCGGUCAACAUGGGAUCACUUGCUGAUUUAAUGGAGAUUUAUCAUUUGGUUUAAUUCAUUUUCGGUUGUUUAGAUAAGCUAAAAGAAUAAGUCAAGUUGUUAGCUUAGGACCUGCCUACAAUCUCGAGUGAUAGUUAGAUUGUUUGGCUAAGUUGUUUUAAGUAUAAAUAAGCUCCAACGGACUUGAAUAAAGGGCAUUGACUAUUAUCUAAAAAUCAAAUAUCUUGUGGUCUUAUUUCUCACCCUAAGUAGAAAUAUAUUCAAUCACUUACGCUUUGACUGGGACCCCUAUCAUGGGCAAACUUCAUAUCGUACUGUCUGGGAAUGAAAUUCCAAAGUGGUUUAAGCUUCAAAGUGUGGGAUCUUUUAUAACCUUGGAGAUGCCACCAGAUUUCUUCCGUAAUAACAUAGUGCAGGGCAUUGCAUUUUGUGCUAUUUUAGCAUUUUCAGACAGUCAUGUAGAUUGUGGCAGAUGGUUUUCAUUUUCUUGUGAGCUCAAAGUGAAAACCACUAAAGAUUGUGGUCCCCAUGGCACAGUUAUUUCAGAGCAGAGUUAAUUAUGUAGAAUCAGAUCACUUAAAUUUGGGAUACUACCUGUUCUGUGAAGAGGAUUUUAAUGGUUUUUGGAAAUGCAAUUGCAUUCCUGAGGCAGUCGACUUUAAUGUUUUUCCACCUCUGGAGUGCCAGUGCUGCGGGGUGAAAAAUGUGGGAUCCAUUUACUUCACACCCAAGAUUCUACGAAUUCAAUAGAAAAUCCAAGCAUGUGUUUCAACUGUAACGAAGAAGACUGAGAUUUUCAUGAAUGUAUUUUCACUGUUUUCCUUUUUCUAAUGACAAUUAAUAACUUUCGAAGAAGACUGAGAAAAUGCCAAAAUCAGUUCUUAGAACAAGACAUCCAUGUAAUAACAUUCGAGGAAUCUGGUGCAUUUAACACAAAUUCACACUAGAGAACUUUACGUUAUUAGGCGAAGAGUAUAAUGUAUGAAAAGCACAUGAUGUAUAUUGUAAAAUUAAAAUUAUCGGCUUUCUUUUUCUUACUUUGUGCACACAACACAUCACGAUUUUGUUAUUGAGCCUUACAACUCAAAACAAUCCACGUAGUUAGGAGAGCACGUAACUUAUAAACCAGUAAUAAAACUCACAAGCUAGGCGAUAUCGGAUAUUACAGGACGCACAACAAUUCUUAUUGGCGAAGCUAUGUUGUGGGCCCAUCUCUCUAUCAAUGAAAACUUGCCACUCACCGCAUUGCGCACCAUAUCAACUCUCAUCUAUAUAAUGCAAUCACAUUUGAAAAUUUUCUACUUUCUUAAGUCUAAAUUUUUGUAUAUGGGAAAGUUUCAUCAUGUGGAAACAAAGCCAUAAACAUGUGUGCACUUUUUCAAGUAUAUGUACCAAUUCCAUAUUUGGAAUGGUGCAUUUGAUUCCACAGUUGACGUGGUAUCGUCUAUCGCUGGAAUUUAUAUUUAUAAAACUGACUUGUAAGGAAAGGAUUGAAGAUGCCUGUGAACUUAUAUUUCGAUUUAGAUUAUUGUAUGUUUUCCAUGUAUAAAAUUGGAUCCUAUCAUUCACAUAUCGUUAACAUGAGCAAUUUAGAUUACUAAAUAAUUCUUCUUUAUUAUUAUGCUGAAUUUGACUUUUUAUUGAAUAAUUUGAUAUAUGCCUUGAAUCAAUUUGGAGCUUCUACAACUUGUCAGGGAUCAGUUUCUCCUACAUUCUUUUCGGCGCCAAAAGAUAUUCAAGCGGUUGAAUAAGAUUUGAUAUAUACAAUAUAAAUACAAGAGCUGUUUGUCUUUUUACAAUAGGAAUAAUAUAUAAUGCUCAUCAAAACUUGCUGAUGAGAAAGUAAAUUCCUCAGAAAUUAAAUGUUUCAGCCAACCAAGGAAGCAGCUUUUCGUGGACCAACUCGGGUCUGUCGUCAUGGGGACAAUGUCCUACUCCUUCCAACACAAUUAACUUCACAUAUGAAAGUUGAGAAGGCAGAGAUUAGAAGUAUCUACCAACAGGUCCAUCGAGGGGGGUGAAUGGAUCCUCAUCACCCUAUAAAACUAGUACAGGUAUAGAGAUUGAUGGCAUCAAUUGCACGGGGUUCGGCCCUGGUGGGCCUGUCACAAUCGAAACAAAUGCAUCAAGUGCCCCUUCAUCAUUGGCGGGUUCUCGAAUGAUCUGCAAUUUUUAGGUCAAUUCAUGAAUUCUGAGUAGCCAUUUUUGUAAGAGGUUAAAAUGGCACAUAAGUGGAGAAUAUUAAUACCUCUACCAGUGUUUCAUCCACAGAUUUCUUAUUUGCAUAGAUGGACAGUAAAAUGUUCCUCAGUGUUUCCCUACAGCACCAAUAUAUACACAUCAUAGAAUUUUUUUAAUUUUUGACUGUACUGUUUUAGGAUAACGAAAAAUGGACUGAAUAGAGAGAAGAGAAAAUACCUUCGUUUCACAUCUUCAAAGAUUGCAUCUGCAAUUGGCCUUUGCUUAAACAAGAAAUCAAUGAACCAAAGCACUUCCNNNNNNNNNNNNNNNNNNNNNNNNNNNNNNNNNNNNNNNNNNNNNNNNNNNNNNNNNNNNNNNNNNNNNNNNNNNNNNNNNNNNNNNNNNNNNNNNNNNNNNNNNNNNNNNNNNNNNNNNNNNNNNNNNNNNNNNNNNNNNNNNNNNNNNNNNNNNNNNNNNNNNNNNNNNNNNNNNNNNNNNNNNNNNNNNNNNNNNNNNNNNNNNNNNNNNNNNNNNNNNNNNNNNNNNNNNNNNNNNNNNNNNNNNNNNNNNNNNNNNNNNNNNNNNNNNNNNNNNNNNNNNNNNNNNNNNNNNNNNNNNNNNNNNNNNNNNNNNNNNNNNNNNNNNNNNNNNNNNNNNNNNNNNNNNNNNNNNNNNNNNNNNNNNNNNNNNNNNNNNNNNNNNNNNNNNNNNNNNNNNNNNNNNNNNNNNNNNNNNNNNNNNNNNNNNNNNNNNNNNNNNNNNNNNNNNNNNNNNNNNNNNNNNNNNNNNNNNNNNNNNNNNNNNNNNNNNNNNNNNNNNNNNNNNNNNNNNNNNNNNNNNNNNNNNNNNNNNNNNNNNNNNNNNNNNNNNNNNNNNNNNNNNNNNGUUGAAUUAAUAUACCUGAGGCAGCAAAAACACAAGGUAGGCUUCGAACAGAAUUACGUACAAGCACUAUUGGCUUCUGAGCAGCUUCAUCCAAGAAAUCCAAUAGUAGCUGUAUCGGUGAGUCUCACUCAAGUUAGCAAGGAAAAUAACUACAAAUUAAAUAUGUGUUCAUUGUCCACAAUUUACAAAUUAAAUAUGUGUUCAUUGUCCACAAUUCAAUCUGUCAAAUGUAUGUUGAAACUUAUGGAAGUCGUUUUUUUUGUUGUCAAUAAUUUUGAAUUUUCAGGCACAUUUGGCACCACAAAGCCAUACCCAAUUUAACUUCCAAAAAUACAUCAAUAGGUCACUGGAAGAGGAUUUCAAGGUGGUUGUGGGAAUCAGGUCAGUACAUUUAGUUGUAAACCUUCUUAUUUAUUUAGUAGUGAUGCACAUCUUAAUUGCAAAUUCCACGUUAUAAACGAACUUAACCCUUUUUAUUGCUUUAAUUUCAAUUUCAGUCCAUUAAUCUGGUUCUUCGCAGUGGUGUUUCUGCUUUUCAACACUCAUGGUGAGUAAAUUAUAUUUUCAAAUAAUACUCAUUUAUGUUCCAUGUGUUUUAUUUUUAUAUCCAAUACUAACCGAACAAACUGACUAAUAUUUCAUCUUACAAUUCUUUCUGUACAGGCUGGUAUGCUUAUCUAUGGCUACCCUUUAUCCCAUUAAUUGUAAGCACAUAUAAUUAAGUUAAUUAUCUUUCCAAACUUUUAUACAUCCUUAAUCAGCCUACCCUUUUUAUUAGUUAACAGCGGGAUUAUUAAUCAACGGCUGAUGAUAAAUUUGCAGGUGAUCUUGCUGGUGGGAACCAAGCUGCAAGUGAUCAUAACCAAAAUGGGAAUUAGAAUUCAAGAAAGAGGAGAAGUUCUAAAGGGAGUUCCAGUAGUUCAGCUUGGUGAUGACCUGUUUUGGUUCAGUCAGCCUCGCCUCAUUCUUUAUCUCAUCAACUUUGUUCUCUUUCAGGUACCUAUUUAACUUGUAAAUUGAUGAUAUAAAUACAGGAGUUGUGAAAUAACUUUAAAGGAAAAUAAUUGCUUAUCCUUAACAUUUGUGGAUGCCUACAAUUAUAUGUUCACAGAAGUAAAUAGAAUAAAAAAAAAUAGUACAUUAUCAAUAAGAAAAGUUUACUACAAGAUGAAAAUUAUUUUUUGUCAUUUGUGCCUUGUGUACUAAAUUUUGUGUUAUUUUAUUACAUAUAAUAUUAUUCUACGGAAUGCGGGAAGAAAAAAUGUGGGGUCGAUUUAUUGUAAGCCCCAAAUUCAACCGAAGAUCCAAGCGCAAGUUUCAAACUAAACCAACCCAAAGUUUGGGCAACAGUCCAACGCAACCCAACUAAAAUCAUUUUAAUUUGAUUUUAGUUUGGGUUGACUUAGGCUUUGAUAAAUUCACAUGUUGUAUACCAUAAUUAAAAAAAGUAUCAUUUGUCAUACAUUUUAUACAUUAAACACAUAAACGUCCUCUCUGGAAUCUUUGUGGGCAACGCAUACGUGGUAUCUUCACUAAUAAGUGUUGAAUCUUUAGCUUCAAAGGAAAGAAACUAAAAAGGUUUGUAAAUUUACCCCACUUCUAGAAAAUAAUUAUAAUGAAUUCACAAUAGUUUUUAAAAAUUCAAAUUAAUAAAAAUUUUGUAUAGUUAAUCAAUUAAAUCCUUCUAUUAUUUUUUUUAUUAGAUUUCUUUGAGUGUAUUUGAUCAUAAACUUGAUAUAAAUUUUACUUUACUAUUUUAGUAUUAUGAUAUAAAAUGGCCAAAUUGUACAAUAAACACGGGUUAUUGUAUCCAAUAAUUUAGGUAUUUAAUUAUGUGAACUAAUAUUUUUAAAUGAAAUUUAACUAUUAUUUUCACUAUCUUACCUGUAAAUGAUGUAAAUUUGACAAGCUAAUAAUUUAUAUGAGUAUUGUGCCAUAAAGGCAUUAUGUUUGUUUAAUUAAUGUUUUACAAUCAUACUAAUAAAAUAGUAUUAAAAAUAAUGAAUUUGGUAUAAAAUUAGAAAAUAUUGAAGUUAAAGAAUUAGUUUUACCUUAUAAGGAUAAAAUAAUCAAUUUAGACUUAUGUCAAAUCAAUCUUUAUGAUCAAAUAUAAUAAAAAAAUUUAAGUCACAAAAAGUAAAUUAAAAUAGAUUUGUUAAUUUGUUCUCCAAAGUUCAAAAUGAGUAAAAGGGAUUAGGCUUCGUAGUUUAGGAAAUAAAUUUACUGAAUAGAAAUAUUUUUAGUAUAUAUUAUUUAUUUUUCAUUCAAACAUUUUCUCAUUUCAGCAAAGGUCACAAAAAUUUACUUAUUUAAUUUAAAUGUAAAUGUCUAAAAAUUAGAUAUAAAUUAUUAAAAAAAAUUAAUUUUUUAAAAAAAGUUAGACUUCCUAUGUUUAACAAUCAACCCUAAGGAUAAUGAAAAAGAGCUAUUAAAACAAAAAAAAAAAAUUUUGAAACUAAAUACAAUUAAUUGAGAGAUGAGGACGGAUAAGAUAAAUUCAGAGAUAAAAAUUAAAAUAUCACCCUACUUAUUGCUGGCAGUUAUGAGCAUUAAAGCACAGAAGCACGUGUGUUGAAAAGUAUGGUGUUCGUGUGGAAUUUUCAGCUAAAAGUCUACAAGGCAGUUGAAUUAAUCAAUCAUCGUGGAGUGCACGGUGGUUGGACAAUGAGAUGAAAUUGAAAAACUAUCACGGAACUUGAAGGAAGGUUCAUGGCAUCGAUUUAUUCUACAGAGUCACGCACAUUUGGUUCAAUAAUUGUUUUCAUCCGAAUCAAAAUCUCUCUCUCAUCAAUUCAACUGUUUCUGUUGAUUAUGGCUUCUUCUUCUCGAAACAACAAGAAGUAUGAUGUUUUUGUUAGUUUCAGAGGAGAGGACACCCGCGACAACUUUACUAGCCAUCUCUAUUCUGCUCUGAGCCGACAAAAUAUCCAAACUUUCAUUGAUGACCAACUUAACAGAGGAGAUGAAAUUUCGGAGUCACUUGUGAAUGCAAUUGAAGCAUCAGCCAUUUUAGUUAUUGUCUUCUCAGAAGGGUAUGCAUCUUCCAAAUGGUGUCUCGAUGAACUUGUCAAGAUCCUCAAGUGCAAGAAAGAGUAUGCACAGAUUGUGAUUCCGGUUUUCUAUCGGGUUGAUCCAUCAGACGCGAGAAACCAAACAGGGCCUUUUGGGAUUUCAUUUUCGAAGCUUGAAGAAAGAUUUAAGGAGAAUUCAGAGAAGCUGCAGACUUGGAGGAAAGCUUUGAAGGAAGCAGCCAGUUUGUCUGGCUUUCAUUCUCUUAACAUCAGGUGAAAUUGAAAAGUCACCUUUAAUUUCUCAUACUAAUAUUUAACAAUAAAUAAAAUUCACGCAACACUCUUAGUUAAAUUUCCAGAUGCUAAACUACAAUUUUAAAUAUUUUUAAGCAUCAAAUUCUAGACUUCUUGACUUCCCCACUUUUGUGCUCUAUAAUUAUAAAAUAAUUUUGACAGAAUUAAUAAUAGAAGCGCGAGAAUUUUACAAUUUUUACAUAGCAAAAUUAGUGGUAAAAAAAAAAUCACACAUAUUCCUGUAACUUAAGAGUUAUCAAUUUAUUGUGAGAUUGUAGACUUAUAGUGAUAUAUAUUAAUUUCAAUAGGAAAACUAACAAUCUACCUUAUUUCAUAUUUAAUACAAAUUCCUAGCUCCUAUUAAUUAAUUUGAAGUUACCUCGGCUAAUUUUAUGUAUUUGCUAGGCGUGAGUCAGAACUUAUAAAUGAAGUUGUUAAUCACAUUUUGAAGAGAUUGGAUGAUGUGUUUCGGCCGGGUGAUAACAACAACCAGCUGGUUGGACUAGAAUCAACAGUUGAGAAAAUUGAAUCUCUAUUAGGUGUUGAGUCGAAAGAUGUUUGGGCUUUAGGGAUUUGGGGCAUUGGUGGUAUAGGCAAAACAACAAUCGCUAGAGCUACUUUCGACAAAAUCUCUAGAUAUUUUGAAGGUUCUUGCUUCCUUGAAAAUGUCAGAGGAGAAGUACAAAGACCGGGAGGAUUAGCUUGCCUGCGACAAAAACUUCUUUCAAAUUUAUUGAAGGAUAAAAAUGUGAUUCUUGAUAUUGGCCUCAAUUUUCGAAGGCUCAGCCGCAUGAAGGUUCUGAUUGUUUUUGAUGAUGUGACUUGCUUCAGCCAAUUGGAAUCUUUAAUUGGAAGUCUUGAUUGGUUGACGCCUGUGAGUCGAAUCAUAAUAACCACCAGAAAUAAACAAGUGCUUAGAAAUUUGGGGGUGGGGAAAGUAUAUGAGAUGGGGCCAUUAGAGUAUCAUCACGCUCUUGAGCUUUUUAGUCGACAUGCCUUCAAACGAAACCAUCCUGAUGUUGGUUACGAGAAACUUUCAAGCAACGUAAUGAAAUAUGCUCAAGGUGUUCCUUUAGCUAUUAAAGUUUUGGGUUGCUUUCUAUAUAUAAGGGAAAAAGAAGUCUGGGAAAGUGCAAUAAAUAAAUUGCAAAGUAUCCUCCACCCAAGUAUCCUAGAGGUAUUAAAAAUAAGUUACGAUGGUUUGGACGAUAAGGAGAAAAAUAUUUUCCUUGAUGUUGCUUGUUUCUUUCAAGGCGAGGGUGUAAAUCUGGUAAUGAAAUUCUUUAAUGCAAGCGGUUUCUAUCCAGAAAUAGGAAUAAGUGUUCUCAUCGAUAAAUCUCUCAUUGUUAUUGAUUCAUACAGCAAGAUAACAAUGCAUGAUUUACUACAAAAAUUGGGUCGGGAAGUUGUUCGACAAGAAUCAAUUAAUCCUGAAAACCGCAGUAGGCUGUGGCAUCAUGAGGAUACCUAUGAAGUUCUUACACAUAAUACGGUAAUCAUUUUGUUGUGGAUCAUUAUUUUGGAAUAUUAUAGCAUUUACAAACUUGAUAUAUAUAUAUAUAUAUCGAACCGAUGAGCCUUGGAAUUAAUAGCAGUGUGACAAUGAUUAGGAAAAAAAAAACAAUAAUGGUUAAAUGAUGUAACGUGUGAUCGUUUGUAAGCCUAAUUUAAAUAUCAACUUGUAUACUAUACAUACAUAAUUUUUAUGUUAAAUAUUAUGUGUGAUAUUAUGUUUCUUUGUGCAUUUGCAAUUAAGAGUUUAGCUGCCGAGCAAUAACCUUAAACAUGGAUUAUUGAAAUUUGAUUCCUGUAAUGGCAGAGAGCCCCACUCCUAUCCCACCUCAACCCUACUCAAGAAUAAAUAAACGUUGAAUUAAAAACUAAGCUACCUCUAAUCGUGAAUUAAUGACAAACUUGCCCCAAAAAUUUGUCUUCGUUGGGUUGAGGUGCGAUUCAUUGGUGGAAUAUACAUAUCAUUUUUCAUUUAAUUUUAACUUUAUUCUUUUUUUUUUAAAUUAAAUUUUAGGGGACAGAAAAAAUUGAGGGCAUUUGUUUGGAUAUGUCAAAAGUAAAAGAUAUCCAUCUAAAUCCCAGUACUUUCACAAAGAUGCGUAAGUUGAGAUUUUUAAAAUUCUAUAGCUCAUCAUUCAAUGGAGAGAACAAAUGUAAGUUGUCUUAUUUGCAAGACCCCGGAUUUGCUGAAGUGAAGUAUUUUUACUGGCAUGGAUACCCGUUGAAGUCAUUGCCUUCAAACCUUAAUGCAGAGAAGCUUUUGUUUCUUGAACUGCCUGAUAGCGACAUUGAACAACUUUGCGAUGGUGUGAAGGUAUGUAUAUCUUGAUAUAUAUGUGCAAUCUUUCAAUAAUAACGUUAAAUUAUCAUACAUGGUAAUGAUUUUGUGUUGGCUUCUUUUUGAUCGAGCAGCGUCAUGGUAAGUUAAACCAGAUAAUCCAUGCUGCCUGCAAGAAGCUAAUUGCCAAAAUUCCAAGCCCCACGUUGAUUCCACAUCCGAACAAGCUAGUUGCCUUGAAUCUAAGAGGUAGCAAAAGCCUGAAAAGUCUUCCAGCUAGAAUAUUUAAUUUGGAAUUUCUUAUCGAACUUGAUCUUUCGGGUUGUUCAAAACUGAAGAGGCUUCCAGACAUCUCAUCUGGUAACAUAAGCCGGCUAUAUUUAAGUGGAACUGCAAUUGAAGAACUGCCCUCAUCAUUUCAGCUUCUACUUAGGCUUUCGUGGCUGGACCUUUCAGAUUGUAAAAUGCUUAAGAGUCUCCCCAGCAGCCUAUGUAAGUUGAAAUCUCUUGGAGUUCUUGAUCUCCAUGGUUGCUCAAAUCUUCAGAGAUUGCCUGAACGUCUUGGCCAGUUAUCGUCGCCAAUAGUAUUGAAUCUAGUGAAAACCAAUAUUGAGAAGAUACCAGAAAGCAUUAUCCAACUUUUUGUGUUGGGAUGCCUCCUUUUAAAUUAUUGUGAGGUGCAUCACGAAUCCUUACCAAAGCCUCCAUUCCUUGUACGAUGGUUAGGUGCCGAUCAUUGCCCGAUACUACAAUCAUUAAUAGGUUUAUUCUCUAAGUUCUGAAUCUUAUAAGCAGUGAUUUUUGACCAAAGCAAUAAUUUUUAAUUGGAAGGUAAUUCUACUGCAGGAAUUAUUGAAGAUUCUCAGAGAAGUGAGCAUAUGGGCCAUGUGGUAGCUGCCCGUUGGAAAGAAGUACGGGAAAAGGUGUGUCUUAACUCUCUCUCCUUACUUUAUACAACAUUUGUUUUGUUUAAAAUUAUGAUUUUUUGGUGCAGAGAGGUAUUCCCAUGGAAAAAAGUCAUUUUGUACUAGUUGGGAAUGAAAUUCCAAGGUGGUUUAAUUUUCAAAGUGUGGGAUCUUUUAUAACCUUGGAGAUGCCCCCAGAUUUCUUCAAUAACAACAGAGUACUGGGCUUUGCAUUUAGUGCAAUUUUAGCAUUUUCAGACCGUCAUGUAGAUUGUGGCAGAUGGUUUUCAUUUUCUUGUGAGCUCAAAGUGAAAACCAACAAAGAUUGUGAUCUGCAUGACAAACGGUUAUUUCAGAGCAGAGUUAAUUAUAUAGAAUCAGAUCACUUACAUUUUGGGUACUAUCUGUUCUGUGAAGAGGAUUUUAAUGGUUUUUGGAAAAGCAAUUCCAUUCCUGAGGCCGUCCACUUUAAUGUUUUUCCGCCUUUGAAGUGUGAGUGCUGCGGGGUGAAAAAAUAUGGGAUCCAUUUAGUUUGCCUCCCAGAUUCUACGAAUUCAAUGGACGAUCCAAGCACAUGUUUCAACGAUAACGAAGAAGACUAAGAUUUUCAUGAAUAUAUUUUUUUUUUGCUUUCCUUUUUCUAAUCACUAUUAAUAAUAGGAAAAAAUGUCAAAAUCAGUUCUUGGAACAAAACAUUCAUGUAAUAACUUUCGAGGGAUCUGGUGCAUGUGACACAGAUUCACACUAGAGCAUUGAACUUUACCUUAUUAGAUGAAGAGUAUGUUGUAUGAAAAGCACAUGAUGUAUUAUAAAAUUAAAAUUAUUGGCCUAUUUCCUGCUUUGCACACGCAACCCAUGACGAUUUUGUUAUUGAGCUUUGUAACCCAAAACACAUCUACUUAGUUAGGAGAGUACAUGACUUAUAAACAAGUAAAAAAAACUCACUUGCUAGUGAUGUGAGAUAUUUCAUGACGUGCAGCAAGUUCUUAUUGGCAGAGCUAUGUUGUGGGCCCAUAUCUCUAUCAAUGAAAACAUGUCACUCACCCCGUUGGCGCACUAUAUCAACUCUCAUGUAUAUAACACAAUCACAUUUGACAAUUUUCUAUUUCUUAAAUCUAAAUUGUUGUAUAUGGGAAGUUUCAUCAUUGGGAAGCAAAAGCCAUAAAGAGGGAACAGUCAAAACACCAUCAAAUCUAAUAUAUUUUAAAAAAUAUAUUUGUAUACUGAUUAAAAAAAGAAGAAAGAACAGGAUAGGUGUCAUUUUGACUCAACUCAUUUGUGUUGUGAAUCCAUUUGCUUAAACAUGUAUGCACUUUUUCAAGUAUCUAUACCAAUUCCAUAAUCGGAAUGGUGCAUUUGAUUCCAUAGUUGACAUGGUAUCGUCAUAUGGCUAGAAUUUAAUUACCGUUAAAAAACUGACCUGUAAGGAAAGGAUUAAAGAUGCCCGUGAACUUAUAUUUCUAUUUAGAUUAUUUUAUUUUUUCCAUGUGUAAAGUUGAAUCCUAUUAACAUGAGCGAUAUAAAUUACUAAAUCGUUGUUCUCUAUUCUUUAGAUUGCUGUAUCUUUUUCAUGUAAAAAAUCGAAGCCUUUCAUUAACAUAUCAUUAACAUGAGCAAUAUAGAUGACUAAAUCAUUGUUCUUUACUAUUGUGCUGAAUUUGACUUUUUGAAGCGAGUUAGACUUUUCAUUGAAUUAUUUGGUACAUUUCUUGAAUCAAUUUGGAGCUUCUGCAACACGUCAGGGAUUAGUAUCUCCUACAUUCCUUUCAGUGCCAAAAGAUAUUCAAGCAGUUGAAUAAGAAUUGAUAUAUACAAUGUAAAUACUAGAAUUGUUUGUCAUUUUACAAAUGAUCAACAAUUGCCUUGUUGUUCAUGCUGCCACCAGCACAAUUCAACAAAACAAGCCCUCGAACAAGUGUUUGACUGGAUUCUUAUGGUAGAAAAUAUAGCAGGUUUAUCGCAAACCAUAGUUACCGAAAAGGCUAAUUAAGUGCGGGUGUUUUUUUGCAAGCAAGAUGACUAAUAUCUGAUGCCCAAGAGGAAGUUAAAUUAAUAUACCUGAGGCAGCAAUAACACAAGUAGAGAUGGUCAAUGCAAGGCCCAUGCGUGCUUGUGCCCGUGCAGUGCCCAUUAUAUGUUUCGUGCCGUGCCAUAAUUUUUUUUGCUUAGGACAGGGCCGGCACACGUGUCAUGUCUAUUAGUGCCGUGCCGACACAUGCCUUGCCAUGGGCUGUACCGUGCCGUGCCAUGCCUAAGAAAAAAAGCCCAAUAAACUUUUUUCUUUUUUUUAAAUUUUUUUAAGAGCACAUGCUAAACUGUUGGUGUACUUUUUUCAAGUAUAUGUAUUCUUUCUUGGGUCUAUGUCUUUAUUCAAAUUUAAUAGAAUCGAAAAAAUUCAAAAUUCAAGUUCAUAUUUAAUAAUAAUAAACUAAUAAUAGUAAGAAAAUAUAAUAUUAAUUAUUAAGUUUGACCUUAUAGUAUUAGAAUUUUCUUAAUACUUAACAACAACAAUAAUAAUAAAUUUUUUUUAAAGGUUAACUUAAUUGUUAACUUGUGCUUACAUAGAGUUAUAAAUCAUAGUUCAUAAUAAUAUUAAUGCAUAUUUAUAAAAUCAUGAUAUUUAUAAUUUUAUUCAUUAAAAUCAUGAUAUCAAUUAUUUAUUUAAUAAAUUAUAAAUAUAAAUCAAUUAUAGUAUUUUUUAAACUAAGAAUUUAAUGAAUUUAAAAAUUCAAUUUCAAGUUAUUUGUAAAAUCAUAAAAUUUUAAGUUUACCUUCAUUAAAAAAUAAAACGUGCUUAUUGCAGCCUUUUUUAUCGUGUCGUGCUUAGCUCAUCUCUAAUCGUACCGUGUUUUUAAGGCAUGUGUGCGUAAAAUUCUAAGUUCGGCCUGGCAGAUGUGUGUGCCGUGCCCCGCGCCCUACCGAAAUGUGCUCGUGUAUUGCCGUGCCACGUGCCGUCCGACCCAUUGGCCAUCUCUAAACACAAGUUAGGCUUCGAACCGAAUUACGUAUAAGCACAGCUGGCUUCUAAGCAACUUCAUCCAAGAAAUCCAACAUUAGCUGUAUCGAUGAGUCUCACUCAAGUUAGCAAGGAAAAUAACCUAAGGUCGAGCGAUUGAUGAUAUAAGUAUAGGAGCUGUCAUAUUUGACCCCCUUAUUAUAUUUUAUUAGCCCCAUUAAUCACUUUUAUAUAAAUAGUUUUUACUCUUUAUCUUUAUAUGAAAUAACUUGAAAGGAAAAUAAGUAAUGAUCCUUAGCGUUUGUGGAUGCCAACUAUAUGUACACAACAGUAAAUAGUAUAAAAACUAGUACAUUAUAAAAAAAAUCACUACAAAAUAAAAAUUAUUUUUGUCAUUUGUGCCUGUGUUAUUUUUAUUACAUGUAAUAUUAUUGCACGGAUGCGGGAAGAAAAAAUUUGGGGUCAAUUUGUUGUAAGCCCCAAAUGCAACCGAAGAUCCAAGCGCAAGUUUCAAACCAAACCAACGCAAAGUUUGCGCGGCAAUCCAACUCAACCCAACUAAAAUCAUUUUAAUUUGAUUAUAGUUUGGGUUGACUUAAGCUUUGAUAAAUUCGCAUGUUAUAUAACACAAUUAAAAUAAAAUAUCAUUUGUCAUACAUUUUAUUCAUUAAAAACAUAGUAAAAAAAAUUUCAAAAAUUCAGUGGCGCCCAACGUCCUUUCUGGUAUCUUUGUGGGCAACACGUACGUGGUGUCUUCACUAAGUGUUGAAUCUUUAGCUUCAAAGGAAAGAAACAAAAAAAAAAGGUAGGGAUAUUUCCACCCCAUUAUUUUUGUAAAUUCACACCACUUUUAUAAAAUAAUUAUAAUGAAUUCACAAUAUUUUUAAAAAAUACAAAUUAAUCAAAAUUGUGUAUAGUUAAUCAAUUAAAUCAUUCUAUUAUCUUACUUCUUAGAUUUCUUUGACUCUAUUUGAUCAUGAACUCUGAUAUAAAUUUUAUUUUUCUAUUUUAUUAUUAUGAUAUAAAACAAAAAAAUUGCCUAACUAACAUGAGUUAUUGUAUCUAAUAAUUUAUGUAUUUAAUUAUGUGAACUAAUAUUUUAAAUGAAAUCUAAUUAUUAUUUUCACUACCUUACAAAUAAAUGAUAUAAAUUUGACAAGCUAAUAAUUUACAUGAGUAUUGUGCCAUAAAGACAUUAUGUUUGUUUAAUUAAUGUUUUAUAAUCAUACUAAUAAAGUAGUAUUAGAAAUAAUGAAUUUGGUAUAAAAUUAGAAAAUAUUGAAGUUAAAGAAUUAGUUUUACCUUAUAAGGAUAAAAUAAUCAAUUUAGACUUAUGUCAAAGCAAUCUUUAUGAUCAAAUAUAAUAAAAAAUAUUUAAGUCACAAAAAGUAAAUUAAGAUAGAUUUGUUAAUUUGUUCUCCAAAGUUCUUUUUUAUUUAAUUUUUUUAAAAAAUAAUGUGUACUUUUUGUAAUUAUUUUUUAAAAAUGGAGUGGAUUUGGAGAUAUCAUUAGCCAACAAAAAAUUUAGUAAGGAUUAAUUUGAUAAUUGCCCAUAAAAAGAAGGCAUAUGUGCAUGUGGUGGUAGGGAAGCGUUUUUCCAUUCUACAAUUACAUGUAAGAAUCUAUUAUAAAAAAUUUAUCAGUUCUUCACUCCACUAAAAUUUAUCAGAGAAUGAGGUGAAAAAUAUGGGCCAAAUAAAACUAUUAACAUAUAAAAAAAUUUAAAUUAUUAAAAAUAAUAACUAAAAAAUACAUAUUUGUUAAGAAUUUUGGAAUUAUUUUUCUUUGAGUAAUGAUACUAUAAUUCAAAAGACGCUUUUUGAAUUACAUCAGAUUUUUUAUUCAAAACGAACAAAGGGAUUAUAUUUUACCAUUUAGGAAAUAACUAUAUUUAGUAGAGAUAAUUUUGGGAUAUAUCAUUUACUUUCUAUUGAGACAUUUUCAUAUAUUAGAUAAAAGUUACAAAAGUUUACAUUAAAAAAAAAGAAAAAUUAGACUUCACACGUUUAACAAAUAACCCGAAGGAGUAUGAAUAAGAAUUAUUAAAAUAAAAAUGAUAAAUAAGGAUAAUUUUAAAAUUAAAUGCAAUUAAUGGAGAGAUGAUGACUGAUAAGAAAACUUGGGGGGCAAAAAUUAAAAUAUCAACCUACUACUCAUGGUUGAUAGUCAUGACCCACUCAAUUUGAGAAUUAAAAGCACAAAAGCCAUGUGUUGAAAACUUUGGUGUUCAUGGGGAAAUUUCAGCAAAAAGUCUAAAAAGCAGUGAAAUUAUCUUGCAGUGCACGGUGCCGGGACAAUGAGAUGAAGUUGAAAAAUUAUCACGAAAAAUUCCAAGGAAGAGUGCCAAUAGUCUUACUCAUAACGCCGUGUCUAACUCAAAACACAGAGUAGGAGUUCUAUGAAAGUAACGGAAGAGUGCCAAUAGUCUUAACUCAUAAUUUCAACUGAAAAAAUCUGCCAAGUCGAAAAAUUAGGUGGGCAUUCCAAUAACCCUUGAAUAUUCCACGAAUCAUUGUCCAGGAAGCUUGGAAAAUGAGCUAUCAGGUCAAUAUAUGCUGCAGAGUCACGCUCAUUUUGGCUUUGUAAUUGUUUUCAUCUUAUCACAAUCUCUCUCUAAUCAAUUCAACUGCUUCUGUUGAUUAUGGCUUCUUUUUCUGGAAACAACAAGAAGUAUGAUGUUUUUGUUAGUUGCAGCGGAGAAGACACCUGCGACAGCUUUACUAGCCAUCUCUAUUCAGCCCUGUCUCGACAAAAUAUCCAAACUUUCAUUGAUGACCAACUUAACAGAGGAAAUGAAAUUUCAGAGUCACUUGCGAUUAAAGCAUCAGCCAUUUCGGUUAUCAUUUUCUCUGAAGACUACGCUUCUUCCAGAUGGUGUCUUGAUGAACUUGUGGAGAUCCUCGAGUGCAAGAAAUGUUGUGCGCGGAAUGCAGAAUCAAGCGAACCAAAUAAUUAUAGAAAAAUAAAUGACACAAGAAUUACGUGGUUCGGUAAUUAAACCUACAUUCACGGAGGCAAGAAAGAAUAAUUGUUUAUUUAACAAUUAAUAGAGUACAAAUAUUUGAGUAACGAAUCUCACUUCCUAGAAACCCAAAUAUACCCAGUACUCUCACACUCUGCAGGAAAGAUAAAUUCCUCAGACACACUUCUCUCAAAAGCUUAGAAACUUAUAAGCUUAACAAUUUUGGGAUGAAAUGGAAUGAAGAAAUGCUCUCUAUUUAUAGGCUUAAAGCUAGUACUAUUCCACCUAACCCAUGCAAAUAUGUCAAUAGUGUCCAUUUGGCAAACUUGACAAAUUUGCCAACUUUUCAUUUUUUCUUCAAAUGUUUGGUAGCUCUUUGAAAAAUUGCAUGCUUUCUUGAAUUUCAUGCCACGUGCAUGAUUUUUCAACAAUUCUCCACUCGGCGAAAAUUUGUCCAAAUUUGAGCCGACUACCAACGAACCAUCAUCCCCAAAGUGGCUGCAUCUCUGUGACUGUCUACGUACCCAAAAUUUGGGAUCAAGCCAACCGUAGUUCAAAAUUCCCGAAGGACAUAUCUUAACACAAGCGAAGGAUUUGAAUUAGUUUCAAGCAAUGUUGAAACUUAACUCCAGAAACUACCCUCGUCAACAUAUCUGAUGGAUUAUCUUUGGUAUCGAUCUUUCUCAACAAUACAACACCGCUCUCGAUAAUCUCUCUCACAUAAUGAUAUUUCACAUCUAUGUGCUUCGUUCGAGCGUGAUAUGUUUGAUUCUUCGCAAGGAAUAUCGCACUUUGAUUAUCAUAGAAGACCGCAAUGUUCUCUUGGAUUACUCCCAAAUCACCUAACAAGCCUUUCAACCAGAUAACUUCUUUUACAGCUGCAGUUGCUGCCAUAUACUCUGCUUCCGUAGUGGACAGAGCAAUUGUCGAUGGCAAAAUCGACCUCCAACUAACUGGAUCUCCACCCAAUGUGAAUACGUAGCCUGUUGUUGAUCUUCACUUGUCAAGGUCUCCAGUGAAAUCAAAAUCACAAUACCCAACACAUUGUUGACCACAAUCCUUCUUGAACAAUAACCCAACAUCAACUGUCCCAUACAGAUAUCGGAGAAUCCACUUUACCUCAAGCCAUUGAUUUUUACCUGGAUUGUGCAUGUAUCUACUUACCAUGCUCACUGCUUGAGAUAUAUCGGGCCUUGUGCAUACCAUAGCAUACAUAAGACUACCCACGGCACUAGCAUAUGGAACACAAGCCAUGUAAUCGCGCUCUUCUUGAGAUCUAGGACAUGAAGAAGAGCUUAAUUUGAAAUGAGGAGCUAGAGGUGUACAUACCGGUUUAGUUUUGUCAUCCAUACUGAAUCUUUCUAGCACUUUCUUCAAAUAAUACUUUUGAGUCAACCAUACGCUCCCAUUCUUCUUGUCUCUACGAAUCUCCAUCCCAAGUAUUCUCUGUGCAUCACCCAAGUCUUUCAUCUCGAACUCAGAAGCCAGCUGCUUCUGUAAUCUUUCGAUCUCAUCUCUAUUCUUCGAAGCUAUAAGCAUAUCAUCGACAUAGAGUAACAAAUAGAUGAAACCUCCAUCUGGUAGUCUUCUAAAGUAAACACAAUGAUCGUGUUCACUUCUGGUGAAUUUCUACCCUUGUAUAAAUUGAUCAAAUCUUUUGUACCACUGCCUUGGCGAUUGCUUCAGUCCGUACAAAGAUUUAAUCAACCUACACACAUGAUUCUCCUUUCAGCAACUCUGAAACCACAAGGUUGAAUCAUAUAAAUUUCCUCCUCCAAAUCUCCAUGUAAGAACGUCGUCUUAACAUCCAACUGAGCCAACUCUAACUCAUUUUCUGCAACUAAAGCAAGUAGGAUACGAAUGGAAGUAUGUUUUACAACUGGAGAGAAAACUUAAUUGUAGUCAAUACCUUUCUUUUGAGCAAAACCUUUUGCCACGAGCCUUGCCUUGUAUCGAGGAGUUGAUUGAGUCAGAGAUGCUUGCUUUUUGGUGUAGACCCAUUUAUUGCCAAUAGCCCUUUUCUCCUUUGGUAAUUUUACAAGUUCCCAAGUCUGGUUUUGAUGGAGAGAUUUCAUCUCUUCCUCCAUGGCUAACUUCCACUGAUCACUUUCGCUACUAUGUAAUGCUUCACCGAAAGUGUUGGGGAUGUCAUCAUCAAUAACUGGAAGUGCAUAGGCUACCACCAGAGCUUUAGUAAGUCAUCCGGGUUUCUUUAUCUCUCUUCUUGGCCUCCUUGUUGCUAUAAAAUCAUCAUUAUCUACAUCAUCAAUUGUUUCUUCAUUUUGUGGGACAUCAGAAGAAACAACCUCUUCUUCAACUCUAGGUGUCACCUCCAUAGUUGAACCAUUCUUUGAUGUAGAACUAACUGGUACAUAUAGAGUUGCAUCAAACUCCACCCGCUGCAAUACCUCUUUGGUCUUGUUCUCCACCUGCUGAGAACUUGAAGCUUUCAUUAUUGAAGCUUCAUCAAAUGUGACAUCUCUACUACACACAAACUUUUUAUCUUCGAGAUCCCAAAGCUUAAAGCCCUUUACUCCACGUUUGAAUCCCACAAAGAUAGCUUUUUUAGCACGAGGAUCCAGUUUACCAUCUUUAAUAUGAUAAUAAGCUGGACAUCCGAAUAUACGAAGGGAAUCAUAGUCUUGUGCAUGCUUUCCAGACCACAUUUCUAUAGGAGUUUUACCUCCAAUUGCAGUAGAAGGCAACCGGUUUACCAAGUGACUUGCGUAGCCCACAGCUUCAGCCCAAAACUUUUUAUCUAAACUAGCAUUAGAUAACAUACACCGUACCUUCUCCAGUAAAGUAUGAUUCAUACGCUUAGCCACACUGUUCUGUUGUGGAGUAUGUCUCAUCGUGAAAUGUCUUUUAAUAUCCUCAUUCUGGCAUAAUUGCAAGAAUGGAUCAGAAGUAUAUUUACCCCCAUUAUCAGAUCGUAAUACUUUGAUCUUUCUGCCAGUUUGAGUCUCCACCAAUUUCUUCCAUUUCACGAAAAUCUCUAGAACCUCAUCCUUUGCUCGCAUGGUGUACACCCACACACGUCUAGAGAAAUCAUCAACAAAUGUAACAAAAUAAUGGCUUCCACCAAUUGAUGCAGUCUUGGUUGGUCCCCAUACAUCACUAUGAACAUAUUCAAGGAUCUCACGAGUAUCGUGAUUAGCUGUACCAAACUUGACCCUUGUUUUCUUGCCUACUACACAAUGCUCACAGAAAUUUAAUUUACAAGUUUUGGUACCUUUUAAGAAUCCAUGCCUCAUCAGAUUUUGCAAAAACUUCUCUCCAGCAUGUCCUAGUCGUACAUGCUAUAACUUGGUGGUGUCACUGUGCGCCUCAACAACAUUUGCUUCAUCAGUUGUGCCUUCCUUCAAAUAGUACAGAUUGUGACACCGAACCCCUUGUAGAAUCACCAUAGCCCCAUGUGUAAACUUCAUUAUACCAUUUUCAAUGGUAACCUUGUAGCCUCUUGUAGCCUUUAGCUUCCAAAGCACCCAUAGAAAUUAGAUUUUUCUUUAAAGCUGGAACAAAUCUAACCUCUUUGAGUUCUCUGACCAUUCCAUCAAACAUUUUGAGCCGAAUUAUUCAUAUCCCCCUUGUGCGACAAGGUUGAUCAUUCCCCAUCACAACUGCACCGGAUUCCAGAUUACGAAAAUCUGUAAACCAUUCCUUAAUAGGACACAAAUGAUAGGUUGCUCCAGUAUCAAGUAUCCACUCGCUCGAACUAGCCACGUAUACUACAGGAGUAAUACUUAGUGAAUAAUCAGAGUCUUCAUCUUUCCGUGCCAUGUUUGCUACUGCUAGUUUUUUCCCAUCUCUCUUUUGAGCCUUUGGACAAUCUUUCCUCCAAUGGCCCUUUUCAUGACAAAAGGCACACUCGUCUCGAGCUAUAUUUCUGCUUCUCGAUUUGGAUCGAGAAUUCUUUCCACCACGCUUUUUCUUUUUCUCCAUCUCCCAAUCUCUGCUCACCAAAGCUUCAGACGAUGCUCGUUCAGAAUUUUUAUUAUUAUUCUAAAUCUCCAAGUUAGUCAAUGUUGUACAAACAUCUUUGAAGAUGAUCACGCUUUUUCUAUAUAUUAAGGUAGUCACAAAAUGCCUAUAUUGCUCUGGUAGUGAGUGUAACAAAAUCAUAGCCUUGACUUCAUCCUUAAUACCUUCAUCAAGAUUCUUCAAAUCAGCAAGUAACUUUUCAAAUCUUAAGACAUGAUCGUGCAUUGACACCCCAGGCUUCAUUCGAAAACCAUAUACUUGGCUCAUUGCAUGAAGGCCAUUUUCAGGACUUUUCACCAGGUACUUCUCCUCCAAUGUACGCCACAAAGUCACCGCACACUCCUCAUCUUUCACCAAGUAUUUCACCUCCUUGGUCAAACAAAAUCUGAUCUGACCACAAGGUUUCUCGUUCAUACGAUCCCAAAUUUCUUCAUCAUACAAGUGUCUUUUAUUUUUCAAAACAACAUCAAGAUCGAUUUAAAUAAGGGCAUCCAUAGCUUCGCGCCUCCACAUGCCGAAGUUGAUUUUCCCAUCAAACUUUUCAACAUCGAUUUUCUGGCCUCCUAUAACAGGUGCUGAAUAGCGAUUUGACAAAUCUCGCCUCCACCUGAAGUGUCUCCUGAAAUAGUCUCAGUAGAUCUCUCCCCAAUUCUGGAAGUUUCACCUUCUACCAUUUUCUCAAUGAACUAUUUCCACUUGAAAAACAGUCUCUAUGAUGUUAAUUUCUCAUGAAUAAAUGCACCAGGAAAGUUUCCAGGAGACUGGACGGGAACUCGGUCCCAAUUAAAAGCCAGAAUCCUUAGACUCUUAUCGUCUUUGUUGACAGAACUUUCCUAGACAUGCAAAAAUAUACACUACUUACAAUAGAUUGUCUCCCAAGUACAAAUGGCCGUCUCCACCGUAUUCGUGAACAGUACCGUAUGUGAACAGUACCGUAUACGGGAAUAGUACCGUAUAUGUGAACAGUACCGUUUCCCCCCAAUUACGAACCGUCGGCUCUGAUACCACUUGUUAUGCGCGGAAUGCGGAAUCAAGCGCACCAAAUAAUUAUAGAAAAAUAAAGGACACAAGAAUUACGUGGUUCGGUAAUUAAACUUGCAUCCACGGAGGCAAGAAAGAAUAAUUGUUUAUUUAACAAUUAAUAGAGUACAAAUAUUUGAGUAACGAAUCUCACUUCCCAGAAACCCAAAUAUACCCAGUACUCUCAUACUCUGCAGGAAAGAUAAAUUCCCCAGACACACUUCUCUCAAAAGCUUAGAAACUUAUAAGCUUAACAAUUUUGGGAUUAUAUGGAAUGAAGAAAUGCUCUCUAUUGAUAGGCUUGAAGCUAGUACUAUUCCACCUAACCCAAGUACUAUUCCACCUAACCCAAGCACUAUUCCACCUAACCCAUGCAAAUAUGUCAAUGGUGUCCAUUUGGCAAAUUUGCCAACUUUUCAUUUUGUCUUCAAAUGUUUGGUAGCUCUUUGAAAAAUUGCAUGCUUUCUUGAAUUUCAUGCCACGUGCAUGAUUUUUCAACAAGAAAGAGCAUGCACAGAUUGUGUUACCGGUUUUCUAUCGCGUUGAUCCAUCAUACGUGAGAAACCAAACAGGGAGUUUUGGGGAUUCAUUUUCAAAGCUUCAAGAAAGAUUUAAGCAAAAUUUGGAGAAGCUGCAGACAUGGAGGAAGGGAUUGAGAGAAGCGGUCGGUUUGUCUGGAUUUCAUUAUCGUAGCAUCAGGUGAAAAGUUACUUUUAAUUUCUCAUGCUAAUUCAUGCAGCACUCUUAGUUAAAUUUCCGGAUGCUAAACUACAAUUUUAAAUUUUUUUUAGGUAUCAAAUUCUAGGCUUCUUGACUUCCCCACUUUUGAACCCCGAUAAUUAUGAAAGAACUUUGACAGAAUUAAUAAUAAAAGACCAAUAAUUUUACAAUAUAUUUAACAAAAUUAAUGGUGGUCUGUCGUUGUUUAAGCAAUUUCAACCUCACAUACCUCCAUCAGGAAAAAAAAAAGAAGUCACACAUACUCCUAUAAUUUAAGAGUUAUUAAUUUAUAGGGAGAUUGUAGUGGUAUAUAUUAAUUUCAAUUGGAAAACGAGCAAGCUCCCUUAUUUCAUAUUUCAUGCAAAUCCCUCCUAUUUGAAGUUACUGCUGCUAAUUUUAUGUAUUUGGUAGGCCUGAAUCAGAACUUAUAAACGAAGUUGUUAAUCACAUUUUGAAGAGACUGCUGGAAGAAGUGUUUCGGCCGCGUGAUAACAAAAGCCAGCUGGUUGAAGUGGAAUCAAGAGUUGAGGAAAUUGAAUCUCUACUAAGUGUUGAGUCGAAAGAUGUUUACGCUUUAGGGAUUUGGGGCAUUGGUGGUAUAGGCAAAACAACAAUCGCUAGAGCUACUUUCGACAAAAUCUCUAGAUAGUUUGAAGGUUCUUGCUUCCUUGAAAAUGUUAGAGGAGAGUCACAAAGAACGGGAGGAUUAGCUUGCUUGCGACAAAAACUUAUUUCAAAUUUAUUGAAGGAUGAAAAUGCGAUUCCUAGUAUUGACCUCAAUUUUAGAAGGCUCAGCCGGAUGAAGGUUCUGAUUGUUUUUUAUGAUGUGACUUGCUUCAGCCAAUUGGAAUCUUUAAUGGGAAGCCUUGAUUGGUUGACGCCAGUGAGUCGAAUCAUAUUAACCACUAGAAAUAAACAAGUGCUUAGAAAUUGGGGGGUGAGUAAAAUAUAUGAGAUGGAGGCAUUAGAAUAUCAUCAUGCUCUUGAGCUUUUUAGUCGACAUGCCUUCAAACGAAACCAUCCUGAUGUUGGUUAUGAGAAACUUUCAAGCAACGUAAUGAAAUAUGUUCAAGGAGUUCCUUUGGCUCUUAAAGUUUUAGGUUGCUUUCUAUAGAAAAGGGAAAAAGAAGUCUGGGAAAGUGCAAUAAAUAAAUUGCAAAGAAUCCUCUAUCCAAGUAUUCUAGAGGUAUUAAAAAUAAGUUAUGAUGGUUUGGACAAUAAAGAGAAAAAUAUUUUCCUUGGUGUUGCUUGUUUCUUUCAAGUGAGGAUGUAAAUCUAGUAAUGAAAUUCCUUAUUGCAAGCGGCUUCAACCUAGAAAUAGGAAUAAGUGUUCUAGUUGAUAAGUCUCUUAUUGUCAUAUCAAAUAACAACAAGAUAACUAUGCAUGAUUUGCUACAAGAAUUGGGUAGGGAUAUUGUCAGUCAAGAAUCAAAUGAUCCUGGAAACCACAAUUGGUUGUGGCAUCACGAGGAUAUCUAUGAAGUUCUUACAUAUAAUACGGCAAGCAAUUUGCUGUGGAUUAUUACUUUGGAAUAUUCUAGCAUUUACAAACUUGAUAUGGACAUAUCAAGUUUGCUCAAACUCUCGAAUUGAUGAAUCUAGAAUUAAUAGAAGAGUGAAAAUGAUUAGAAAAAAACAAUAGUGGUUAUAAAUGCCGUGACAACUUGUAUAAUUCUUUGUAAGGAUAAUUUAUAAUGUCAAUUUGUUUUGUAUCCCACAUGCGUAAAUUUCAUGUUCAGUAUUACUUGUAUUAUUAUGUUCCUUCGUUCGUUUGCAAUUAAGAGUUUCAGUGCCUAGCAAUAACUAUAUAAACAUGAAUUACUGAAAUUUGAUUAGAGCAAUGAUAAAAAUUUUGCUGCUUCUGAUACAGAUCCCUUGACUGCGAAAAUUAGAUCAAGCUGAGCUUGCAUUCCCCAUAGUUAACCCAAAAAAAAAAAAUAAUCAUUACUAUGACUUAAAUUUUAAUAGAAAACAAAAAACGAAGCAAGAGUGAAUAGAGUAAUACCAGAGCAAAUUUAGGAUUGUUAGGUCGAAUUUGUGGACCAACUUCAGAACAUCUAAUAGUAAACUUAGGAGGAAGGAUUUGAAGAAGCUGCGGCGGCGGCGAAUACGCAUCAAGAUUCACACUGCUCCUCACUUUGAGGCCAAAAGAGUGCGGAGGCGCGACAAAGCUGACGCGCGAUUCUUGUGCUGCGAUCGGUCUUCGGCGGCCUGCGCUAUGACGCCGUCGGUACGUGCUUGAGACGUACGGCGGAUUCGCGCUUGUUGCGGUGCUGACCGCCUGGUCCCGACGAUUUGUACGUGUCCAUUUCGCAUUCGCGAAAUAGCUCAUCGUCGGUCAAUUCGAAGUAAUUCUUCUUCGAAGAACAAUUGUCAUUGUAAUUGCAAGACAAGAACAAUGGCUGAUAAUUCCUGCGAUGCCUGUACGACGAAAAGUUUAUAUUUUUCCUUCCGAGUUGGGGAAUUCAAAGGCUGAAUUGAGCGGCCAACGUCAUCAUCAAUUUCAAUUUCGUAUGUGAUAAUCAAAGCAAAGCUUCGUACUAGUAAUAUUUGAACAAUCUUCAUUUGGCAGGCCCAGCCCAAUCCAGCCCAGUCCAGCAAGUGAGCAAUGUUAUCAUUUUUGAACUCGUGGCGGUUCUGUAUUAUUUGCAAAUUAUUUGCAAAAUACUCUUUUUAAGGGAGAGGGAUAUAUUUGAUGCUAGAAUAUUUUUAAAAUAAAUGGUGCUUUUAAAAGGUGUACGACUGUAAAGAUAUGUCUAAUUAAACAGUGUCAUAUUUAAUAAAAACAUAUUCUUUUAUUUAAAGAUGCAUCCAUUCACGGUUUCUUGUUUUAGUUUGAAAUGACAAUAGUUUAUUUUGGACCAAUGAUGAUCUAAUUCAAAAUUUGAUUUAAUAACCAUGAAUGAAACAACCACUUUCUGGUAGUUCUCUUAAACUUUAUUAAGGAAUCUAUGUUGAAGGCUGUUUCAUUCUUUAGUGUUGUUAAAAAUACAUUUUACACUCUGAAAUUUAAAAUGACCUUUUUUUAAAUAAAAUUUAAAAACAAAUGCCUUUAACUAAGGAAGAAAUUUUAGAAUGCAUCAGAAAUACCAUGUCAGUCAUACAACAAGUGAAUCAUGCUCGACAUAUGUGCACUUAUUUUAAAAAAUUAUCAUGCAAAUGAUGGUUACAUUAAAUCUAAAUAUGUAUAUAUCAUAGAUGACACAACCUGCCUCAACCCUUUUGCUGGAUCUGAGGUGAAUCAUGCAAUUUUAUAUCUAAAGUUCAUGACAUAAACUUAAUUCAUGAAUAUAUAACACCAGCCUUGGCCUUUCUUAUAAACAUAUAAUAAUCUAUGUGCCUCAUUAAAAAAAAUAUAUUCAAAACUUGCAUAGUUCACAUCUCACUGUACAUACAUACACUUCAGAUACAGACAUAUAAACAUAAACGUGGUCAAAAUGUAAGUCAUGCAGUAAUGCGUGCGUGGCCCAACCUCAAUUGAUUAAAAACUGAACUGCACAAAAUCCUAUAGAAACCUUAGAGAAAUGGGGUAAAUAGGAAAAUAACAAGCUUGCAGCUCAAUGAAUGAAUAUAAUUCUAUAUAAAAAUAAAUUAGUGCUUUAGUGCUUGUACAUAAUUGUAUGACAUAACUUCAUACUGAACGCUUUACAAAAGCAAACAUGAACUCAUAUAUACAUACAUGAAAAAAUUGUACCAAAUAAUAUAUGGAGAAAUAACUCUCAAUACUCACUAGGAUCAUCGUCGCACGAGUAAAGUGGGGGAAAAAACCUCUCACUACUCAGCGAAAUUAACUACAUCAUAAGGGUUGAGUAAUUUAACUCUCAAUACUCAUGCGUAUAGCCUAUGGGGAAGGGUACACAUAUGGUGCUUGGCAAUCACAUCUCAUGACUCAAUCAAUUAUAUAAUGUACGUACAUAUAAUCACAACAUUAUACUAAAUCAUACUAUCAAAUAUAAAUGCUUUGUAGAAUACAUAAUAUGAAUAAUAAUAAUCCACUCAUAUAUCCUAUUUCACUCCGGGGUUUGUGAAGCGUGCACGUUCUUUACUUUAAGCUAACAGCUUGCUAUUGCUUUGACAAAUAACCACAUGUGCCUCCUUUUAGCUUGCACGUGCAUCACAAUACAUGCAUUAGAAUUGUUUGUAUUAUCAUAGGUCAAGCAUGAAUGUGCUUUGCUUUAAGCUAACAGCUUGCUAUUACUUUGACAAUUAGCCACAUGUGACCCAUUUUAGCUUACACGUGUGUUACAGCAAAUGCAUUAAAAUUGGUUGUAUUAUCUUUAAUAUGUUAUAAUUUUUUUUAAUCAUAAAAGGGCUCUUAAAAGAGCUAAGGCAAUACUAAACGGGAGUGUGCAACCCCACAAACAUCAUUAUGUAAUAUGCUAAACAUAUAUGAAGGAAUAGACUAAAAGCAAUAUAAACCCAAAGGAAAAGAAAAACUGUAAGAAGCAAGGAAAUCUGCUGCUACAUUGGCUUCUUGGUAGAUAUGGUCCACUUUGAUCAACCAAUCACGACAAAGGAGAUCAUGGAUGGCCCGAAUGAGAGUAAAAGGUUCAUUGAUAGGAGGCUUUGGGCUAGAGACUAACUGCAUAGCACACUUACUGUCAAUUUUCACUUGAACCCUAGGAAAACCAUAUUGCCAAGCAAUAGAUAGCCCGUGAAAUAAACCCUAGAGCUCAGCUGAAGUCAUUGAGCAAGUACCUAAAUUAGCACUGUAACCUGCCUGCCAAACACUCUGUAAUCACGGAUUAGCCCACCAGCUCCUGCAAUGCCUGAAGAUUUCUUGGCACCGUCUGUAUUUAAUUUAACCCAAGGCCAAACAGGAGUAGUCCAGCGAAUCCAUCUUUCAAUACGGCGCAUGCCAACAGCAAGAGGGGACAUAAUUCUUUUAACGAAGGAUGUAGCCAACGAUUUUAUCCGGUCGAACAUGUUCUUCGACUUAUAAUACUAUUUAUGGUUAAACAAUUCAUAAGUAGUUGAAAUUAAUUUUUUUUUGGGGUAGAUAAUCUCAAUUUUAAAAUACUUUAAAAGAUUUUCAAAGAUAAGAUACAAUGGUAUACAACUAAAGCCUAAUCCAACAUUGUUGAAAAGUAUGGUGUUCGUGUGGAAUUUUCAGCUAAAAGUCUACAAAGUAGCGGAAUUAAUCAAACGCCGUGGAGUGCACGGUGGUUGGACAAUGAGAUGAAAUUAAAAUAUCACCCUACUUAUUGCUGGCAGUUAUGAGCAUUAAAGCACAGAAGCAUGUGUGUUGAAAAGUAUGGUGUUCAUGUGGAAUUUUCAACUAAAAGUCUACAAAGUAGUGGAAUUAAUCAAUCAUCGUGGAGUGCACGGUGGUUGGACAAUGAGAUGAAAUUAAAAAAUUAUCACAGAACUUGAAGGAAGGUUCAUGGCAUCGAUUUAUUCUACAGAAUCGCGCACAUUUGGUUCAAAAAUUGUUUUCAUCUGAAUCAAAAUCUCUCUCUAAUCAAUUCAACUGUUUCUGUUGAUUAUGGCUUCUUCUUCUCAAAACAACAAGAAGUAUGAUGCUUUUGUUAGUUUCAGAGGAGAGGACACCCGUGACAACUUUACUAGCCAUCUCUGUUCUGCUAUGUGUCGACAAAAUAUCCAAACUUUCAUUGAUGACCAACUUAACAGAGGAGACGAAAUUUCGGAGUCACUGGUGAAUGUAAUUGAAGCAUCAGCCAUUUCAGUUAUUGUCUUCUCAGAAGGGUAUGCAUCUUCCAGAUCGUGUCUUGAUGAACUUGUAAAGAUCCUCGAGUGCAAGAAAGAGUAUGCACAGAUUGUGAUUCCGGUUUGCUAUCGGGUUGAUCCAUCAGACGUCAGAAACCAAACUGGGAGUUUUGGGGAUUCAUUUUCGAAGCUUGAAGAAAGAUUAAAGGAGAAUACUGAGAAGCUGCGGAGUUGGAGGAAAGCUUUGAAGGAAGCAGCCAGUUUGUCUGGCUUUCUUUCUCUUAACAUCAGGUGAAAAGUUACCUUUAAUUUCUCAUACUAAUAUUUAACAAUAAAUAAAAUUCACGCAGCACUCUUAGUUAAAUUUUCGGAUGCUAAACUACAAUUUUAAAAAUUUUUAAGCAUCAGAUUCUAGACUUCCUGACUUCCCCACUUUUGUGCUCACAUCUAACAAAAUUAGUGGUGGUCUGUCGUGACUUCCCCACUUUUGUGCUCACAUCUAACAAAAUUAGUGGUGGUCUGUCGUUUUUUAAGCAAUUUCAACUUCUCACUCAUAUACCACCAUUAGAAGAAAAAAACAAAGAAAAACACUCACACAUAUUCCUGUAAUUUAAGAGUUAUUAAUUUGCUGGGAGAUUGUAGACUAGUAGUGGUAUAUAUCAAUUUCAAUAAGAAAACUGACAAUCUCCCUUAUUUCAUAUUUAAUGCAAAUUCCUCAUAUUAAUUUGAAGUUACUUUGGCUAAUUUUAUGUAUUUGCUAGGCGUGAGUCGGAAUUUAUAAAUGAAGUUGUUAAUGACAUUUUGAAGCGAUUGGAUGAAGUGUUUCGGCCGCGUGAUAACAAAAACAAGCUGGUUGGAGUGGAAUCAAAAGUUGAGGAAAUUGAAUCCAUAUUAGGUGUUGAGUCGAAAGAUGUUUACUCUUUAGGGAUUUGGGGCAUUGGUGGUAUAGGCAAAACAACAAUCGCUAGAGCUAUUUUCGACAAAAUCUCGGGUGAUUUUGAAGGUUCUUGCUUCCUCGAAAAUGUUAGAGAAGAGUCACAAAGAUCAGGAGGAUUAUCUUGCUUACAACAAAACUUAUUUCAAAUUUAUUGAAGCAUAAAAAUGUGAUGCCUUUUAUUGACCUCAUUUUUAGAAGGCUCAGCCGCAUGAAGGUUCUGAUUGUUUUUGAUGAUGUGACUUGCUUCAGCCAAUUACAAUCUUUAAUUGGAAGUCUUGAUUGGUUGACGCCUGUGAGUCGAAUCAUAAUAACCACCAGAAAUAAACAAGUACUUAGAAAUUGGGGGGUGAGGAAAAUAUAUGAGAUGAAGGCAUUAGAAUAUCAUCACGCUAUUGAGCUUUUAAGUCGACAUGCCUUCAAACAAAACCAUCCUGAUGUUGGUUAUGUGGAACUUUCAAGCAAAGUAAUGAAAUAUGCUCAAGGUGUUCCUUUAGCUCUUAAGGUUUUGGGCUGCUUUCUAUAUGAAAGGGAAAAAGAAGUUUGGGAAAGUGCAAUAGAUAAAUUGCAAAGAAUCCUCCUUCCAAGUAUUUUUGAGGUAUUAAAAAUAAGUUAUGAUAGUUUGGACGAUAAGGAAAAAAAUAUUUUCCUUGAUGUUGCUUGUUUCUUUCAAGGUGAGGAUGUAGAUCCAAUAAUGAAAUUUUUUAAUGCAAGUGGCUUCUACCCAGAAAUAGGAAUGAGUGUUCUUGUCGAUAAAUCUCUCAUUGCUAUUGAUUCAUACAACAAAAUAACAAUGCAUGAUUUACUACAAGAAUUGGGUAAGGAAAUUGUUCGACAAGAAUCAAUUAAUCCUGAAAACCGCAGUAGAUUGUGGCAUCAUGAGGAUAUCUGUGAAGUUCUUAUGUACAAUACGGUAAGCCGUUUGUUGUGGAUUAUUAUUUUGGGAUAAUGUAGUGUUUAAAGACUUGAUGUGAAUAUAUUUACAUACACUCAAACUGAUGAGUCUUAGAAUUAAUAAAAGAGUGGCAAUGAUUAGAAAAAACAAUAGUGGUUAGAUGACGUAGCAAUAAAUUAUAAAUGCGAUGACAAUUUGCAUAACCGUUUGUAAGCAUAAUUGAUAUGUAAAUUUGUGCAGUACACAUACAAAAUUUUUAUGCUAAGUAUUACUUGUGUUGUUAUGUUUCUUUGUGCAUUUGCAAUUAAGCGAUAACUAUAAACAUGAAUUAUUGAAAUUUGAUCCGAGCAAUGACAGAGAGCCCCACUCCAAUCCCACAUAAACUCCAUGCAAGUAUAAAUAAAAAUUGAAUUAAUAACUAAACUACCUCUAAUUGUAAAUUAGUGACAAAAUUGCCCUAAAAAUUUUUUCUUGCUGGGGUUGAAGUGCAAUUCAUUAGUGGAAUAUACAUAUCAUCUUUCAUUUGAUUUUAACUUUAUUGUUUUUUUAUUUAUUUUUAGGGGACAAAAAAAAUUGAGGGCAUCUGUUUGGAUAUGUCAAAAGUAAAAGAGAUUCGUCUAAAUCCUAGUACUUUCACAAAGAUGCCUAAAUUGAUAUUUUUAAAGUUCUAUAGUUCGUCAUUCAAUGGAGAGAACAAAUGUAAGAUAUCUUAUUUGCAAGAUCCAGGAUUUGGUGAAGUGAAAUAUCUACACUGGUAUGGAUAUCCGUUGAAGUCAUUGCCUUCAAACCUUAGUGCAGAGAAGCUUAUGUUACUUGAAGUGCCUGAUAGUGACAUUGAACAACUUUGGGAUUGUGUGAAGGUAUGCGUAUCUUAUUAUAUAUGUGCAAUCUUUUAAUAACAACAUUAAAUUAUUAUACGUGGUAACGAUUUUGUCUUGGCCUCUUUUUUGACCGAGCAGCAUUAUAGGAAGUUAAACCAGAUAAUCCCUGCUGCCUGCAAUAAGCUAAUUGCCAAAACUCCAAACCCCAUGUUGAUGCCACGUCUGAACAAGCUAGUUCUCUUGAAUCUAAGAGGUAGCAAAAGCCUAAAACGUCUUCCAUCUGGAAUAUUUAACUUGGAAUUUCUUACCAAACAUAAUCUUUCGGGCUGCUCAAAACUGAAAAGGCUUCCAGAGAUCUCAUCAGGUAAUAUAAGCUGGUUAUUUUUAAGGGAGACUGCAAUUGAAGAACUGCCCUCAUCAAUUGAGCGUUUACAUAGGCUCGGGUACUUGGACCUUUUAGAUUGUAAAAGGCUGAAGAGUCUCCCAAGAAGCCUAUGGAUGUUGAAAUCUCUUGGAGUUCUUAAUCUCAGUGGUUGCUCAAAUCUUCAAAGAUUGCCCGAAUGUCUUGCCCAAUUUUCCUUGCCAAUAAUAUUGAAUCUAGCAAAAACCAAUAUUGAGAGAAUACCAAAAAGCAUUUCCCAGCUUCUCAUGUUGCGAUACCUUCUCUUAAGUUAUAGUGAGAGCCUUCAAUCCUCACCAAAGCCUCCAUUCCGUGCACGAGGUCCCCUGGCACUGCAACCAUUUUCAGGUUUGUUCUCUAAGUUAUGAAUCUUGUAAGCAGUUUUUUUUUUUUUUACCGGAGCAAUAAUUUUAGAUUGGAAGGUAAUUCUACUGCAGGAAUUGUUAAAGAUACCCUGAGAAUUCAGCAUACGGGCCAUACGCUAGCUGUACGUUGGCAAGAAAUAUGGGUAAAUGUGUGUCUUUAACUCUUCCUACUUACAAUUGCUACAAUCAGUUUUUUUUUUGGGUUUAAAAUUAUGAUUUUUUGGUACAGAGUGAUUUUCCCUUGGAAAAAAUUCAUGUCGUACUAGCUGGCAAUGAAAUUCCAAAGUGGUUUAAGUUUCAAAGUGUGGGAUCUUUUAUAACCUUGGAGAUGCCAUCCGAUUUCUUCCAUUAUAGCAGAGUGCAGGGCAUCGCAUUUAGUGCUAUUUUAGCAUUUUCAAACCGUCAUGUAGAUUGUGGCAGAUGGUUUUCAUUUUCUUUUGAGCUCAAAGUGAAAACCACCAAAGAUUGUGGUCCGCAUGACACACAAUUAUUUGAGAGUAGAGCUAAUUAUAUAGAAUUAGAUCACUUACAUUUGGGUCACUAUCUGUUAUGUGAAGAGGAUUUUAAUGGUUUUUGGAAAUGCAAUUGCAUUCCUGAGGCAGUCCAAUUUAAUGUUUUUCCAUCUUUGGAGUGUGAGUGCUGUGGGGUAAAAAAAUGUGGGAUUUAUUUUGCUUCCCAGAUUCUACGAACUCAAUAGAAGAUCCAAGCACAUGUUUCAACUAUAACGAAGAAGACUGAGAUUUUCAUGAAUGUGUUUUUAUCUCUUUCCUUUUUCUAAUCACUUUUAAUAAUAGGAGAAAAGGUCAAAAUCAGUUCUUGGAGCAAAACAUUCAUGUAAUAACUUUCGAGGGAUCUAGUGCAUGUAACACAAAUUCACACUAGAGUAUUGAACUUUACCUUGUUAGAUGAAGAGUAUAAAGUAUGAAAGGCACAUGAUGUAUAUUUUAAAAUUAAAAUUAUUGGCCUUCUUUCCUGCUUUGCGCACGCAACCUAUGACGAUUUUGUUAUUGAGCUAUAUAACCCAAAACACAUAGAGCACGUGAUUUAUAAGUCAAUAAAAAACCUCACUUGUUAGCGGUGUGAGAUAUUUCAGGACGCGCAGCAAGUUCUUAUUGGCAGAGAUAUGUUGUGGGCCCAUAUCUCUAUCAAUGGAAACAUGUCACUUACCCCGUUAGCGCACUAUAUCAACUCUCAUGUACAUAACAUAAUCACAUUUGAAAAUUUUCUACUUUCUUAAAUCUAAAUUGUUGUAUAUGGGAAAGUUUUAUCAUGUGAAAGCAAAAGCCAUAAAGAGGGAACAAUCUUAUAUAUUUUAAAAAAUAUAUUUGUAUACCGAUUUAAAAAGAAGAAGAAGAAGAAGAUAGGUAUCAUUUUGACUCAAGUCAUUUGUGUUGUGAAUCCAUUUGCUUAAACGUGUAUGCACUUUUUCAAGUAUCUAUAUAUACCAAUUCCGUAAUCGGAAUAGUGCAUUUGAUUCCAUAGUUGACAUGGUAUCGUCAUAUGGCUAGAAUUUACCGUUAAAAAACUGACCGGCAAGGAAAGGAUUAAAGAUGCCCGUGAACUUAUAUUUUUAUUUAGAUUAUUUUAUUUUUUCCAGUUGAAAAAUUGAUUCCUAUUAACAUAAGUAAUAUAAAUUACUAAAUCACCUUUCUCUAUUCCUUAGAUUGCUGUAUCUUUUUCAUGUAAAAAAUUGAAUCCUUUCAUUCACAUAUCAUUAACAUGAGCAAUAUAGAUUGUGCUGAAUUUGACUUUUUGAAGCAAGUUAGACUUUUUAUUGAAUAAUUUGGUACAUUUCUUGAAUCAAUUUGGAGCUUCUGCAACACGUCAGGGAUUAGUAUCUCCUACAUUCCUUUCGGUGCCAAAAGAUAUUCAAGCAGUUGAAUAAGAAUUGAUAUAUACAAUGUAAAUACUAGAAUUGUUUGUCAUUUUACAAUAGGAAUGAUAUAUAAUGCUUAUCAAAACUUGUUGAUAAGAAAGUAAAUUCCUCAGCAAUGAGAUGUUUCAGCCAACCAAUUAAGGAAGUAGCUUUUCGUGGAGCAAGUCAGGUCUGUCGUCAUCCGGACAACGUCCUACUUCUUCCAAUACAAUUAACUUCACAUUUGAGAGUUGAGAAGGCAGAGAUGAGAAGUAUUUACCAACAGGUCCAUCGACGGGUGUGAAUGGAUCCUCAUUACCCCAUAAAACUAGUACAGGUAUAGAGAUUGAUGGCAUCAAUUGCACUGGGUUCAGCCCUGAUGGGCCUGUCACGAUCAAAACAAAUGCAUCAAGUGCCCCUUCAUCAGUGGCGGCUUCUCGUAUGAUCUGUAGUUUUGAUGUCAAUUCAUGAAUUAUGAGUGGCCAUUUCUGUAAGAAAUUUAAAUGGCACAUAAGUGCAGAAUAUUAAUGCCUACUAGCGUUUCAUCCACAGAUUCAUUAUUUGCAUAGACAGUAAAUUGCUCCUCAGUCUUUACCAGCAGCACCAAUAUAUACACGUCAUAGUGUUUUUUAGUUUUGACUCUAGUGUUUUAGGAAAAUGAACAAUGGCCUGAAUACAGACGAGAAAAUUCGCAUGUUAUAUAACACAAUUAAAAUAAAAUAUCAUUUGUCAUACAUUUUAUUCACGCCGGCGUGGAUCACCUCAGCCAAGUAGUACGAGCAGAACACGGGGGCAAACAUGAACCGACCAGAGACGAAUACCGACCAGAAGCAUAUACCGAGCCGGCACUCAUCCCCCAGGAAAGCGGGAACAUGAUCCCACAGAAUCGCGGUAGUUGUGCUUUUCCCAGAACCGAUUGAAGGACACGUGAGAUCCCACGUUUGCCCACAAUGUAACAGUUAGAGCCCCAUGAGGGCCUGCCACCACCCGAAAAAGGAGGGAUAAAGGGUAAACGGAACACGUGGGACAAAGGGGCGGCUAUAAAAGAGGGAGAAAUCGAUGAAGAAAAAAAAAAGAAGAUUGAGAGAGGGAAAACGCUGCCAAAUUGCAAUCAGGCCUUUUUCUUACAAACUUCGAAUAAAUUAAAAAUCAUUCUUGAAUCCAAAUUGCAUUGUUUUCUCAUAAACACUUUGUGCUAACUUAGGCAUCGGAGGGUUUACGUCGGCAAAACCACCGACGUCUUUGAUCCGUUUUUGGUGAACGCAGGUCUAGUAAGAGAAAGGAAGGCGAUUCCAACCCCAGUGGUUCGAGCAACAGUUGAUAACACAAACAUUGGUGAAAGAAUCUGGUCGGUCAAAAGGCGAGCAGAUUUAAGCAUCAACAUUUUGGCGCCGUCUGUGGGGAGCUGGAUAAAAAGCUACCACCGAAUUAGUAGUUACCGAAGAAACAACGAACGAUUAGAUAUGGAUGUGCCAAGGAAGGACACUUUGAGGGAGGAUAACGAAGCUGGGGAGACAAUCACUCUUCGGGAAAUUGCAAAUGAAGCCUAGGAGAGGAUGAUGCAAGAUCGAUUAGAGCGGAUGGAGAAACAAAUGGAGACUCUCGCGACCAUACUGCACGAGCUGAGGGAUGAGCGGAGAAGGGAUUGUGAAACCCCCGUGGGAAGAGAUGAUGUUGGAGCAGAACCCAGCCUCCGGAGGCGUAGAGUCGAGGAAAUCCCUCCGCCGGAAGACCAACCUAACGGGGUGCAUCCCCACAGAAGCACUGGUCAGGUUUCAGGAGAACGAAUAGAUGAAGGGAGGGACCAACCUCUCCCCGAACGGGCACUGGAAGUCAAUGGCCGAGGGGGCAGUGUUGAUGAAGGAGAGCUCAGACAACGGUUGCACAAUGCCGAGCUAGAACGAGACCAGAUAGCUACACGUGAUCCUGACCGUGCAGUAGAAUUGGAGGGGGAGGUGCGCAGACUGGCGCAGGUGAUGGAGGAGAUAUAGGGCAAGAGAAAGCCCCCGAGCUGGAGGAUAAUGCUGGAUGAAGAAUCUCCGUUAUCAACCGAGAUCAUGGGUAUAGUAAUCCCAAGAGAUUUCUGCUUCCCCGACCUCAAAUACUCCGGUUGAAGUGACCCGCUGGUGCAUAUUGAGUGUUUCAACGACAUGACAGGGGUGUAGGGGUUGACACCAGCUCAGAGGUGCAGGGUGUUCCCAUUGACACUCGAGGGGCGAGCCCGAGAAUGGUACCGCAAGCUGCCCCGAGGAGGUAUAAAAGGGUACGAGCAGAUGUGCCAAGAGUUGGCCGAACAGCUCCGAGGAGCAGUAGCCCAGAGGACGACAUGAUGGAACUGAUAGGGAUGAAACAGGAGGAGCAUGAGUCCCUCCGGGAUUUUGUAAAGCGAUAUCACCGGGCCGUGUUAGAUUUGGGAGCUUUUAAUCACCCACAGACGUUGAGAGGAUUAAAAGAAGGUGUAAAAAUCGGCCGAUUAUGGUAUAACUUAAGAAGCCCCCUAGUGCAGAAUUAUUCGGCAGGGUACGAACAGGCGAGGCGAGAUAUAGAAAUCGGCAAGGAUAAAGAGUGAGCAACUGGAAGAGCUGAGGCAAAAAGAACGGAGAGCCCCAAACGGGAGCGGAUCGGGAAAACGAGCUGGGGAAUCCUCAGUUAUGGGCGGAAUAUCAGCUCAAUCUUGCCCUUACCCCGUAGCUCAGAGACCACAACAGUUCCAACACAGCCGAGCCCAACCUCUGCACACCUCGUUCCCGGAGCGGCAACGAGAAUUCAGGCAGAUGGCUGCCCACUCUUAUCACAACACUCCCAGAGCGUUACAUGCAAAUGGUUCCAGGGCUGGACGACCAGAUCAGCUUGCGACAAUACCAGACCGAGAUGGCAUUCAGGAUAGCCAAGCAGUUCAGCUGAUAGCCCAGAGCUUGGCAUAUAGACAGUACACUCCAUUGAAGAUCUCCAUGGAGGAAUUGUAUGAGAGGAUCGAAGGACGAGGCCUGCUGUACCCUCCAGCCCCUAUAACCAAACCAGCUCACCGACGGGAUAAGAGCAGAUUCUGCAAAUUCCACGACACUCAUGGUCACACUAUCAGCCAAUGUCGUGACCUGAAGAUUCAGGUGGAGGAUUUAGUGAGAAACCGAUACUUGGAUGAGUAUGUAGAUGGAGUGUCCUCUGCUAUUGAAUCACAGUACACGUGGGAUGAAGGAGUUGAGAGGGGUCUGGAACGUGAAUAGCCGACCAUCCGUGUGAUAGCAGGAGGGCCAACAUUGGCCGGGGAUUCGAACAGAGCACGGAAGAACUACGGGAGAUACGCCAUGACUAGCAAAGAAGUGCUUUUCAAUUUGCCAGCAGCUAAGAAGGAAAAAUUGCGGCAAGUUCCCAUUAUAUGGACAGAUGACGAUGAAGAGGGUAUCUUAUAUCCUCAUGAGGAUGCACUGGUGAUUAAGGCAAUAGUGGCUGGUACACAAUUGCGACGAAUACUGGUAGACACGGGCAGCUCAGUUAACAUCUUGUUUAAGUUGGCCCUAGAUGAUAUGGGAAUUGCAGACUUAAAAUUGGAACGGAUAAAUACAUCCUUAAAGGGAUUUGGAGGGGGACGGCUAACUCCCAUGGGGAUCAUCGAACUCCCAAUUACUGUGGGGACAAAGCCAUUUGAAAGAACGAUGAUUCUGGAUUUUGUCGUAGUAGAGGACAUAAGCCCUUACCAGAUGAUACUGGGGAGAUCCUUCAUGAGGAUAAGCCAAUGCGUUGUAUCUACGCAUUAUUUGGCACUAAAAUACAGAGUAAACGGAGUGGUUGGCGUAGUAAAAGGCGACCAGAGGAUGGCAAUGAGUUGUUAUGCUACAACGGCCAAGGAGACACUGCAGGUUACUUCUCUAGAUAAUCGAGGAGAGUCUAAAAAGGGCCGCCAAGAGCCUGUUGGGAAACUGAAAGAAGUUGUGGUAAGCAAAAGCAACCCGAGCAGAGUGGUGAAGAUCGGAUCAGGAUUGGUUGGGGCAGUAAAAGGCGAGCUGGUAAAUUGCCUACAGUCUCAUGCAGAUAUAUUCGCCUGGUCUCACGAGGAUAUGCCAGGAAUUGAUCGCGGGGUAGCUUGCCACAAGUUGGCAAUCAAGAAGGGGGCGAGGCCGGUGAGACAGAAGAGGAGAUGCUUUAACCAGGAAAGGUACGAGGCCAUAAACGCCGAGGUGGAGAAGCUGUUGAAAGCAGGGUUUAUAAGGGAGGCCAGGUACCCGGAGUAGAUUUCCAAUGUAGUACUGGUAAAGAAGGCCAACGGGAAAUGGAGAAUGUGUGUGGAUUUCACAGAUCUUAAUAAGGCAUGCCCGAAGGACAGUUUUCCCCUACCAAAGAUAGAUCAAUUGGUGGACUCAACAGCGGGUCACAGUCUGCUCAGCUUCAUGGAUGCCUUUUCAGGAUACAACCAGAUACCCAUGGACGAGCAGGAUGAGGAAAACACCACCUUUAUAACUAACAUGGGUUUGUUUUGCUACAGGGUGAUGCCUUUUGGCCUGAAAAAUGCAGGAGCUACCUAUCAAAGGUUGGUGAACAAGAUCUUCAAGCCCUUGAUCGGUCAUACUAUGGAAGUAUAUGUAGAGGAUAUGAUCACAAAGUCCAGAGAACCGAGGGAUCACGUGAAACACUUGGAAGAAACCUUUGAAUUACUGAGAAAGUAUGAAAUGAAGCUAAACCCGGAGAAAUGUGCAUUUGGGGUUAGCUCGGGCAAAUUUUUGGGAUUCCUAGUGAGCCACCGAGGGAUCGAGGCCAACCCGGAGAAAAUACGGGCAGUAACAGAAAUGAGAUGCCCCCGAACAGUUAAGGAGGUGCAGAGCCUUACAGGGAAAGUGGCAGCAUUGAACCGAUUCAUCUCGCGGGCCACGGAUAAAUGCCACCCUUUCUUCCAAACCAUAAAGAAAGGGAGGAAGAUGGAGUGGACAUCAGAAUGUGAUGAGGCGUUUGGGCAGCUGAAGGAGUAUCUGGCCCAUGCCCCGUUACUAUCAACUCCGAGGGAAGGUGACCAGCUGUUUUUGUACUUGGCAAUCUCAAAAUGGGCUACCAGCUCAGUGUUAGUCCGAGAAGAAGAAGGGAAGCAACACCCCAUGUAUUACACUAGUAAAGCCCUGGUAGACGUAGAAACUAGGUACCUAUUGAUGGAGAAAUGGGCACUGGCUUUAAUAACAGCAGCACGGAAACUGCGACCAUAUUUUCAGGCCCACCCGAUAAUUGUGAUGACUGACCAGCCUCUUCAGCAAAUGCUCCAAAAACCAGAUGCAUCAGGGCGGUUAGUGAAGUGGUCCGUGGAACUGAGCGAAUUCGACCUAUCCUACAGGCCCCGAGGAGCGAUCAAGGCCCAAGCCCUGGCUGAUUUUAUAGUUGACUGUGUUGAACCAGGGGAAGAGGUCCAAGAAGAACAACCAGUAGAGCAGGAGGAUAAAAAGGGGGUAUGGCUGGUAAUGGUUGAUGGGUCACGUGGUGAACAUGGAUCCGGGGCAGGAGUUAUAAUACGAAGCCCAGAAGGUGUCGAGGUAUCCUAUGCUGUAAAGUUCGAGUUCCAGCUUACGAACAACCAAGCUGAAUAAGAGGCCUUCAUUACUGGGCUCGGUCUUGCACAUGCACUACGGGCAGAAAGAGGAGAAAUCCGAGUAGAUUCCCAACUAGUAUGUAACCAGCUCAGCAAUCAAUUCCAAGUAAGGGAAGAGAAAUUGGGGCUUUAUUUGAAGAAGGCGAAGCAAAUGGUUGAACUCUUCAAUGAAGUAGAGGUGAAGCAGAUAUCCCGGAAUGAAAAUUACCGAGCUGAUAUGUUGGCUAGAAUGGCUGCAACUGCAGAUCUGAAAUUACCUAAGUCGGUCCCACUAGAGGUAAGGACCUUGCCAAGUAUAGGGGAGGAAGUAAAAGUGAUGAGAGUAAGCACUGGCGAAUCUUGGAUGGACCCGAUUCGCGCAUAUGUCCGCGAUGGAGUUUUACCCGAGGACGAAAGGCAAGCAAGAAAAUUAAAAUGCCGAGCAGCGAGGUACACGCUACUAGAUGGAGUGCUGUACCGCCGAGGGUUCACCUUGCCCCUUUUGAGAUGUUUGGAUAAGGAGGAGGCAGAUUAUGUACUGAGGGAGAUUCAUGAAGGAAUAUGCGGCAAUCACUCGGGAGCAAGAACUUUAGCCUCAAGGCACUCCGGCAAGGAUACUUCUGGCCGACCAUGCACUAGGAUGCGAAAAGGAUGGCAAAGAACUGUAAAACCUGCCAAAGCUUCUCUGAGAUUCCUGCACACCCCCAGAAAAGCUGACCACCAUGGCAUCCCCGUGGCCUUUCGCUCAAUGGGGAAUCGACUUGAUUGGUCCGUUACCUAAGGGCCGAGGAGCGGCGACACAUGCAAUUGUGGCAAUAGACUACUUCACCAAGUGGGUAGAAGUGGGAGUCCUCAGCCAAAUCACGGAGAGAAAGACAACGGAUUUUAUUUGGAAGAAUAUCAUCUACAGAUACGGGAUCUCCUAUGCCAUCAUUAUAGACAAUGGGAGGCAAUUUGACAACAGCAACUUCAGGGAGUUUUGCUGAAAUUUGGGGGUGGACCUGAAGUUCUGCACCCCCGCACACCCCCAGGCAAACGGACAAGUGGAAGCAGCCAACAAAGUGAUAAAGAAGCUCCUGAAAACUAGAUUGGGAGAGAAGAAGGGAGCUUGGGUUGAUGAACUACUAGGAGUAUUAUGGGCCUACCGGACAACUCGCAAAACCGCCACAGGGGAAACUCCGUUCGCUUUAGCUUUUGGUCAUGAGGCGGUAGUCCCAGCAGAAAUUGGAGUGGGGACACAUCGAACGGAAUAUUUCACUGAGGAGCAAAACGACGAGCAGAUCUGCUUAAGCCUGGACCUGCUAGAGGAGAAAAGGGAAGGGGCCUCGCAGAAAGUGGCCCAGUGCCAGCAAAGGGUCAUGCGUUAUUACAACAAGAACGUACGCGUAAGGCAAUUCCGAGCAGGAGAUUGAGUACUUAGGAAGGUGAACCAAAACACCAGGGAUCCUAACCAUGGCGCUCUUGGGCCGAAAUGGGAAGGCCCAUACAGGGUGAUACGAGCCACGGGACCAGGAGCUUAUAAGUUAGCGUACCAAGAUGGACGAGACGUGAAGACGUCGUGGAACGCCGAGCACUUGAAGAAGUAUUUCCAGUAAGCAAAGUCUCUACUAAAUCCUUAUUUUGAUAGGUUAUUUUUGUUAACUGCAUGAUGGCUUGUUACAACAUGCAUAUAUUAUGUAUUUUUUGUAAUACAUUCAAAUUUCAAAUAAAGAUGAAUUCAGUAUAAAAUCCCCCUGUUAGCAAGCCCGACGAAAAUUUUACUAAGGCAAGUAAGUGCCUGUUUCUGCUCGGUCAACGAAAGACCAGCAGCUAAUUUUACGAGAAUUUUACUAAGGCAAGUAAGUGCCAGCUUCUGCUCGGUCAACGAAAGACCAGCAGCUAAUUUUACGAAAAUUUUGCUAAGGCAAGUAAGUGCCUGCUUCUGCUCAGUCAACGAAAAGACCAGCAGCUAAUUUUACGAAAAUUUUACUAAGGCAAGUAAGUGCCUACUUCUGCUCGGUCAACGAAAGACCAGCAGCUAAUUUUACGAGAAUUUUACAAAGGCAAGUAAGUGCCUGUUUCUGCUUGGUCAGCGAAACACCAGUAGCUAAUUUUACGAGAAUUUUACUAAGGCAAGUAAGUGCCUGUUUCUGUUCGGACAACGAGACACCAGCAGCUAAUUUUACGAGAAUAUUACCAAGGCAAGUAAGUGUCUGUUUCUGCUCGGUCAGCGAAACACCAGCAGCUAAUUUUACGAGAAUUUUACUAAGGCAAGUAAGUGCCUACUUCUGCUCGGUGAGCGAAACACCAGCAGCUAAUUUUACGAGAAUUUUACAAAGGCAAGUAAGUGCCUGUUUCUGCUCGAUCAGCGAAACACCAGUAACUAAUUUUAUGAGAAUUUUACAAAGGCAAGUAAGUGCCUAUUUCUUCUCGGACAACGAGAGACCAGCAGCUAAUUUUACUAGAAUAUUACCAAGGCAAGUAAGUGUCUAUUUCUGCUCGGUCAGCGAAACACCAGCAGUUAAUUUUACGAGAAUUUUACUAGGCAAGUAAGUGCCUACUUCUGCUCAGUCAACGAAAGACCAGCAAGUAAUUUUACGAGAAAUUUACAAAGGCAAGUAAGUUCCUGUUUCUGCUCGGUCAGCGAAACACCAGUAGCUAAUUUUAUGAGAAUUUUACAAAGGCAAGUAAGUACCUGUUUCUGCUCGGUCAGCGAAACACCAGCAGCUAAUUUUAUGAGAAUUUUACAAAGGCAAGUAAGUGCAUGUUUCUGCUCGGACAACGAGAGACCAGUAGCUAAUUUUACGAGAAUAUUACCAAGGCAAGUAAAUGUCUACUUCUGUUCGGUCAACGAAAGACCAGCAGCUAAUUCUACAAAAAUUUUACUAAGGCAAGUAAAUGCCUACUCCUGCUCGGUUCACUAAGGCAAGUAAAAUCAGAUAAGUUGUCCAAUCAUUGUGCAGAAACAAUCUAUGAGCAAAAACCAGACAAGAAAGCCAAUAGAGAACAUCUAAAAAUUUAUAAGUGUUCAAUUAUUUACAAAACAAAUGCAAACUUAGAGUUUAUAAAAAAAUAGACUUAAAGAUUAGGAGAGUCAGCGGUUCCAGCAGCUGAAUGAUCAACAGUCUUGGGAGGUAAAGGAUCAGCAAUCUUAGGAGGUGGGAGAUCAGCAAUACCGAGAGGAGGAGGCACGGACCCUUGACCCACUUCGAAAGCACGUCCCCCAGCUUCCCCCUCUUGCACCCUAUCCAAAGGAGCCUCCACCUGAUCCUGCUCACCCUGCCCCUUAUCUCCCUGGCCAGCCUCAGCCAUAUAUCUCUCCACUCCAGCCUCCAUCUUGCUCAUGUCCAGCUCGGGAUAUUCUUCCUUAAGCACAGACAUGAUGCACUUAUAGGAGAAAGCAACCCCAGAAUCAUACUCGGCAUCCAGCCGAUCGUCCACAUCAGCGGAUUUGCCUUUCUCCUCAGCCAGCUGCUCGCUCAGAAACUUGAUUUCUCCCUCAAGGGCGGUCCUCAAAGUAUCUCUCUCACUUUGAGUAGCCUGAAAAUCAGAUUUCAGGUCACCCAACUCACCCUCAAGUUUAGAAGUGGUGGAUUCAGCAACAGCAACUUUCUCCUCCAGGUCUGUGAUCUGCUUGUUCAACUCCGCCAACUUCUCCUUCGAGCGAUCAGCAGAUUCGACCUUCUUCUUCAACUCCUGGUUGUCCGCUUGAAGCCUCCUCUCAAGGCGCGUGGACCCAUUCUUGUAACACGAAACCAAGGUGGCCAGCCUAAAGGAGACCCUUUCACUACAACAAAUAUGGUCUUUGGUAACAUUAUAUUGUAGCAUUUUUUUAAAGAAUGUUACCAAAUAUUAAUUUAUUGUAAUAUUUUCUAAAGUGAUGCUACCUUUGUAGUAUGAAAGCCAUUACAUUUUGGUUUUAAUGACACUUGAUAAUUACUAGUAGCAUUUUUGUAUGUGCUACAUAUAAUAUUGAAUUAUAUAGCAUCUAGGAAAAGCUACAAGAUAAGAUUAAAUAAAAUAGCAUUUGAAAAAUGUUAAGGAAUAGUAAUAAAUGUAAUAAUAUUUUAAAAUAGCAUUGGUAGCAUUCUAUUGGUAGCAUUUUGAUUGAUAAAAUACAAUAGCAUUUGAAAAUUGCUACAAGGAUUGAAGUAUUAGUGAAAAUUAUAAAAAUAAAAAAUGGGCUGAAAAUUAAGCUAAAGAUAUGCAAAACGGGUAGUUUUAGUAAAAGGCGGGUACUUUAUAAAAAAAAUUAAAAAUGCCCAUUAUUUUAUUUCACUUCCCGCGAACCCUUUCUAGAAAAUUCCCCUCUGCUAUCUCUUCUCCACGCCCAUUGUUCUCUCCAACUCUAUUUCCAACUAAAUCUAUAAAAACAAAAAGAUAAAAAUAGAAAAAGACGAAAACGAUUCCAUGGGCACUUCACGUAUGUUUGCUGAUUUGAGAAAGAUUACUUGGCUUUUUGGAUGAUUUAGAAGUGGCAUCAUUGAUUUGGUAAGGAUUCUUACUCCGUUAUUCGUGCAACUUCAAUUCCAGUAUUCCCAUGGUCAAAGCAAAUGCACAUCCCCAAUCUGGGUGCUUUUUCUUCCAUCCACUUGAGUAAUUAAUGAUUAAAUUAUUUACUAUUAUAUAUGGGUCUGAUGGUUGAAUAUUUAAAUGGAAAAGUCAUGUUAUCUUGUUAAAUGGUUUUGAAUUAUUGAUAGAUUUAUAAUUUUUUUUUUUUCUCUCAAUCCCUAGCAUUCUAGCAAUAUCUACAAUUAGCUGCGUCAAUAUAAAUUUUUUAACUUAUAUGUCGUUAUUAUAGAUUGGCUGCUUAUGAUUUCUUUCUCUUUUGAUCAAAUUGGUCUUGGGUUUGGAUAUAUUUUAUGAUUGUCACUAUUAAAAUAAUUUUAAUUGCUGAAUCUCAAAAUUCUUGUUUGGUAUGUGUAGUGUUAGCCUUUGAUUGAGGAGUUAUCAGCUUCAUACUCAAUAGACUUGCAGCAACGUGCAUAUUAAUUCUAAGGCAGGUUUGGUGAAGAAAUUUAAAGUCAAAGAACAAAAGUGCAGCCAAUACAAUUUUCUGGUACUAUUUAUUUUAUUUCAAUAUGUUUUAAAAUUUGUUUACGGCAACAUCUUUUAAUAAUUAUUAAUUUGUAUUGUGACUUUUAUGUUUUGUGUUUUAAAACUAAUUCUUUCUUUCUGUGUGUUUUAUGUUUGUUUGGGUAAUGACAGCCAGAAUGUAUAUGUAAGACUUUAAUCAUUGACAACUUUUGUCUACAUUGUAUCUAGGUAGUUAUAAAUAAUAUCAAUUUUAACUGAUGAAGUGAAUCAUAAACUGAAAGAGAGCAUUAGCAUAUAUCAUUUAAAUUUAAAUUUUUUUCAUAGUUCAUGAUCAAUGUUGCUCACACGUGAAGUAAUGAUUUUAGAUAUGCUUUCAGAUAAAUGAAUACAUGAAGUAUGUAAAUUAAAAUGACUCUCAUUGUACAGGGUUAAUAUAGUUAUAUGUAUGUAAAUUCAAAAUAAUUUCCAAGUGGUUAAAUGAUAUAUAUUUGUGGUACCAGGAUUAGUGGACAUAUGAUGAUGAAUAAAGAUUGGAUCCACCUUAACAGGUAAUAAAAGAUGAUUUUUAAGCAAGAUAAUAAAACUAUAUAAAAAUAUACAUUAUUACUAAUAUGUAAUUAAUACUGUGAUUUGGUAGAGCUACUAACGAGUAUAUGCAAGCUGCUUCGAAUUUUGUGAAUUUGGCCAAAAGAAAUGCAGGGAAUGUAGAUAAGAUUUUGUGUCCCUGUAAAGAUUGCCGAAAUCUAAGUCAUCAUCUUGUGGAGACUGUUUAUGAGCACUUGAUCUUUAAAGGAAUGGAUCUUGCUUACACAACUUGGUUCCAUCAUGGGGAGAAACUAAGUAUAGAUGAAAAUCCUAAAGAAGUGAAAAUGUCAGACACACAUAAUUUAUAUGCAAAUGCAUAUAUGGAAAAUGAAGAUUAUGUAACACCUGCACUAGGAAAAGAUGAAGACUUCGCUCAAAAAUUAGAAGAUGCAGAAACUCCAUUGUAUCCAAGUUGUACAAGAUACACAAAAUUAUCAGCCAUUGUAGCUUUGUACAAACAUAAAGCUGUAAACAAAUGGUCUAACAAGAGUUUUGAUGGAUUGUUAGAACUGCUGCAUGAUAUGCUACCUGUGGAUAAUGUGCUUCUUAGAUCAGUUUACUUAGUGAGAAAAUUGUUGAAGACAUUUGAUUUGGGGUAUGAGAAGAUACAUGCCUGUGUAAAUGAUUGUUGUUUGUUUAGAAGAGAAAAUGAGAAUAUGGAUAGUUGCCCAACCUGUGGGCUUUCAAGAUGGAAGGUAGAUAAACGCACAAGGAAAAUUAAAAAAGGUGUACCAGCAAAAGUUUUGAGAUACUUUCCUAUUAUACCAAGGUUUAGGAGGAUGUUUAGAUCUAAGAAAAUGGUUGAAAAUUUAAUAUGGCACUCUACCCACAAAAGUGAAGAUGGUAAAAUGCGACACCCUGUAGAUUCUUUAGCGUGGGACUUAGUUAAUGAUAAAUGGCCUUGUUUUUCAUCAGACCCAUGAAAUCUUAGACUUGGUCUUGCUACUGAUGGCUUCAAUCCGUUUUCCAAUUUAAGCACAACAUAUAGUUGCUGGCCUGUAAUGCUUGUUACGUACAACUUGCCACCUUGGUUAUGCAUGAAGAAGGAAAAUAUUAUGCUGACUUUGUUAAUUCCAGGGCCUAAGCAGCCUGGAAAUGACAUUGAUGUGUAUCUACAGCCGCUUAUCGAAGAUCUAUAUGAGCUGUGGAAUAAUGGAGUGUCUAUUUUUGAUACAAUGACAAAGUCAGUUUUCAAUUUGAGGGCAAUCUUAAUGUGGACAGUAAAUGAUUUUCCAACCUAUGGAAACCUUGCCGGAUGUAAAACAAAGGGUAAACUAGCAUGUCCGAUUUGUGGCAAUAAAACACACUCGGUUCGAUUGAAGUUUUGUAAUAAGCUUGUGUACAUGGGUCACAGACGAUUUUUGCCGCAUUCUCAUAUAUUUCGGGGUAAAAAAAAUUGGUUUGAUGGAUCGGUGGAAGAAGAUCCAAGUCCUAGAAUCAUUACCGGCACCAAAAUUUUACAAGAACUGGAAGGAAUUGAAAAUCAUUGGGGAAAAGGGGACAAGAAAAGAAAGAAGUCUAGUGAAGAUCAAAGGUGGAAAAAAAGAUCAAUUUUUUUUUAUUUGCCAUAUUGGAAGGUAUGUGUGUGAGAUAAACUACUGGUUUAUUAAUUUAUCGCAAUUGACUGUAAUUAUUUACAUUACUCUUAUGUUACUAUGAUGAAUAAAUUUAAGCAAAAUUAAAUUUAGACAUUUAGUUUUUAAGAAAUCUAUAAUUGCAUUUCUUUUUUUUUAAUAUUAUGAAAAUACUUCUUUUUUCUCAUGCUUUAAGCAAUCUCAUUGAUUAGUUUGCAAUUGUAAUUAAAUUUAAAUUAUUUUUUUCAUAUUCCAACUUUAAAUAAUUACAUACUCCUAAUUUUUCAAUUAUAUUUCAGGAAUUAUUAGUGCGUCACAAUUUGGAUGUAAUGCACGUAGAAAAGAAUAUUUGCGAGAGUAUUCUUUGCACUUUACUAGACAUUAGUGGCAAAACAAAAGAUGGACUCAAUGCUCGCAAAGACUUGGAAGAUUGGGACAUUCGACAUGACUUGCAUCCAUAUGUUGAGGGGAUGAGAACAUACCUUCCUGCAGCUCCACAUUCGUUAUCAAAGGUUGAGAAAAAAAUAUUUUGUGAAAGGUUAUUCAAUAUGAAACUACCUGAUGGGUAUAGCUCAAAUAUCGGAAAUUGUGUCUCAGUUGACGAAUGUAAGAUUACAAAUCUCAAAUCGCAUGAUUACCAUAUCUUAAUGCAACAAUUGUUGCCGGUUGUGAUAAGAGGUUUGUUACCUAAGGGACCAAAAAAUGCAAUAUUUCGAAUGUGUACAUUUUUCAAUAAGAUAUGUCAACGAGUUGUUGAUAGAGAAAAUAUAUUGGCCCUUGAAGGUGAAGUUUUUGAAACAGUAUGCAUGUUUGAAAGAUUCUUUCCUCUUGCAUUCUUUGAUAUCAUGGUACACUUAUCGAUUCAUUNNNNNNNNNNNNNNNNNNNNNNNNNNNNNNNNNNNNNNNNNNNNNNNNNNNNNNNNNNNNNNNNNNNNNNNNNNNNNNNNNNNNNNNNNNNNNNNNNNNNNNNNNNNNNNNNNNNNNNNNNNNNNNNNNNNNNNNNNNNNNNNNNNNNNNNNNNNNNNNNNNNNNNNNNNNNNNNNNNNNNNNNNNNNNNNNNNNNNNNNNNNNNNNNNNNNNNNNNNNNNNNNNNNNNNNNNNNNNNNNNNNNNNNNNNNNNNNNNNNNNNNNNNNNNNNNNNNNNNNNNNNNNNNNNNNNNNNNNNNNNNNNNNNNNNNNNNNNNNNNNNNNNNNNNNNNNNNNNNNNNNNNNNNNNNNNNNNNNNNNNNNNNNNNNNNNNNNNNNNNNNNNNNNNNNNNNNNNNNNNNNNNNNNNNNNNNNNNNNNNNNNNNNNNNNNNNNNNNNNNNNNNNNNNNNNNNNNNNNNNNNNNNNNNNNNNNNNNNNNNNNNNNNNNNNNNNNNNNNNNNNNNNNNNNNNNNNNNNNNNNNNNNNNNNNNNNNNNNNNNNNNNNNNNNNNNNNNNNNNNNNNNNNNNNNNNNNNNNNNNNNNNNNNNNNNNNNNNNNNNNNNNNNNNNNNNNNNNNNNNNNNNNNNNNNNNNNNNNNNNNNNNNNNNNNNNNNNNNNNNNNNNNNNNNNNNNNNNNNNNNNNNNNNNNNNNNNNNNNNNNNNNNNNNNNNNNNNNNNNNNNNNNNNNNNNNNNNNNNNNNNNNNNNNNNNNNNNNNNNNNNNNNNNNNNNNNNNNNNNNNNNNNNNNNNNNNNNNNNNNNNNNNNNNNNNNNNNNNNNNNNNNNNNNNNNNNNNNNNNNNNNNNNNNNNNNNNNNNNNNNNNNNNNNNNNNNNNNNNNNNNNNNNNNNNNNNNNNNNNNNNNNNNNNNNNNNNNNNNNNNNNNNNNNNNNNNNNNNNNNNNNNNNNNNNNNNNNNNNNNNNNNNNNNNNNNNNNNNNNNNNNNNNNNNNNNNNNNNNNNNNNNNNNNNNNNNNNNNNNNNNNNNNNNNNNNNNNNNNNNNNNNNNNNNNNNNNNNNNNNNNNNNNNNNNNNNNNNNNNNNNNNNNNNNNNNNNNNNNNNNNNNNNNNNNNNNNNNNNNNNNNNNNNNNNGAUAUGUUAGAAAUCGCGGAAGACCUGAAGGUUGUAUUGCAGAAUGCUAUCUAGCAGAAGAAUGUGUAGCAUUCUGUAGUGGUUAUAUCCAGCAACGAAUCGAAGUGAAUACUAAAGAGCUCCGUAAUGAUGAUUUCUCCAAUGGUAUAAUUCUUGAAGGUCAUCCAAUUUCAAGAGGCACACCGAUUACUUUAAGUAGUGAUAUGUUGGAAAGUGCACAUCAUUAUGUGUUAUUCAAUACAGCAGUUGUUGAACCGUACUUGGAGUAAGACUUUGAUUAUUAAUUUUAAUAUUAUUAUUUUAGCUGUUAUUUCGUUUGAGUUACUAACUUGUUUUACUUUUAAAAUAGGAUGCAUAUGGAGGAGUUAAAGCAAUCAAAUAAAUGUCUUGCAAAAAAUUCUAAUUUACUUUGGAAGAGACACGUACAAACAUUUUCAGCAUGGUUGAAACAAAAGGUAAUAUUGCGUUUGAUUUUAAUUAUCUAAUACUUAAUAAUAACAUAUUAAUAUUAGAACUUCUUUGUUGCAACUGUACAGAUUUAAUUUUAAAUAUAAAUAACUUAUUUCUUACAACUGUACAGAUUGAAUUCCAUACUUGUAAAGAUAAGGACUUUGAUACAUUAAAGUGGCUUGCAUAUGGUCCCAGAAUCAAUGCAAAACGUUAUUCUGGAUAUAUUAUUAAUGGCCAAAGAUUCCAUACAAGAGAAAUUGACAAGGCAACACAAGAUAGUGGGGUUUCAAUAGAAGCUACAACUGUAUGCAGAGCAAGUGCGAAAGAUAAUGCACAAGUUGUGGAUAUAGUUGCGUAUUAUGGGGUUAUAACAGAUAUAAUCUUGUUAGAUUACCAUAACUUUCAGAUUCCAUUAUUUAAGUGUGAUUGGGCGAACAAGGGACAUGGUGUUAAGGUUGAUGAUGGCUUUACGCUUGUUAAUCUACAUCAAGGGCAAAGUCAGUACGAGAAAGAGCCUUUUAUCCUUGCAUCACAAGCAAAACAAGUAUUUUACUCUAGAGAUAGUAAUUCUUCUAAUUGGUAUGUUUUAUUAAAGGCGCCGCCAAGAGGUUACUAUGAGCUGGAGAUGUAUGAUGAGAAAGAGGAUACAAAUUGCGUGCUUGAAAAUAUGCUUGAUAAGAACAUUGAAGAUGAUAAUGAAGGAGCUACUUAUAGGAGGAUUGACUGUGAGGACAUUUUGGUUUGAUUUAUGUAACUACUUUUUGUUUUGGAGUGGUUAAUGUAUAUAUGAACUAUUAUUUUUUUGGUUUGGUGUGAUUUAUGUAUUUUCAGUUGUAAUAAUGUUGCUUGUUGGUAAGAAUUCAUUUUCUCUUAAGUUUAUUUUAUUUGAUUUUUUUUAAGAGAUUUGAUUACAAAUUUUUUUAUAUUAACUAAAUUUUUGUCCAAUUAACAGGUCAUUUUGAAGAUUGAUUGAUAACAAUGAAUGAGAUGCAUGAGGAAGGCUUGCAUUCGUCCGCAUUCAAAUCAAAAAAUAAAAGGGGUCCUACCAAAUUGAAGAACAUUGCUGUGGAUGGUGAUAAAGUGGAGGUCAUAUUUAAUAGCAAAGGUCAACCGAUUGGUGAGGGAUCUAUCUCAUUAUCAUCUUUUUUAGGACCUCUUGUACGAGAGCAUGUACCGUAUACAAUUUCAGAUUGGAGGAAACUUCCUUUGAAUUUGAAAGAAGUGUUAUGGGAAUGUAUUAAGGUAUGUAGCUAUAUUGUAAUUUAAGUAUAUAUCAUUUGGAUGAAAAUACAUAAUUGAAUGGAAAUUAAAAUUAUUUUGUAUUUUUAAUUAAAUAUACAUUGUAGAAGAGGUACAAAUUGGAUGGACAAUGGCAAAGAGCUUAUGUGUUCCAGGAGAUGGCUGGGCUUUGGAGGGCUUCAAAAUCAAGGCUAGUUCAGAAGAUAUUGCAGGCAAAAAACGAACAAGAAAGAAUGAAGUUAAGACCUGAUAACAUCUCAUCAAUAAACGAAUGGAAAAGUUUUGUGAAAGAAAAAACAAGUGAAAAAUUUAAAGUAAGUGUAUUACUAUAUUAAAUUAUGUAAUUAUGGUUGUAACUAUGUUACUGAACAAAGUUUAUAUUAACUGUGCAGGAAAGAAGUGAAGGAUUUAAAAAGAUUAGGAAGAAACAAAUCCCACAAACAACAGGUCGUAGGGGACUCGCUAGAAUGACAAAAGAUAUGGUAAAAAAAUAUUUCUUUUAAAAUAGGAUUUUAGCUGAGCAAUCAUUUAUAAACUAUUUUCUGUUGCAGAAAAAAAGUAGUGGAAAAACUGAAAUGCCUAGAGUUGAUGUAUGGAUACGAGCACAUACAAAAAAGGACGGUCAACCCGUGAACAUUCAAGCUGGAGAAACUAUUGUAAGAAUAUCCAUUUAUUCAAUUGAUAUGCUUGUUUUUAUCAUAUGUUCUUGAUGAAUAUUACUUUUAAAUAAAUUUUCAGGAUAAAUUAAAAGAAACUUUGCAAGAUCCAUCACGACAUUCUUCAAAUAAUCUAAGAGAUGAUGCUCUCUCACAAGUACUUGGGCCUGACAAUUCUCAUUUAAGAGCUAUCGGGAAAGGAGUCACCAUUUCAAAGUUGGCUAUACUAUCACAAAAGGACAGCAUAAUAGCUAAGUUGACAGAAGAACAUGAUGAAAUUAAAAAAGAAAAUGCUCAAAUGAAACAAGAACAAGAUGAAAUGAAGAAAGCAUUGUCCGAUAUGCGAAGUUUAGUUGAAGAGUUACAAAAAAGGCAGGCAUGUACUAUGUUUUACUCACUUUUAUGUAGUUGUUAUAAUAUUUAGUUACUGACUGUUUAUUUUUCAUUUUAGAGUCAUUUUCAUGAAACCGAAGCAAGUGGGAAUCCUCCGAAAACACCUUUGACUUCUCCAAUGGUAAGAAUAUUAUUUACACUUUUAAGUUUAGUGAAAGGAUGAAAAAUAAAAUGCUGAAGGCUUAUUACUAAUAUUUUUUUCUUAAUUAAAUUGUCCUUGUGUUGUUGUUAAAGAGUGUGAAGCCAAUCCCGAACAUUACUAAGUGUAAAAUGCUUGAUUUGGAGGGGUUUGAUACAGUUGUGGCUGAAGGGCGUUGGUCAUCAAGUGAUCCAAAUGCACUUGUUCAUCACAUUCCUCUUGGUUCUAACGCUAUAAGAGUUUGGGUGGAUAUAGCUAGGCAGCCCCUAAAGUUUUUGUGGAAAGUAACACCUUAUAUGACAACAAUUGAAGAAUCUGUUGGGAGUACAAUUGCAUGGCCAGCUGAUAGAGUUAUCCUGUUUACUGCCAACUAACUUUUCUAGUCCAUCUAUUUAGGUAUUCUUUUACGUUCUUUUCUUUUUUCCAAUGACCUCAUAUUUUUAAGUUUGCUUGCAAAUAUGAUCUAGUUUACCACUAUGAGAAAGUAAUUUUGCAGUUUUCUACUUUGAGAAGGUUCUGAUUUUAUAUUUUAUUGUAUGCAAAAUUAUCCUUUUAAUGUUAUCUUCUUGGUUCAAUUUUUCCUAGAGUGGUUAUUUGGAAAAGUAGCUGUUUUGUUCAUUUUUAUUAGGAGUCAUACGCCAAGGUUUCACUAUUGCCAUAUGUGUUUGCAAUGUUAAUUGUUGUGCAAAUUUUAAUGUACUCGCAAGCGCACGAAUCUAUUGUAGUGUAGAUCAAUGGUGACGAGUGUCGAUCCCACGAGGAGGUGGAUUUUAAUUAUAUAUAGAAUUAAUUUUGUAAAUGGGUGGUUGCAAUUAUGGUGGAAAUGAUUUGGAAUAUGCUAAAACUUAAAUUAAAAUGGCGAGAAUAAAUUCUAAAAUUGGAAUUGCAAUGGAGAGAAUAAAUUGAAGAGAAAAUCUAUUAAAUUGACGUACUUGGAUAUCUGGAUCCGUAUCAACAUGCAUCAUGGGCUAAAUAAUCCGUAUUAAUACCAAUUAAAUCAUGAGGGGGGAAUCCACACCUCAUGAACCACGCUCUAAUCAAUAUGGUGCUAAGGGCUUAUCGUGCCAAAUAAUAAUAACCUUGUACUAGAGGGCCGGUGAAACCAAGGCGGUACUAGACAAGAUUAGUAUUAUUUGUCGACGAGAAGUCAAAACAUCCACAAAAACUAGAGGGGAAGAGAAAAUAAAUUUACCAAAUAAAGCCCAUGACACAUGUUGAGACUUCACCUUCAACCCAAGCUUGAAAGAAAAUUAGCCACUCAUAAUUGAACUAGGGGCAAAAUGAGAAUUUAUUAAAAUACGAAGAAAAUACAAGAUGGAGAGGGAAUUACAGAAAAUGGAUCCCAAAAAUGGAUUCAGAGAUAUCAAAUUAGGGGGGGAGGCCCCCUUUUUAUAGAUACAUGGAGUAAAUCAUGGCCAUCAGAUUAAAAACAGUUUGGACGCUCAGGAUUGCGCCACGUCAUCAGUCAACAGUCCACGGUUUGACCACGCGGAUGAACAGUAACACGGUUUGACCCGACUUUGAACAGUAACGCGGUUUGACCCGGAUGAACAGUAACGCGGUUUGGUUGAAAAUAAUCCUGUGUGAUGCAUGCACCGUACACGAGAUUUUUCGUCCACUGAUAUGAUGUGAAUAGUGCCAUUUUUCCUUUUAUGCUCCUCCUAAGGUUUUCGACCAUCCUGAGUUCAAAAGUGAUGUCCGUUUUGCCGUCUGAUCUCUCCUUUAUUGUGAAAUGACUAUAAUGCCCCUAAAAUACAUAAAUUACUUAAUUAAAAUAAAACACACGUAAUUAAAUCACAAGAAUGUUAAAUACAUAAAAGUAAAGGUUGUUAGUAAGACUUGAAAUGUAAAAUGACGGUUUUCUCCUUUAUAAAUAUGCAUUUUCUAACACUCAACAUUAAUCUCGGUGGGUUGUGAUUUGGCUUAUUGCUUAUCAUUAUGUUAUUUCAUUUUUUUUCUUAAUAAAUGAAAAAUAAAAUAUUUUCCUCUUAUGAUACAAAUAUUAGAUUCAUUGCUUUGAAUUUUCAAUAUUGUUAUUUUUAUUUGUAUUUAUUAAUGAGUCAUUAUUUUAUUUGUCAUUCUUAAAGCAUCAUUAUUAAUUCUUUUCAUUAUCAUAAUGUAACUAUGUUUUUGUUUUAAUUUCAUGAUGCAGGUUGUAAAAAUAUAAGUAUAUUUUGUAAAGAGUAGAAGGCAAGUUGUGGAUGUUAUGGGUAACAUAACGGGUAAAAAACUGCAAGUAUGACAUGAACAUGCUUAAUUUUUUGUGUACUUAAUUUUUUGUGUAAGUCUCUUUGUAUACUUUGAUGUACAUGAUCAUGUGAUUUUGGAUGCUUAUAUAUAGUUACAGUGAUGAAAUAUAUGGUAUCUAAAUUUUUUGCAUGAAAGGAAUAAUAGAUUACACGUCAAAUGGUUUGGAAUUGGAGACUUAAAAUUAUAUUUAGUAAAUAAACAUUUUGAUACGAAUUUAUCAACUAAAUUGAUGAUAUUGAACAACCAUUAAAAAAAUACUUUUUUAUUAACCAACAUUCAUAACUUUUUACAAAUGCUACUAUAUAAAGAUUUAAAAUUUUCCAUAGCAUUUACCAACAGCUACAUUAUAUAUAUAUAUUAAUUUUGUACUAGUUGUAACAUUACUGAAACGUUAUAAUUAUUAGUAAAAUUGCAUUAUCAAAGUGCUAUCAAAGACAAGUGGUUGCAUUAGUAAAUGGUUCAGUAGCAUUUUUUUAAUGUUAUAUAUGUAAUUUAGUAGCAUUGCAUAAAUGCUACACAUUGCACAAUGAUAGCAUUUGCACGAAGCUGUAAACUAAGAUUUGCUAACUAUUUUUAAAUGCUAUAUAUAUGAAUUGUUAGCAUUCAAUAGAUGCUAUUAAAUAGUAAAACUUUUAGUUACAUGGGCAAACUUAGCGUUGCCUAAAAUGCUACCGAUCACCUUUGGUAGCAUUUUUUGGAUGCUAUUAUAUAUCCUUUUUGUUGUAGUGUUUGAACAGAACCAGCCAGCUCGGAGAGGUCCAUGCUCUCGAUGUCCUUCACCAUCUUGGGCCCCACCGAUUUUCUGUAAUCCUUUUGAUACGGACUCAGGUAGUCACCUUGAUCCCGGGAUGGAAGAGGAGAGGAUCGAUCCCCAGACUGGAUGCUGACCUCAGGACUCUUAUCGGAAGCUUUCUCCCCACCACUCCUACGAGGUGGAGGAGGGGGCAGAGCAGGAACAGGCGCCUUAGAAGGACCGACACUGGUUUUCUUUGGAGGAGGGGGAGGGUUGCUGGAGCUGCUUGGAGCCCGACCACGCUUUCUGCUCAUCGCGCUGAGGAUCUUGUUAUCCAUUCCAGCAGUUAUGUCCACUAGACCCGAACCGACCAGGUUUGUUGGUGACAGGAGGUCUUGGCAGGUAGACGCGUUCACCAGAGCAGUUUCCACCUGAAGCAAAGGUCGGUCUUCAAGCCCCUCAAUCAAAUCCCACGACUCUGAAAUAGCAAAAAAGGUUAAAGAACCCAAUAAGUGACAAUUUGACUAAGAACAUAGGCAAAAAUGAACGACCUGGAGUGACAAAAUGUGUUGGAAGGUAAAUAUCCCCACCAAGCGACCGAACUGCUGGACACCAGUUUCCUCCAGCAAAGAAGAAUUUAUUCUUCCAAUUUUUACAUGAAGAAGGAAACUCAGUGAUCGGUUUCCUCUUUACAGAACUGGACAUAAAGUAGUACCAGCCCGCUUCCCUCGGGCUACUCCGCAGCUGGUACAGGUGCUUCACUUCAACAAGGGAAGGCUCUCCCAACCCGCAUCUCUCCCACAACACAAACAUUGCCGAGAGAACCCUCCACCCAUUUGGGUGUAGCUGACCUGGGGCCAGGUGCAUACCGCCCAGUAUCUUCGCAAAAUAACUUUGAAGGGGCAGCCGAGCUCCCAAUUUGAAACUUUCCAGGUGCAUCGUCACAUACCCUUUCGGAGGCCGACUAGGGACGUCACCUUUUCCAGGAACUACCAGGAGAACCUCAUUGGGAAUGUUGUAGAGGUUCCUAAGCUUAAAUAGAUCAGUGGGGGUGGUGGCACAAUCUAUGAAAUCAAUAGGGUAGGAAUCCGCCUCCACCCUAUGGCUGAGAUUCCUUUUCUUAGCAGGUCCGCUCGGUCCAGAGCUGCUCCCCUCACCAUCACCAACUCCCUCAGGGACCCCAACCCCACCAAAGCUGUGGUUCUCACCAGAGCCCGACGCGGGUCCACCUCUAUUCCCUACAAGCUCUAGUUCGGGGGAGGGAGAAACAGCCAAGGGGCGUGGGUACUCAAGGGUAUCCCUACCAUGGGAGGGCCCUACACUACUAGAGGGACGUAAAAAAUCAGUGGGUAUCGACAAGUUAAGGUCUGAAUCCCCCGUUUCUUCGUCACUCUCAUCGGCAAUCAAUUUCCUUUUCCGAUUUGACAUAUCGGAGCCCCAAAAGGAAACCAAAACAAAUCCAAGUAUACGAAUACAAAAAAGGGGCAACACAGAACCCAAUCAACAAUAACCAAAGAAGAAGUUAAAGGCUGUACUUGGAAUAGUCUGGCACUGAUAAUGUCGUUGUGAUGGAGGGAAGACCCCGCAAACGGAAGUCCCAGACGCGGAGAGUAUGAACGAAGUUCGUAGGAGUUGUCUCACAACAGAGAAGCGAAUAGAACAAAGCGACGAUGAUUUAAGUCUAGGGAUUUGAAACGAAAAGGAAAAUGAAAGCAUUUAAGUGAUGGGGAUGCCAGCUCACUCACCGAAUAUCGAGGACAGAUAGCCCGUCAUUUCAAAUUUCAAAUGUGAAGAGUCUGGAAAGGCCACGUCACUAACCGUUACAAGAGGCCAAGCUAGAUGCAAGCCCAGAUAGGCAAUGGACACGCUCAUUCAAGCCCAUGCUCAGGUCGGGAUCUCCCCAGAAUAAGAAUGGUACCUCAGGUCCGUCCCAGUAAACAGGAAAUCAGAUGUGAAGCUCCCCGUAUUGGUCAGAUUUGGCUAUCGGUUUCUACUCUUGACUCAUUUCACUCGCAAGACUAGAAACUGGGGGACUGGUGUUAAGUAAAUAAAAGCACCAGGUCGGCCAUGCUACUAUCCACCCCGGCGUGGAUCACUUCAGCCAAGUAGUACGAGCAGAACACGGGGGCAAACAUGAACCGACCAGAGACGAAUACCGACCAGAAGCAUAUACCGAGCCGGCGCUCAUCCCCCAGGAAAGCGGGAACACGAUCCCACAGAAUCGCGGUAGUUGCGCUUUUCCCAGAACCGAUUAAAGGACACGCGAGAGCCCACGUUUGCCCACAAUGUAACAGUUAGAGCCCCAUGAGGGGCUGCCACCACCCGAAAAAGGAGGGAUAAAGGGUAAACGGAAAACGUGGGACAAAGGGGCGGCUAUAAAAGAGGGAGAAAUCGAUGAAGAAGAAAAAAAGAAGAUUGAGAGAGGGAAAACGCUGCCAAAUUGCAAUCAGGCCUUUUUCUUACAAACUUUGAAUAAAUUAAAAAUCAUUCUUGAAUCCAAAUUGCACUGUUUUCCCGUAAACACUUUGUGCUAACUUAGGCAUCGGAGGGUUUACGCCGGCAAAACCACCGGUGUCUUUGAUUCGUUUUUGGUAAACGCAGGUCUAGUAAGAGAAAGGAGGGCGAUUCCAACCCCAGUGGUUCGAGCAACAGUUGAUAACACAAACGUUGGUGAAAGAAUCUGGUCGGUCAAAAGGCGAGCAGAUUUAAGCAUCAACACACGUCAUAGUGUUUUUUAGUUUUGACUCUAGUGUUUUAGGAAAAUGAACAAUGGACUGAAUACAGACGAGAAAAUUCGCAUGUUAUAUAACACAAUUAAAAUAAAAUAUCAUUUGUCAUACAUUUUAUUCAUUAAAAACAUAGUAAAAAAAAAUUAAAAAAUUCAAAAAUUCAGUGGCCGCAAACGUCCUUUCUGGAAUCUUUGUGGGCAACACGUACGUGGUGUCUUCACUAAGUGUUGAAUCUUUAGCUUCAAAGGAAAGAAAAAAAAAAGGGUAGGGAUAUUUCCACCCCAUUAUUUUUGUAAAUUCACACCACUUUUAUAAAAUAAUUAUAAUGAAUUCACAAUAUUUUUUAAAAAUACAAAUUAAUAAAAAUUGUGUAUAGUUAAUCAAUUAAAUCAUUCUAUUAUCUUACUUCUUAGAUUUCUUUUACUCUAUUUGAUCAUGAACUCUGAUAUAAAUUUUAUUUUUCUAUUUUAUUAUUAUGAUAUAAAAUGAAAAAAUUGCCUAACAAACAUGAGUUAUUGUAUCUAAUAAUUUAUGUAUUUAAUUAUGUGAACUAAUAUUUUAAAUGAAAUCUAAUUAUUAUUUUCACUACCUUACAAAUAAAUGAUAUAAAUUUGACAAGCUAAUAAUUUACAUGAGUAUUGUGCCAUAAAGACAUUAUGUUUGUUUAAUUAAUGUUUUAUAAUCAUACUAAUAAAGUAGUAUUAGAAAUAAUGAAUUUGGUAUAAAAUUAGAAAAUAUUGAAGUUAAAGAAUUAGUUUUACCUUAUAAGGAUAAAAUAAUCAAUUUAGACUUAUGUCAAAGCAAUCUUUAUGAUCAAAUAUAAUAAAAAAUAUUUAAGUCACAAAAAGUAAAUUAAGAUAGAUUUGUUAAUUUGGUCUCCAAAGUUCUUUUUUAUUUAAUUUUUAAAAAAAUAAUGUGUACUUUUUUGUAAUUAUUUUUUAAAAAUGGAGUGGAUUUGGAGAUAUCAUUAGCCAACAAAAAAUUUAGUAAGGAUUAAUUUGAUAAUUGCCUAUAAAAAGAAGGCAUAUGUGCAUGUGGUGGUAGGGAAGCGUUUUUCCAUUCUAAAAUUACAUGUAAGAAUCUAUUAUAAAAAAUUUAUCAGUUCUUCACUCCACUAAAAUUUAUCAGAGAAUGAGGUGAAAAAUAUGGGCCAAAUAAAACUAUUAACAUAUAAAAAAAUUUAAAUUAUUAAAAAUAAUAACUAAAAAAUACAUAUUUGUUAAGAAUUUUGGAAUUAUUUUUCUUUGAGUAAUGAUACUAUAAUUCAAAAGAUGCUUUUUGAAUUACAUCAGAUUUUUUAUUCAAAACGAACAAAGGGAUUAUAUUUUACAAUUUAGGAAAUAACUAUAUUUAAUAGAGAUAAUUUUGGGACAUAGCAUUUACUUUCUAUUGAGAAAUUUUCAUAUAUUAGACAAAAGUUACAAAAGUUUACUUAAAAAAAAAAGAAAAUUAGACUUCACACGUUUAACAAAUAACCCGAAGGAAUAUGAAUAAGAAUUAUUAAAACAAAAAUGAUAAAUAAGGAUAAUUUUAAAAUUAAAUGCAAUUAAUGGAGAGAUGAUGACUGAUAAGAAAAAUUGGGGGGCAAAAAUUAAAAUAUCAACCUACUACUAAUGGUUGAUAGUCAUGACCCACUCAAUUUGAGAAUUAAAAGGACAAAAGCCAUGUGUUGAAAACUAUGGUGUUCAUGGGGAAAUUCAGCUAAAAGUCUAAAAAGCAGUGAAAUUAUAUCUUCAACAAUUCCUGCACUGCAAUAAUUUUCGAGGGACGUGGUGCAUGUAACACAAAUUCACACUAGACUAUUGAACCAUACCUUAUUAGAUGAAGGGUAUAAUGUACCGAAAGCACGUAUUUAGCAUUGUAAAAUUAGUGGCCUUCUUUUCCUGCAGAUUUAAUCUACUUGGCGUGUUAUUUUUUUUCCUUUUUUUUUUUUUUGAAUGCCAGUGUUUCAUUCAUGAUAUUUCUGAAUUUUUAUCCAUGAUGUUUUAACUUUAUUUUUAUUGAUUCAUGAUAUAUUUUAAAAAAUAUAUUUGUAUAUUGAUUUGUCAUUUUCACUCAACUCAUUUGUGUUGUGAAUCCAUUCGCUUAAACAUGUAAGGAAAACUGACUUGUAAGUAAACUAAUAUUAGUUUAUGAAGUGAAUAUUGCGCCGAAAUAUAUGGAAAAUACAAACAGAUAGUAAUCAAUUAAUUUUGCGCGAGAGAGGCAGAUAGUUAAUUACCGUGUGCAAAUGGUGGAUAUUGGUUUGAAUAUUAUCAUUAUCAGUGUGAAUGAGGAGGGAUCGAACUUUAUGCCAAUUGAGGCAACAAGUGAGGACGCCACUCAUGCGAAACAACAUCAUCAAAGCAGAGCUAAACUAAGAGGGAAACCUAGGAUGGCCGAUUUGAUGAUGACGCUUCUUCAUCAUUCCCCAUUAUUUUACUUCUCGCUACGUACGUAGUACUCUAUGCUACCUUUCUUGCUUCCUUCAAGCGUACAUUUAAUUGAACACAAUGGUAUUAGUAGUAUUAUAGGAAUUUAUAUUUACAAAACUGACUUGUAAGGAAAGAGCUUGUCUUCUAGUACAACUUUAAAUUUACCAAGAUUAAGAAUUUUCCUUCUGAAGAAAAGUAAUUUCUAUAGCAGCUAUUACCAUCUUCAUCCCAACGGUAAGCAGCUCCAUACUAAGGAAAGAGUGAAAUAGGUGUGCUUUACUUAUAGAAGCCCGUUCCUGUCCAGAGUGAUUAGUAAGUUGUUUCACCAUGACCCCCAUUAUGGUUGACUGGAAAAAGAAAAAAAAAAUAUUUGCCCAACACAGAAGUAGCACCCAAAAAGUCCUACUUAAGCGGCUUCAUACCCUGCACAAAUUGGAAAGUUUUUUAAAAUUUUCAUGUUCCAAAUGAAGAUUGCCCAUUAAAAAAUUACACACAUAAUGUAUGUAAAGCAAUUAAAACAGAAAAACAAGGAUAACCCAGAAACAAUCCAGCCAUCAAUAACAUAAAACUUUUGUAAAUCUGGUAAAGUGAAUGAGAAGCAGAACAUACAUUUCACUUAAUAAUGAAAGAUACAUCUUUUAAUCAGUUUUUGCUCUUGCUUUGUUCUUGUACUUCCUUCCAAUAACAAUUCAUAAUGCAGGUAGGUAUCUUAAAAAAUUAUAUCAUACAUUUCUCUUAUCAAAAGAAAUACAGUUGAUUAAUUGAACUGUAUUUCUAAAAAAAUUAUAUCAUACAAACAUGUCGUUUAUUAAUUGAACUGUGGUCAUUAAUACACGCACACACAUGUAUGCUUAUGGUACAGUCACACCGAAUCUGUUAUAGACUAAUUAAAUACAAUAUGUUUUAACUAAAGUUGGUUAGUGUGAGUGGUUCGGCACUCUCACUCCUUAAGAGAGGUCAGGGGUUCAAGCCCCACUCUCAUAUGGAGUCACCACUUUGGCCAGCACUGUACCCUUUACGGGCCGAUCUGGUGAGAGCGGGGAUUAGUCUGGGUUGUGGUACGCACUUAAAGGUACCUCCCACAGUUGGGGCCCACUCAGAACCACCUCGUGGUUUAGACCCAAAAAAAAAAUACAAUAUGUUUCUUUUACUAGCUAUAUGAUUGGAUCUUCAUUAAUGACCAAAGAAGAAAUUAUAACAACCCAUGCAAGUAUUAGUACUUCUCCUAAAGCUAAUAUUAAUGAAACAAAACAACUUCAAAUAUUUCCCAAUAAGCCACUAGAUCAGGAUCAAGUCCACAAUUCAAUAUUCCACAUGAUUUUUCCCUUUCAUCUGCAAUUACUAGAUUAAAAGGUAAUAAAAUUAAUUACUUAACAUGCAUUCUAAAUCAUCCUUAAAUUUGAUAUGUUGGGUUCCAGCUGUAGGCAAAACUUUGGAUAAGUACAGAAAAAAAAUUAAAAAUGAGUAAAAAUGAAAAAGGAAGAAAAUAUCGAUCAAACCUCUUGUUCAAACGGAGGGGCGGCGCUAGUUUUUGAUCUAACAGUAUGCUAAGUUUUUUUUCCUUAAUACAAGUACAAAUGAUAUCAUACAUUUCUAAAAAAAUUAUAUCGGUCUUAAUUCAUAAUGCAGGUAGGUAUUCUAUGAUCCAUCUAAUCUUUCUACACUUUUUUUUUGUACUAGGAAAGCGAUAUUUAUAACGUAUCUCAAAAGAAAUACAGUCAAUUCUUACUGUUUUAGGAUAUAGUAUUUAAUUUGCAUUCAAACAUUUUCUCAUUUCAGAAAAGGUCCUAAAAAUUUAUUUUUUUAAUUCAAAUAUAAAUAUUAAAAAAAUCAGAUAUAAGUAUAAAAAAUAAUUUUUUUUAAAAAAAAGUUAGAUUUCAUAUGUUUAACAAUCAAUGCUAAGGAAUAUGAAAAAGAGCUAUUACAAACCAAAAAAAAAAAGACUAAUUUUGAAACUAAAUACAAUUAAUUGAGAGAUGAGGACCAUAAGAAAAAUUGAGGAUAAAAACUAAAAUAUCAGCCCCUCGUUGCUGAUAGUUAUGAGUAUGAAAGCACAGAAGCCGUGUGUUGAAAAGUCUGGUGUUCAUGUGGAAUUUUCCGUUAGAAGUCUACAAAGCAGUGGAAUUAAUCGAUCAUUGUGGAGUGGACGGUGGUUGGAGUUGGACAAUGAGAUGAAAUUGAAAAAUUAUCACGGAACUUGAAGGAAGGUUCAUGGCAUCGAUUUUUUCUAUAGAGUCGCUCACAUUUGGUUCAAUAACUGUUUUCAUCCGAAUCAAAAUCUCUCUCUAAUCAAUUCAACUAUUUCUGUUGAUUAUGGCUUCUUCUUCUUGAAACAACAAGAAGUAUGAUGUUUUUGUUAAUUUCAGAGGAGAGGACACCCGAGACAACUUUACUAGCCAUCUCUAUUCUGCUCUGAGUCGACAAAAUAUCCAAACUUUCAUUGAGUCACUGGUGAAUGCAAUUGAAGCAUCAGACAUUUCUGUUAUCGUCUUCUCAGAAGGGUAUGCAUCUUCCAGAUGGUGUCUCGAUGAACUUGUAAAGAUCCUCGAGUGCAAGAAAGAGUAUGCACAGAUUGUGAUUCCGGUUUUCUAUCGGGUUGAUCCAUCAGACGCGAGAAACCAAAUAGGGCAUUUUGGGAUUUCAUUUUCGAAGCUUGAAGAAAGAUUUAAGGAGAAUANNNNNNNNNNNNNNNNNNNNNNNNNNNNNNNNNNNNNNNNNNNNNNNNNNNNNNNNNNNNNNNNNNNNNNNNNNNNNNNNNNNNNNNNNNNNNNNNNNNNNNNNNNNNNNNNNNNNNNNNNNNNNNNNNNCACGCAGCACUCUUCGUUAAAAUUUCUGGCUACUAAACUACAAGUUUAAAAAUUUUUAAGCAUCAAAUUCUAGACUUCCUGACUUCCCCACUUUUGUGCUCUCAUAAUUAUAAAAUAAUUGUGACAGAAUUAAUAAUAAAAGCUCGAGAAUUUUACAAUAUAUAUGUAACAAAAUUAGGGGUGGUCUGUCGUUUUUUAAGCAAUUUCAACCUCCCACUCAGAUACCACCAUUAGAAAAAAAAAACUCACGCAUAUUCCUGUAAUUUAAGAGUUCUUAAUUUACUGGGAGAUUGUAGACCAGUGGUGGUAUAUAUUAAUUUCAAUAGAAAAAUUGGCAAUCUCCCUUAUUUCAUAUUUAAUGCAAAUUCCUCCUAUUAAUUUUAUGUAUUUGCCAGGCGUGAGUCGGAACUUAUAAAUGAAGUUGUUAAUCACAUUUUGAAGAGAUUGGAUGAAGUGUUUCGGCCGUGUGAUAACAAAAACCAACUGGUUGGAGUGGAAUCAACAGUUGAGGAAAUUGAAUCUCUAUUAGGUGUUGAGUCGAAAGGUGUUUACGCUUUAGGGAUUUGGGGCAUUGGUGGUAUAGGCAAAACAACAAUCGCUAGAGCUAUUUUCGACAAAAUCUCGGGUGAUUUUGACGAUUCUUGCUUCCUCGAAAAUGUUAGAGAAGAGUCACAAAUACCAGGAGGAUUAGCUUGCUUACGACAAAAACUUCUUUCAAAUUUAUUGAAGGAUAAAAAUGUGAUGCCUUAUAUUGACCUCAAUUUUAAUUAGAAGGCUCAGUCGCAUGAAGGUUCUGAUUGUUUUUGAUGAUGUGACUUGCUUCAACCAAUUGGAAUCUUUAAUCGAAAGUCUUGAUUGGCUUACGCCUGUGACUCGAAUCAUAAUAACCACCAGAAAUAAACAAGUGCUUAGAAAUUGGGGGGUGAGGAAAAUAUAUGAGAUGCAGGCAUUAGAAUAUCAUCACGCUCUUGAGCUUUUUAGUCGACAUGCCUUCAAACGAAACCAUCCUGAUGUUGGUUAUGAGGAACUUUCAAGCAAAGUAAUGAAAUAUGCUCAAGGUGUUCCUUUAGCUCUUAAAGUUUUGGGUUGCUUUCUACAUAAAAGGGAAAAAGAAGUCUGGGAAAGUGCAAUAGAUAAAUUGCAAAGAAUCCUCCAUCCAAGUAUUCUUGAGGUAUUAAAAAUAAGUUAUGAUAGUUUGGACGAUAAGGAGAAAAAUAUUUUCCUUGAUGUUGCUUGUUUCUUUCAAGGUGAGCAUGUAGAUCCAGUAAUGAAAUUCUUUAAUGCAAGUGGCUUCUACCCAGAAAUAGGAAUGAGUGUUCUUGUUGAUAAAUCUCUCAUUGCUAUCGAUUCAUACAUCAAGAUAACAAUGCAUGAUUUACUACAAGAAUUGGGUAGGGAAAUUGUUCGACAAGAAUCAAUUGAUCCUGGAAACCGCAGUCGGCUGUGGCAUCAUGAGGAUAUCUAUGAAGUUCUUACGUAUAAUACGGUAAGCAGUUUGUUUAAAAACUUGAUGUGAAUAUAUUUACAUACGCUCACACUCAUGAGUCUUAGAAAUGCGAUGACAGUUUGUAUAACCGUUUGUAAGCAUAAUUGAUAUGUAUUACUUGUGUUAUUAUGUUUCUUCGUGCAUUUGCAAUCAAGAGUUUAACUGCCUAGCAGUAACUAUAAACAUGAAUUAUUGAAAUUCGAUAUGUGUAAUGACAGAGAGCCCCACUCCAAUCCCACAUAAACUCCAUGCAAGAAUAAAUAAAAAUUGAAUUAACAACUAUAAAUUAAAUGAAGUUCAAUUCAUUAGUGGAAUAUAUAUAUCAUCUUUCAUUUGAUUUUAACUUUAUUGGUUUUGUAUUUACUUUUAGGGGACAGAAAAAAUUGAGGGCAUCUGUUUGGAUAUGUCAAAAGUAAAAGAGAUUCGUCUAAAUCCUAAUACUUACACAAAGAUUCCUAAAUUGAGAUUUUUAAAGUUCUAUAGUUCAUCAAUCAAUGGAGAGAACAAAUGUAAGAUAUCUUAUUUGCAAGAUUCCGGAUUUGCUGAAGUGAAAUAUCUUCACUGGUAUGGAUAUCCGUUGAAGUCAUUGCCUUCAAACCUUAGUGCAGAGAAACUUGUGUUACUUGAAGUGCCUCAUAGUGACAUUGAACAACUUUGGGAUUGUGUGAAGGUAUGGAUAUCUUAUUAUAUAUGUGCAAUCUCUCAAUAACAACAUUAAAUUAUUAUACGUGGUAACGAUUUUUUGUUGGCCUCUUUUUUGACUGAGCAGCAUUAUAGUAAUUUAAACCAGAUAAUCCAUGCUGCCUGCAAUAAGCUAAUUGCUAAAACUCCAAAUCCCACGUUGAUGUCACGUCUGAACAAGCUAGUUUUCUUGAAUCUAAGAGGUAGCAAAAGCCUGAAAAGUCUUCCAUCUGGAAUAUUUAGCUUGGAAUUUCUUACCAAACUUGAUCUUUCGGGCUGCUCAAAAUUGAAAAGGCUUCCAGAGAUCUCAUCAGGUAAUAUAAGCUGGUUUUUUUUAAGGGGGACUGCAAUUGAAGAACUGCCCUCAUCAAUUGAGCGUCUACCUAGGCUCGGGUACUUGGACCUUUCAGAUUGUAAAAGGCUUAAGAGUCUCCCAAGCAGCCUAUGUAAGUCGAAAUCUCUUGGAGUUCUUAUUCUCUGUUGUUGCUCAAAUCUUCAAAGAUUGCCGGAAUAUCUUGGCCAAUUUUCCUCGCCAAUAGUAUUGAAUCUAGCGAAAACCAAUAUUGAGAGAAUACCAAAAAGCAUUACCCAACUUGUCAUGUUGCGAUACGUCCUCUUAAGUUAUAGUGAGAGGCUUCAAUCCUCACCAAAGCCUUCAUUCAUUGAACGAGGUCGCCAGGCACUGCAACCAUUUUUAAGUUUGUUCUCUAAGUUAUGAAUCUUAUAGGCAGUUUUUUUUUUUACCGGACUAAUAAUUUUAAAUUGUAAGGUGAUUCUACUACAGGAAUUGUUCAAGAUACCCUGAGCCAUAUGCUAGAUGUACUUUUGCAAGAAAUAUGGGUAAAUGUGUGUCUUUAACUCUCUCUACUUACAAUUUCUACAAUCGUUUUUUUUUGGGCAUUUAAAAUUAUGUUUUUUCGGUACAGAGAGGUUUUUCCAUGGGCAAAGUUCAUAUAGUACUACCUGGGAAUGAAAUUCCAAAGUGGUUUAAGUUUCAAAGUGUGGGAUCUUUUAUAAACUUGGAGAUGCCACCAGAUUUCUUCAAUAAUAGCAUAAUGCAGGGCAUUGCAUUUAGUGCUAUUUUAGCAUUUUCUAACCGUCAUGUAGAUUGUGGCACAUGGUUUUCAUUUUCUUUUGAGCUCAAAGUGAAAACCACUAAAGAUUGUGGUCCGCAUGACACACAGUUAUUUCAGAGCAGAGUUAAUUAUAUAGAAUCAGAUCACUUACAUUUCGGGUGCUAUCUGUUCUGUGGAAAGGAUUUUAAUGGUUUUUGGAAAUGCAAUUGCAUUCCUGAGGCAGUCCACUUUAAUGUUUUUCCGCCUUUGAAGUGUGAGUGCUGCGGGGUGAAAAAAUGUGGGAUCCAUUUAUUUUGCUUCCCAGAUUCUACGAAUUCAAUAGAAGAUCCAAGCACAUGUUUCAACUAUAACGAAGAAGACUGAGAUUUUCAUGAAUGUAUUUUUAUUUCUUUCUUUUUUCUAAUCACUUUUAAUAAUAGGAGAAAAUUCAAAAUCAGUUCUUGGAGCAAAACAUUCAUGUAAUAACUUUUGAGGGAUCUAGUGAAUGUAACACAAAUUCACACUAGAGUAUUGAACUUUCCCCUGUUAGAUGAUGAGUAUAACGUAUGAGAGGCACAUGAUGUGUAUUGUAAAAUUAAAAUUAUUGGCCUUCUGUCCUACAUUUUGCGCACAUAUAUCUACCAAUGAAAAUAUGCCACUUAUUGUCAUGACCCAGCCUAGAUCGUCAUGACCUAACCUAGACCUAAAAAGAUAUUGUCAGCUUUGAACCUUAACAAGGCAUGCACGGUUUUGUUUCUAGAGUGCCUAUACACCUUAAAACGUGUCUUGCCAAUUUAGGUGUGGAUUACCCCUUAUAGACCUAGCAUCUCUCUUGUGUUUUGUCAAUGUGGGAUUUGCCUAAGUGUUAUAUACACUCCUAUUUAGGGACUCAAUAUCCUUACUGAGGUUUUGUCUCAUCAUUGUUCAAGAGGACACGUGAAGCUGCAUAGAUACCAUCUAUCAUGAUCCAACCCAGAUUGUGAUUUCGGUUUUCUAUCAGUUGAUCCACCAGACAUGAGAAACCCAACUUGGGAAUUUGGGGAUUCAUNNNNNNNNNNNNNNNNNNNNNNNNNNNNNNNNNNNNNNNNNNNNNNNNNNNNNNNNNNNNNNNNNNNNNNNNNNNNNNNNNNNNNNNNNNNNNNNNNNNNUAGAUGAUGAGUAUAACGUAUGAGAGGCACAUGAUGUGUAUUGUAAAAUUAAAAUUAUUGGCCUUCUGUCCUACAUUUUGCGCACAUAUAUCUACCAAUGAAAAUAUGCCACUUAUUGUCAUGACCCAGCCUAGAUCGUCAUGACCUAACCUAGACCUAAAAAGAUAUUGUCAGCUUUGAACCUUAACAAGGCAUGCACGGUUUUGUUUCUAGAGUGCCUAUACACCCUAAAACGCGUCUUGCCAAUUUAGGUGUGGAUUACCUCUUAUAGACCCAGCAUCUCUCUUGUGUUUUGUCAAUGUGGGAUUUGCCUAAGGUGUUAUAUACACUCCCGUUUAGGGACUCAAUAUCCUUACUGAGGUUUGCCUCAACAUUGUUCAAGAGGACACGUGAAGCUGCAUAGAUACCAUCUGUCAUGAUCCAACCCAGAUUGUGAUUUCGGUUUUCUAUCAGGUUGAUCCACCAGGCAUGAGAAACCAAACUGGGAAUUUUGGGGAUUCAUUUUUGAAGCUUGAAGAAAGAUUAAAGGAGAAUACUGAGAAGCUGCAGAGUUAGAGGAAUGCUUUGAAGGAAUUUAUGCCCAGUUUGUCUGGCUUUCAUUCUCUUAACAUCACAUGAAAAGUUACCUUUAAUUUCUCAUACUAAUAUUUAACAAUAAAUAAAAUUCACGCAGCACUCUUAGUUAAAUUUUCGUGUGCUAAACUACAAUUUAAAAAUUUUUUAAGCAUCAAAUUCUAGACUUCCUAACUUCCCCACUUUUAUGCUCUCACAUAAAAUAAUUUUGACCGAAUUCAUAAUAAAAACACGAGAAUUUUACUUCACAUAUCUAACAAAAUUAGUGGUGAUCUGUAAUUUUUUAAGCAAUUUCAACCUCUCACUCAUUUACCACCAUUCAAAAAAAAAAACACAUAUUCCUGUAAUUUAAGAGUUAUCAAUUUAUUGGGAGAUUGUAGACUUAUAGUGGUAUAUAUUAAUUUCAACAAAAAAAAUGACAAUCUUUCUUAUUUCUUAUUUAAUGCAAAUUCCUCCUAUUAAUUUCAAGUUCCAUUUCUUAUUAACAGCUAAACUUUGAGACUAAUUGAUAAUUAGGCAUGAAAUUCCCAAUGAAACAUGCAACCCUAAUUCGAAUUGAACAUCAUCAAUACCCAAUUUAAAAAAUCAAUCAAACAAACAAGUAACAAAAGGCAGCAGCUCAAUUGAACGCACCAACACCGGCACCAGUCUGGCGGGCAAGUUUUGUCCAUUCAGUGUGGAAAGACCCAGGGCGAUCAAUCCUCUCAUAAGUAUGCGCCCCAAACAAGUCUCUCUGAGCCUGAACAAGAUUCCCUGGUAGCCUCGCCCUCCUGUAAGUAUCAAAAUAAGAAAGAGUAGCACACAUCCCAGGAGUGCUAAUCCCAGCAGAAAUAGCCAACCCCACAACUCUCCUCCACGCUGCCUACCUCUGCACCAUCUCCCUCGCAAACUCUGGAUCCAUGACCAAGCUAGCCAAAUUUGGAUUCCUCUAAUAAGCCUUAUUAAUCCUAUCCAAAAAAUAGCUCUAAUAAUACACCCGUCUUUCCAAAUCCUCGCCAAUUCGCCAAAAUUCAAAUUCCAUCCUUUCUCAUUACUCUUACUCCUCAACAGAUUCAUCCCUUGCACAUAACUACAAAUCUUGGAAGCAUACAGAGCUUGCCUCACAUCAUCAAUCAAUCUCUUCUUGUCAACAUGUACUCCCACAUUUUGUACCUCAUCAUUCAAUCCCGCCUCUUUCAAGACCUUGGCGGCUUCCUCUCUUUCCUCUUUCAAACCGCUCAAGUACCUACAAUCCAAUGACCCAGCAAUGGUCAGGGUAGCGACUAAGAGCUCAGCAGCUUGCUGAAUGGUCCAUUUGCCAGUCCCUUUCAUUCCGGUCUUAUCUAAAAUCUUAUCAACAAGCUCACCCUCACCAUAUUCAUCCUUCACCUUGAAAAUAUCAGCAGUGAUCUGAACCAUGAAACUCUCCAACUCGCCCUUAUUCCACUCAUCAAAUAUCUCUGCUAACUCGGCAUUGCUGACUCCACCCACGUGCUUCAAAACAUAGUAAGCUUCGGAAAUCAACUGCAUGUCUCCGUAUUCAAUUCCGUUAUGAACCAUCUUAACGAAAUUACUAGACCCGCCUUCACCAAUGUAAGUAACACAAGGGCCAUCAUCAACUUGGGCGGCAACUUUUUGCAAAACACCUCGAAUAUUAUUAUAGGCCUCGAAGGAGCCACCGGGCAUCAAAGAGGGACCAUGACGCGCCUUCCUCACCCCCGGAGACCCCCAUGCCGAGAUAAGGCAAACCCUUCUAACUGGCUUCAUGGAUACGGCGCUCGGUAUUGAGGUACCACUCGUUGCUCCGAGAGGGCGGUGAUGGUCUGGGUCAACGGGGGAGUCGGCUUUGACUAAGAUGAUGACGGAUCUAGGGCGUUGGAUGGAGAGGACGAAGUCCCUGCGAGUGUAAUGGUCGUUCAAAGGGAGUUGACCCUCGCGGUGGGCCCGAUCUAGGGUUUCGUCGACUUUAGAAGUAGUGCGGUUUUAGACGGAGAUUGGGAAGCCUUUUUCAGCGAUGUUUAGGGCGAGGUUCUGGCCCAUGACGGCUAGGCCAGCAAGACUGAUACGUGAGAGAGCAGAGGCUUGUUGAAAAGUCAAAGAAUGGCUUACAAAUUUCAAAAGACAAAGUUGGUGGGCUUGCCAAUUUCAAAAGACAAGGUUGGUGGCACGAUUUUGUUGAAGUUGCAUGGAGGAAAAAUGUGAUGGUUUUCUAGAAGCCAAUUGAUUUUUUCAAAAUUGUUGAUUUUGUUGCCCACCAAAUUAAUUUUCCAUUCUAAAUUCAAUAUGUCAAUUUGGCAAGUUGUAGCCAAAUUGAAAGUGGUAGGUGAGCUACGGUUCCUAUAAAUAGAAGGGCCAUUGUUCAUUUGUUAGCAUCCCAAAAUUGUUAAGCUUAUAAGUUUCUAAGCUUUUGAGAGAAGUGAUAGAAGUGUGUCUAGGGAAUUUAUCUUUCCUGUAGAGUGUGAGAGUACUCGGUAUAUUUGGGUUUCUAGGAAGUGAGAUUCGUUACUCAAAUAUUUGUACUCUAUUAAUUAUUAAAUAAAUAAUUAUUCUUUCUUACCUCCGUGGAUGUAGGUUUAAUUACUGAACCACGUAAUUCUUGUGUCUUUUAUUUUUCUAUAAUUAUUUGGUGCGCUUGAUUCCGCAUUCCGCACACAAUAAGUGGUAUCAGAGCCGACGGUUCGUACUUGGGGGGAUACGAUACUAUUCACAUAUACGGUACUAUUCACGUAUACAGUACUAUUCACGAAUACAGUGGAGUCGGCCAUUUAUAUUUGGGAGACAGUCUAUUGUAAGUAGUGUGUAUUUUUGCAUGUCUAGGAAAGUUCUGUCAACAGAGGCAAUAAGAGUCUAAGGAUUCUGGUUUUUAAUUGGGAUCGAGUUCCCGUCCAGUCUCCUGGGAACUUUCAUGGUGCAUUUAUUCAUGCGAAAUUAACAUCAUAGUCCACAGAGGCUGUUUUUCAAGUGAAAAUAGUUCGUUAAGAAAAUGGUAGAAGGUGAAACUUCCAAAAUUGGGGAGAAAUCUACCAAGACUAUUUCAAAAGACACUUCAGGUGGGAGGCGAGAUUUGUCAAAUCGCCAUUCAGCACCUGUUAUAAGAGGCCAGAAAAUUGAUGCUGAAAAGUUUGAUGGGAAAAUCAACUUCAGCAUGUGGAGGCGUGAAGUUAUGAAUGCCCUUAUUCAAAUCGAUCUCGAUGUUGUUCUGAAAAAUAAAAGACACUUGUGUGAUGAAGAAAUUUAGGAUCGUAUGAACGAGAAAGCUUGUGGUCAAAUCAGAUCUUGUUUGACCAAGGAGGUGAAAUACUUGGUGAAAGAUAAGGAGUGUGCUGUGACUUUGUGGCGUACAUUGGAGAAGAAGUACCUACUGAAAAGUCCUGAAAAUCGUCUUCAUACAAUGAGCUAAGUAUAUGGCUUUCAAAUGAAGCAUGGGGUGUCAAUGCAUGAUCAUGUCUCAAGAUUUGAAAAGUUACUUGAUGAUUUGAAGAAUCUUGAUGAAGAUAUUAAGGAUGAAGUCAAGGCUAUGAUUCUGUUACACUCACUACCAGAGGAAUAUAGCCAUUUUGUGACUACCUUGAUAUAUGGGAAGAGUGUGAUCAUCUUUAAAUAUGUUUGCACAACAUUGACUAACUUGGAGAUUCAGAAUAAUAAUAAAAAUUCUGAAUGAGCAUAUUUUGAAGCUUUGGUGAGCUGAGAUUGGGUGAUCGAGAAAAAGAAAACCCGUGGUGGAAUGAAUUCUUGAUCUAAAUCGAAAAGCAAAAAUUAACCUCGAGAGAAUGUGCCUUUUGUCAUGAAAAUGGCCUUGGGAGGAAAGAUNNNNNNNNNNNNNNNNNNNNNNNNNNNNNNNNNNNNNNNNNNNNNNNNNNNNNNNNNNNNNNNNNNNNNNNNNNNNNNNNNNNNNNNNNNNNNNNNNNNNACGAAUUACUAGACCCGCCUUCACAAUGUAAGUACACAGGGCAUCAUCACUGGGCGCACUUUUGCAAACACAAUAUUAUUAUAGGCCUCGAAGGAGCCACCGGGCAUCAAAGAGGGACCAUGACGCGCCUUCCUCACCCCCGGAGACCCCCAUGCCGAGAUAAGGCAAACCCUUCUAACUGGCUUCAUGGAUACGGCGCUCGGUAUUGAGGUACCACUCGUUGCUCCGAGAGGGCGGUGAUGGUCUGGUCAACGGGGGAGUCGGCUUUGACUAAGAUGAUGACGGAUCUAGGGCGUUGGAUGGAGAGGACGAAGUCCCUGCGAGUGUAAUGGUCGUUCAAAGGGAGUUGACCCUCGCGGUGGGCCCGAUCUAGGGUUUCGUCGACUUUAGAAGUAGUGCGGUUUUAGACGGAGAUUGGGAAGCCUUUUUCAGCGAUGUUUAGGGCGAGGUUCUGGCCCAUGACGGCUAGGCCAGCAAGACUGAUACGUGAGAGAGCAGAGGCUUGUUGAAAAGUCAAAGAAUGGCUUACAAAUUUCAAAAGACAAAGUUGGUGGGCUUGCCAAUUUCAAAAGACAAGGUUGGUGGCACGAUUUUGUUGAAGUUGCAUGGAGGAAAAAUGUGAUGGUUUUCUAGAAGCCAAUUGAUUUUUUCAAAAUUGUUGAUUUUGUUGCCCACCAAAUUAAUUUUCCAUUCUAAAUUCAAUAUGUCAAUUUGGCAAGUUGUAGCCAAAUUGAAAGUGGUAGGUGAGCUACGGUUCCUAUAAAUAGAAGGGCCAUUGUUCAUUUGUUAGCAUCCCAAAAUUGUUAAGCUUAUAAGUUUCUAAGCUUUUGAGAGAAGUGAUAGAAGUGUGUCUAGGGAAUUUAUCUUUCCUGUAGAGUGUGAGAGUACUCGGUAUAUUUGGGUUUCUAGGAAGUGAGAUUCGUUACUCAAAUAUUUGUACUCUAUUAAUUAUUAAAUAAAUAAUUAUUCUUUCUUACCUCCGUGGAUGUAGGUUUAAUUACUGAACCACGUAAUUCUUGUGUCUUUUAUUUUUCUAUAAUUAUUUGGUGCGCUUGAUUCCGCAUUCCGCACACAAUAAGUGGUAUCAGAGCCGACGGUUCGUACUUGGGGGGAUACGAUACUAUUCACAUAUACGGUACUAUUCACGUAUACAGUACUAUUCACGAAUACAGUGGAGUCGGCCAUUUAUAUUUGGGAGACAGUCUAUUGUAAGUAGUGUGUAUUUUUGCAUGUCUAGGAAAGUUCUGUCAACAGAGGCAAUAAGAGUCUAAGGAUUCUGGUUUUUAAUUGGGAUCGAGUUCCCGUCCAGUCUCCUGGGAACUUUCAUGGUGCAUUUAUUCAUGCGAAAUUAACAUCAUAGUCCACAGAGGCUGUUUUUCAAGUGAAAAUAGUUCGUUAAGAAAAUGGUAGAAGGUGAAACUUCCAAAAUUGGGGAGAAAUCUACCAAGACUAUUUCAAAAGACACUUCAGGUGGGAGGCGAGAUUUGUCAAAUCGCCAUUCAGCACCUGUUAUAAGAGGCCAGAAAAUUGAUGCUGAAAAGUUUGAUGGGAAAAUCAACUUCAGCAUGUGGAGGCGUGAAGUUAUGAAUGCCCUUAUUCAAAUCGAUCUCGAUGUUGUUCUGAAAAAUAAAAGACACUUGUGUGAUGAAGAAAUUUAGGAUCGUAUGAACGAGAAAGCUUGUGGUCAAAUCAGAUCUUGUUUGACCAAGGAGGUGAAAUACUUGGUGAAAGAUAAGGAGUGUGCUGUGACUUUGUGGCGUACAUUGGAGAAGAAGUACCUACUGAAAAGUCCUGAAAAUCGUCUUCAUACAAUGAGCUAAGUAUAUGGCUUUCAAAUGAAGCAUGGGGUGUCAAUGCAUGAUCAUGUCUCAAGAUUUGAAAAGUUACUUGAUGAUUUGAAGAAUCUUGAUGAAGAUAUUAAGGAUGAAGUCAAGGCUAUGAUUCUGUUACACUCACUACCAGAGGAAUAUAGCCAUUUUGUGACUACCUUGAUAUAUGGGAAGAGUGUGAUCAUCUUUAAAUAUGUUUGCACAACAUUGACUAACUUGGAGAUUCAGAAUAAUAAUAAAAAUUCUGAAUGAGCAUAGUUUGAAGCUUUGGUGAGCUGAGAUUGGGUGAUCGAGAAAAAGAAAACGCGUGGUGGAAUGAAUUCUUGAUCUAAAUCGAGAAGCAGAAAUAUAGCUCGAGAUGAGUGUGCCUUUUGUCAUGAAAAAUGCCAUUGGAGGAAAGAUUGUCCAAAGGCUCAAAAGAGAGAUGGGAAGAAACCAGCAGCAGCAAACAUGGCACGGAAAGAUGAAGACUCUGAUUAUUCACUAAGUAUUACUCCUACAGCAUACGUGACUAGUUCGAGUGAGUGGAUACUUGAUACUGGAGCAACCUAUCAUUUGUGUCCUAUUAAGGAAUGGUUUAUGGAUUUUCAUAAUCUGAAAUCCGGUGCAGUUGUGAUGAGGAAUGAUCAACCUUGUCGCACAAUGGGAAUAAGAACAAUUCGGCUCAAAAUGUUUGAUGGAAUGGUCAGAGAACUCAAAGAGGUUAGAUUUGUUCCAGCUUAAAGAAAAAUCUAAUUUCUGUGGGUGCUUUGGAAGCUAAAAUCUAUAAGGUUACUAUUGAAGAUGGUAUAAUGAAGUUUACACAUAGGGCUAUGGUGAUUUUGCAAGGGGUUCGGCGUCACAAUCUGUACUAUUUAAAGGGAGGUAUAACUGAUGAAGCAAAUAUUGUUGAGGCGUACAGUGACACCACCAAGCUAUGGCAUGUACAACUGGGACAUGUUGGCGAGAAGUCUUUGCAAACUCUGAUGAGGCAUGGACUCUUAAAAGGUACCAAAACCUGUAAAUUAAAUUUCUGUGAGCAUUGUGUAGUAGGCAAGAAAACAAGGGUCAAGUUUGGUACAACUAAUCACGAUAUUCGUGAGAUCCUUGAAUAUGUUCAUAGUGAUGUAUGGGGACCAACCAAGACUGCAUCAAUUAGUGGAAGCCAUUAUUUUGUUACAUUUGUUGAUGAUUUCUCUAGACGUGUGUGGGUGUACACCAUGCGAGCAAAGGAUGAGGUUCUAGAGAUUUUCGUGAAAUGGAAGAAAUUGGUGGAGACUCAAACUGGAAGAAAGAUCAAAGUAUUACGAUUUGAUAAUGGGGGUGAAUAUACUUCUAAUCCAUUCUUGCAAGUAUACCAGAACGAGGGUAUUAAAAGAUAUUUCACGGUGAGACAUACUCCGCAACAGAACGGUGUGGUUGAGCGUAUGAAUCGUACUUUACUGGAGAAGGUACGGUGUAUGUUAUCUAAUGCUGGUUUAGAUAAAAAGUUUUGAGCUGAAGCUGUGAGCUACGCAAGUCACUUGAUAAACUGGUUGCCUUUUGCUGCAAUUGGAAGUAAAACUCCUAUGGAAAUGUGGUCUGGAAAACAUGCACAAGACUAUGAUUCCCACUCCUAUGGAAAUGUGGUUUGGAAAACAUGCACAAGACUAUGAUUCCCUUCGUAUAUUCGGGUGUCCAGCUUAUUAUCAUGUCAAAGAUGGUAAACUGGAUCCUCGUGCUAGAAAAGCUAUCUUUGUGGGAUUCUGUGUAGCAGAGAUGUCACAUUUGAUGAAGCUUCAAUGAUGAAAGCUUCAAGUUUUCAGCAGGUGGAAAACAAGACCAAAAAGGUAUUGCAUCGGGUGGAGUUUGAUGCAACUCCAUAUGUACCGGUUAGUUCUACAUCAAAGAAUGGUUCAACUAUGGAGGUGACAUCUAGAGUUGAAGAAGAUGUUGUUUCUUCUGAUGUCCCACAAAAUAAAGAAACAAUUGAUGAUGUAGAUAAUGAUGAUUUUAUAGCAACAAGGAGGCCAAGAAGAGAGAUAAAGAAACCCGGAUGGCUUACUAAAGAUAUGGUGGUAGCCUAUGCACUUCCAGUUAUUGAUGAUGACAUCCCCAACACUUUCGGUGAAGCAUUAUGCAGCAGUGAAAGUGAUUAGUGGAAGUUAGCCAUGGAGGAAGAGAUGAAAUCUCUCCAUCAAAACCAGACUUGGGAACUUGUAAAGUUACCAAAAGGGAAAAGGGCUAUUGGCAAUAAAUGGGUCUACACAAAAAAGUAAGGAUCUCCGAAUCAAUCAACUCCUCGAUAUAAGGCAAGGCUCGUGGCAAAAGGUUUUGCUCAAAAGGAAGGUAUUGACUAUAAUGAAAUUUUCUCUCCAGUUGUAAAACAUACUUCCAUUUAUAUAAUACUUGCCUUAGUUGCAGAAUAUGAGUUAGAGUUGGCUCAGUUGGAUGUUAAGACGGUGUUCUUACAUGGAGAUUUGGAGGAGGAAAUCUAUAUGAUUCAGCCUUGUGGUUUCAGAGUUGCUGAAAAGGAGAAUCAUGUGUGUAGGUUGAUUAAAUCUUUGUACGGAUUGAAGCAAUCGCCAAGGCAGUGGUACAAAAGAUUUGAUCAAUUUAUACAAGGGCAGAAAUUCACCAGAAGUGAACACGAUAAUUGUGUUUACUUUAGAAGACUACCAGAUGGAGCUUUCAUCUAUUUGUUACUCUAUGUCGACGAUAUGCUUAUAGCUUCGAAGAAUAGAGAUGAGAUCGAAAGAUUAAAGAAGCAGCUGACUUCUGAGUUCGAGAUGAAAGACUUGGGUGAUGCACAAAGAAUACUUGGGAUGGAGAUUCAUAAAGACAAGAAGAAUGAGAGCGUAUGGUUGACUCAAAAGUCUUAUUUGAAGAAAGUGCUAGAAAGAUUCGAUAUGGAUGACAAAACUAAACCGGUAUGUACACCUCUAGCUCCUCAUUUCAAAUUAAGAUCUUCUUCAUGUCCUAAAUCUCAAGAAGAGGGCGAUUACAUGGCUCGUGUUCUAUAUGCUAGUGUUGUGGGUAGUCUUAUGUAUGCUAUGGUAUGCACAAGGCCCGAUAUAUCUCAAGCAGUGAGCAUGGUUAGUAGAUACAUGCACAAUCCGGGUAAAAAUCAAUGGCUUGCGGUAAAGUGGAUUCUCCGAUAUCUGUAUGGGACAGUUGGUGCUGGGUUAUUGUUCAAGAAGGAUUGUGGUCAACAAUGUGUUGGGUAUUGUGAUUCUGAUUUCGCUGGAGACCUUGACAAGCGAAGAUCAACAACGGGCUACGUAUUCACAUUGGGUGGAGAUCCGGUUAGCUCGAUUCUACAAUCGACAAUUGCUUUGUCCACUACGAAAGCAGAGUAUAUGGCAGCAACUGAAGCUGUAAAAGAAGCAGUUGAAAGGCUUGUUAGGUGAUUUGGGAGUAAUCCAGGAGAACAUUGCGGUCUGUCUUUUGUGAUAAUCAAAUUGCAAAGAAUCAAACAUAUCACGCUCGGACGAAGCACAUAGAUGUGAAAUAUCAUUAUGUGAGGGAGAUUAUCGAAGGUGGUGGUGAUGUGUUGUUGAAGAAGAUCGAUACAAAAGAUAAUCCAUCAGAUAUAUUGACGAAGGUAGUUUCUAGAGUUAAGUUUCAACAUUGCUUGAAACUAAUUCAAACCCUUCGAUUGUGUUAAGUUAUGUCCUUCGGGAAUUAUAAACUACGGUUGGCUUGAUCCCAAAUUUUAGGUACGUAGGCAGUCAUAACGAUGCAGCCGCCUUGGAUCUUUUUUAGGAUCAUUUGGGGAUGAAGUAUUAUGGUCCGUUAAUGUCGGCUCAGAUUUGGAAACUUUUCACCGAGGUGGAGAAUUGUUGAAAAGUCAAAAAAUGGCUUGCAAAUUUCAAAAGACAAAGUUGGUGGGCUUGCCAAUUUCAAAAGGCAAGGUUGGUGGCACGAUUUUGUUGAAGUUGCAUGGAGGAAAAAUGUGAUGGUUUUCUAGAAGCCAAUUGAUGUUUUCAAAAUUGUUGAUUUUGUUGCCCACCAAAUUGAUUUUCCAUUCUAAAUUCAAUCUGUCAGUUCUGCAAGUUGUAGCAAAAUUGAAAGUGGUAGGUGAGCUACGGUUCCUAUAAAUAGAAGGACCAUUGUUCAUUUGUUAGCAUCCCAAAAUUGUUAAGCUUAUAAGUUUCUAAGUUUUUUAGAGAAGUAAGAGAAGUGUGUCUGGGGAAUUUAUCUUUCCUGCAGAGUGUGAGAGUACUGGGUAUAUUUGGGUUUCUGGGAAGUGAGAUUCGUUACUCAAAUAUUUGUACUCUAUUAAUUGUUAAAUAAACAAUUAUUCUUUCUUGCCUCCGUGGAUGUAGGUUUAAUUACCGAACCACGUAAUUCUUGUGUCCUUUAUUUUUUUAUAAUUAUUUGGUGCGCUUGAUUCCGCAUUCCGUACACAACAAGGCUUCCAUUGAAAUCGUCGAGGAAGCGAAAGGCCACUGACUUAACGACAAAAGCAAACGAAUAAGAGCGUGCAAUGAUUCCGAGGGACAAUACAAAUUGAGCUAACUGCCCAUACGACGGCGUACGCAGCUUUUUUUUUACUUUUUUAUUAUUUUUAUUUUCAUUGACUGCUAAACGCAGCCCCCUAUUAAUUUGAAGUUACUGCUGCUAAUUUUAUGUAUUAGCUAGGCGUGAGUCGGAACUUAUAAAUGAAGUUGUUAAUCACAUUUUGAAGAGAUUGGAUGAAGUGUUUCGGCCGCGUGAUAACAAAAACCAACUGGUUGGAGUGGAAUCAACAGUUGAGGAAAUUGAAUCUUUAUUAGGUGUUGAGUCGAAAGGUGUUUACGCUUUAGGGAUUUGGGGUAUUGGUGGUAUAGGCAAAACAACAAUCGCUAGAGCUAUUUUCGACAAAAUCUCGGGUGAUUUUGAUGGUUCUUGCUUCCUCGAAAAUGUUAGAGAAGAGUCACAAAUACCAGGAGGAUUAGCUUGCUUACGACAAAAACUUCUUUCAAAUUUAUUGAAGGAUAAAAAUGUAAUGCCUUAUAUUGACCUCAAUUUUAGAAGGCUCGGUCACAUGAAGGUUUUGAUUGUUUUUGAUGAUGUGACUUGCUUCAGCCAAUUGGAAUCUUUAAUGGGAAGCCUUGAUUGGUUGACGCCAGUGAGUCGAAUCAUAUUAACCACUAGAAAUAAACAAGUGCUUAGAAAUUGGGGGGUGAGUAAAAUAUAUGAGAUGGAGGCAUUAGAAUAUCAUCAUGCUCUUGAGCUUUUUAGUUGAGAUGCCUUCAAACGAAACCAUCCUGAUGUUGGUUACGAGAAACUUUCAAGCAACGUAAUGAAAUAUGCUCAAGGAGUUCCUUUGGCUCUUAAAGUUUUAGGUUGCUUUCUAUAUAAAAGGGAAAAAGAAGUCUGGGAAAGUGCAAUAAGUAAAUUGCAAAGAAUCCUCGAUCCAAGUAUCCUAGAGGUAUUAAAAAUAAGUUACGAUAGUUUGGAGCAUAAGGAGAAAAAUAUUUUCCUUGAUGUUGCUUGUUUCUUUCAAGGUGAGCAUGUAGAUCCAGUAAUGAAAUUCUUUAAUGCAAGUGGCUUCUACCCAGAAAUAGGAAUAAGUGUUCUUGUUGAUAAACCUCUCAUUGCUAUUUGUUCAUUCAAGAAGAUAAGAAUGCGUGAUUUACUACAAGAGUUGGGUGGGGAAAUUGUUCGAAAAGAAUCAAUUAAUCCUGGAAAUCGUAAGCAGUUUGUGGUGGAUUAUAAUUUUGAAUUAUUCUAGCAUUUAAAAUUUGAUAUGAAUAUAUUAAUAUAUGCUCAAACUGAUGAGUCUUAGAAUUAAUUGAAGUGCCAAUGAUUAGAAAAAACAAUAGUGGUUAGAUGGUGUAGCAAUAAAUUAUAAAUGCGAUGACAACUUGCAUAAUCGUUUGCAAGCAUAAUUGAUAUGUCAAUUUGUAUCGUAAACAUACAUAAUUUUUAUGUUAAAUAUUACGUUAAUUGUUUUGUUUCUUUGUGCAUUUGCAAUUAAGUGUUUAACUACCUAGCAAUAACUAUAAACAUGAAUUAUUGAAAUUUGAUAUGUGUAAUGACAGAGAGCCCCACUCCAAUCCCACAUAAAUUACAUACAAGAGUAAAUAAAAAUUGAAUUAAUAACUAAGCUACCUUUAAUUGUGAAUUUGUGACAAAAUUGCCCUAAAAAUUUGUCUUGGUGGGGUUGAAGUGCGACUCAUUAGUGGAAUAUACAUAUCUUUCAUUUGAUUUUAACUUUAUUAUUUUAUUUAUUUUUAGGGGACAAAAAAUUGAGGACAUCUGUUUGGAUAUGUCAAAAGUAAUAGAGAUCUGUUUAAAUACCAGUACUUUCACAAAGAUGCCUAAAUUGAGAUUUUUAAAGUUCUAUAGUUCAUCAUUCAAUGGAGAGAACAAAUGUAAGAUAUCUUAUUUGCAAGAUCCCGGAUUUGCUGGAGUGAAAUUGAACAACUUUGGGAUAGUGUGAAGGUAUGCAUAGCUUAUUAUAUAUGUGCAAUGUGAAGGUAUGCAUAUCUUAUUAUAUAUGUGCAAUCUUUCAAUAACAACAUUAAAUUAUUAUACGUGGUAACGAUUUUGUCUUGGCCUCUUUUCUGACACAGUUAUUUCAUAGCAGAGUUAAUUAUGUAGAAUCAUAUCACUUACAUUUGGGGUACUAUCUGUUCUGUGAAGAGGAUUUUAAUGGUUUUUGGAAAUGCAAUUGCAUUCCUGAGGCAGUCCACUUUAAUGUUUUUCCACCUUUGGAGUGCCAGUGCUGCGGGGUGAAAAAAUGUGGGAUCCAUUUACUUCACACCCAGAUUCUACGAAUUCAUGAAUAGAAGAUCCAAGCACGUGUUUCGUGAAUGUAUUUUCACUAUUUUCCUUUUUCUAAUGACAAUUAAUAAUAGGAGAAAAUGCCAAAAUCAGUUCUUAGAACAAAACAUCCAUGUAAUAACUUUCGAGGAUCUGGUGCAGGUAACACAAAUUCACACUAAAGAACUUUACCUUUGUUGAUGCCAAAAUUUGGAUAAGUUGGUCAGAUCUCAGAUCCCUGCAUCAUCAUUAAAUUUGUUUGGUGGGAAGCUGAUGAUUAGUUAGCACCAUGAGCAGAUUUUCUAUGGGCAGAUGUUUUGUGAGCAGACAACCCAUGAGCAGAUAAUCCAUGAGCAGACGAUCCAUGAGCAGAGAACCCAUGAGCAAACAAUCCAUGAGCAGACAACCCAUGAGCAGACAAUCCAUGAGCAGAGAACCCAUGAACAGACAAUCCAUGAGCAGAUAACCCAUGAGCAGACAAUCCAUGAGUAGACAACCCAUGAGCAGACGAUCUAUGAGCAGAUAACCUGUGAGCUUGUGAACACAACCAAUAGUCAGGAGGUGCCGGAAGUUUUUCCGGCGAGAACCCUCCGACGCUCAAGUCAGCGAUUCGGGUCUUACUUGGAAAAACCCAUACCACAAUUCAUGUGGCUUAAUUAUGAUUGCUUUAAACAAAAAGCUUUUAAGUAAAUUUAAAGGAAAAGAAUUUAAAAUAAUCAAUCUUAAAGAAAUCACAGGCGAAAGAGAAAUUUCUCAGUGGUAGAGAGAGAAAAAGGUCCAAUGGGUUCAGUUGCUUAGAGAAAGAGAGAGAGAGAGAGAGAGCUAGAAGAAUCCCCCCCUUUCCUUCCCCUUCCUAGGGUUUUUAUAGGAAACUAUAGCGGUUUUUAUCCACUCUCCUAGAAUUAUCAAGAAAACUACUAAAUUUCAGCCCACUAAUAAUAUGGUCCCUAAUAUUUCGGAGAAACUGUUUUGACUGAAUCUUGCUUCCUGGUAACUUCCUGGUCGAGGUGACCAAUAACAUCCUGGUCGAGGAAAUGUGCUCGAAGUCACCACAUAUUAUUCUGGUCGAGGUGACCAAUAAUAUCCUGGUCGAGACGAUAUGCUCGAGGUGACCAAUAACCUCUUGGUCGAGGUGAUGUGCUCGAGGUCACCACAUAUUACUCUAGUCGAGGUGACCAAUAACAUCCUGGUCGAGGAAAUGUGCUCGAGGUCACCACAUAUUAUUCUGGUCGAGGUGACCAAUAACAUCCUGGUCGAGAUGAUCUGCUCGAGGUGACCAAUAACAUCUUGGUCGAGGAAAUGUGCUCGAGGUCACCACAUAUUAUUCUGGUCGAGGUGACCAAUAGCAUCCUGGUCUAGAUGAUCUGCUCGAGGUGACCGAUAACCUCCUGGUCGAGGUGAUGUGCUCGAGGUCACCACAUAUUACUCUAGUCUAGGUGACCAACAACAUCCUAAUCGAGGUGAUGUGCUCGAGGUCACCAAACAACAUCCUGGUCGAGGUGAUCUGCUCAACCAUUUGCUCGCUUUUACUUUGGAGGAGAGCACGAUAAUGUAUAAGCAAACACCUUUAUCUUGGUCACCCUAUUUCAUUCCCUAAACAACCUUAUUAAGCGAAGAGUAUAAUGUAUGAAAAGCACAUGAUGUAUGUUGUAAAAUUAAAAUUAUCGGCUUUCUUUUUCUUACUUUGUGCACAAAACAAUUCUUAUUCAAAACAAUCCACGUAGUAAAACUCACAAGCUAGGCGAUGUCGGAUAUUAUAGGAUGCACAACAAUUCUUAUUGGCGGAGCUAUGUUGUGGGCCCAUCUCUCUAUCAAUGAAAACUUGCCACUCACCCCAUUGCGCACCAUAUCAACUCUCAUCUAUAUAAUGCAAUCACAUUUGAAAAUUUUCUACUUUCUUAAAUCUAAAUUGUUGUAUAUGGGAAAGUUUCAUCAUGUGGAAACAAAAGCCAUAAAGAGGGAACAGUUAAAACACCAUCAAAUCUUAUACAUUUUAAAAAAUAUAUUUGAAUACUGAUUAAAAAAAAAAAGGAUAGGUGUCGUUUUCACUCUACUUGUUUGUGUUGUGAAUCCAUUCGCUUAAACAAUUAUGCACUUUUUCAAGUAUAUGUACCAAUUCCAUAUUUGGAAUGGUGGAUUUGAUUCCACAGUUGACGUGGUAUCGUCUAUGGCUGGAAUUUAUAUUUAUAAAACUAACUUGUAAGGAAAGGAUUGAAGAUGCCAGUGAACUUAUAUUUCGAUUUAGAUUAUUGUAUCUUUUCCAUGUAUAAAAUUGGAUCCUAUCAUUCACAUAUCGUUAACAUGAGCAAUUUAGAUUACUAAAUAAUUGUUCUUUAUUAUUGUGCUGAAUUUGACUUUUUAUUGAAUAAUUUGAUAUAUGCCUUGAAUCAAUUUGGAGCUUCUACAACUUGUCAGGGAUCAAUUUCUCCUACAUUCUUUUCGGCGCCAAAAGAUAUUCAAGUGGUUGAAUAAGAUUUGAUAUAUACAAUAUAAAUACAAGAGCUGUUUGUCUUUUUACAAUAGGAAUAAUAUAUAAUGCUCAUCAAAACUUGCUGAUGAGAAAGUAAAUUCCUUAGAAAUUAAAUGUUUCAGCCAACCAAGGAAGCAGCUUUUCGUGGACCAACUCGGGUCUGUCGUCAUGGGGACAAUGUCCUACUCCUUCCAACACAAUUAACUUCACAUAUGAAAGUUGAGAAGGCAGAGAUUAGAAGUAUCUACCAACAGGUCCAUCGAGGGGGGUGAAUGGAUCCUCAUCACCCUAUAAAACUAGUACAGGUAUAGAGAUUGAUGGCAUCAAUUGCACGGGGUUCGGCCCUGGUGGGCCUGUCACAAUCGAAACAAAUGCAUCAAGUGCCCCUUCAUCAUUGGCGGGUUCUCGAAUGAUCAGCAAUUUUUAGGUCAAUUUAUGAAUUCUGAGUAGCCAUUUUUGUAAGAGGUUAAAAUGGCACGUAAGUGGAGAAUAUUAAUACCUCUACCAGUGUUUCAUCCACAGAUUUCUUAUUUGCAUAGAUGGACAGUAAAAUGUUCCUCAGUGUUUCCCUACAGCACCAAUAUAUACACAUCAUAGAAUUUUUUUAAUUUUUGACUCUAGUGUUUUAGGAUAACGAAAAAUGGACUGAAUAGAGAGAAGAGAAAAUACCUUCGUUUCACAUCUUCAAAGAUUGCAUCUGCAAUUGGCCUUUGCUUCAACAAGAAAUCAAUGAACCAAAGCAAUGGCAACCGUGGCUUGAUUCUCCAAUCAUCAACAAUUGCCUUGUUGUUCAUGCUGCCACCAGCACAAUUCAACAAAACAAGCCCUCGAACAAGUGUUUGACUGGAUUUUUAUGGUAGAAAAUAUAGCAGGUUUUCGCAAACCAUAUUAACCGAAAAGGCUAAUCAGGUGCAAGUGUUUCUUUGCAAGCAUGAUGACGAAUAUUUGAUGCCCAAGAGGACUAUUGGCUUCUGAGCAGCUUCAUCCAAGAAAUCCAAUAUUAGCUGUAUCGGUGAGUCUCACUCAAGUUAGCAAGGAAAAUAACUAAAGGUCAAGCAAUUGAUGAUAUAAGUACAGGAGUUGUGAAAUAACUUAUAUGAAAUAAUUGCUUUUCCUUAACAUUUGUGGAUGCCUACAAUUAUAUGUUCACAGAAGUAAAUAGAAUAAAAAAAAUAGUACAUUAUCAACAAGAAAAGUUCACUACAAGAUGAAAAUUAUUUUUUGUCAUUUGUGCCUUGUGUACUAAAUUUUGUGUUAUUUUAUUACAUAUAAUAUUAUUCUACGGAAUGCGGGAAGAAAAAAUGUGGGGUCGAUUUAUUGUAAGCCCCAAAUUCAACCGAAGAUCCAAACGCAAGUUUCAAACUAAACCAACCCAAAGUUUGGGCAACAGUCCAACGCAACCCAACUAAAAUCAUUUUAAUUUGAUUUUAGUUUGGGUUGACUUAGGCUUUGAUAAAUUCACAUGUUGUAUACCAUAAUUAAAAUAAAGUAUUAUUUGUCAUACAUUUUAUACAUUUUAUACAUUAAACACAUAAACGUCCUCUCUGGAAUCUUUGUGGGCAACGUAUACGUGGUAUCUGUUGGAGAAUUAAUAAAUAAAACACACAAAAAACACACUAUUUUAUUUCUUCAACAAUACUCCUCACCAAUUACAACUCUUAUUUUUCACUCUCUACACCUUAGAGAUUUUGCUACUUCACUUCAUGUUUAAACCAAAGGGGAGAGGGGAUAUUUAUACAUAAAACAAACUAAUCACAACCAUUUAUUUAUUCAACUAAUAAACAAAUCAUCACCAUCCAUUAAAACAUACCACUCACUUACUUCACCAAUCAUACCUAACACACCUAACACAAAUAAUUCAAACCUCACCAACCAUAUCUACUCAUGGAACCUUCCAUGAGUUGGGCUUGAUUUAUUCAUCUUGGAUCAAGUUUAUGAUCCAACACCUCCCCUUAAACUUGAUCCUGUGACACCAAGCAAACUUCUGAAUCUUACAAAGUCUUCUUGCUUGAGUGGCUUAGUGAAGAUAUCAGCUGCUUGAUCUUGUGAUUUUACAUACUUGAUUUGCACUUCUUUUCUUGCAAUAUACUCUCUUAUGAAAUGAUAGCGAGUGUCUAUGUGUUUACUUCGAUCAUGAAAGACUGGAUUCUUGGAUAGGGCAAUUGCUGAUUUGUUAUCAACACAAAUCUCGAUUGGCUCUUCUUGUGCCAAACUCAACUUCUUCAGCAAAUUUUUGAGCCAAAUUACAUGACAAACACUUGAUGUGGCAACUACAUAUUCAGCUUCACAGGUGGAUAGCGUGACAAUUGGUUGCUUCUUUGACAUCCAUGUGAAAGCAGUAUCUCCCAUAAAGAACACAAAUCCUGUGGUGCUCUUUCGAUCAUCUACAUCUCCACCUCAAUCGCUAUCGCUAUAUCCAACAAGCUUGUAGUCAUUAGAAAAUGAGUAUAGCAAGCCGAAAUUAGUUGUACCUUUGAUGUAGCGAAGGAUUCUUUUUGCAGCUUUAAAAUGGGUGGUCUUUGGAUUCUCCAUGUAUCAGCUCACAAGUCCAACAACAUAAAGGAUAUCUGGUCUUGUGCAUGUCAAAUAACGUAGGCUUCCAACCAAAAUUUUAAAGAAUGUUGGAUCUAUAUCUUCGCCUUCAUCGUGUUUAGAUAACUUGACUCCGCAUUCCACUGGCGUGCUUAUAGGCUUACAAUCAUUCAUCUUGAACUUCUUGAGAAUCUCAUUUGCAUAGCUUUCUUGGGAGAUAACUAUGCCUUCUUCAUUUUGCUUGACUUCAAUGCCGAGGUAACAUGCCAUCAGUCCGAUGUCAGUCAUCUCGAACUCUUUGAUCAUCACUCUCUUGAACUCUUCAAACAAGCUUGGAUUACUUCCAGUGAAGAUGAUAUCAUCCACAUACAGGCACACAAUCAAAAUAUCUCCAUCUUUUUCUUUGACGUAGAGAGCAUGUUCAUAUUGGCAUUUGGUGAAGCCUUUCUCUUGAAAAUACUUGUCAAUUCUGUUAUUCCAUGCCCUUGGUGCUUGCUUUAACCCGUAAAGAGCUUUCUUCAAUCUCAAAACUUUUUCUUCGUGUCCUUUCACCACAUAGCCUAAUUGUUGUUCAAUGUAAACUUCUUCUUCAAGGAAUCCAUUCAAGAAAGCAGACUUCACAUCCAUUUGAAAAAUCUUCCAUUUGUUUUGAGCAGCCAAAGAAAUAAUAAGUCUAAUGGUUUCAAGUCGAGCUACAUGAGCAAAUACCUCAUCAUAGUCUAUGCCAGCCUUUUGACUAUAGCCUUUUGCAACUAGUCUCGCCUUGUGCCUUUCAAUUUCUCCCUUCGCAUUUCUUUUUGUUUUAUACACCCAUUUGACACCGAUCGCCUUGUGACCUUUUGGAAGAGUAGUAAGCUCCCAAGUAUCAUUCUUCACAAUGGCUUUGAUUUCUUCAUCCAUUGCAAUUCUCCACUUCUCAUCUAGUGCAGCUUCUUAAAAGUUGACUAGCUCACAAUCAGCAAAGAGACAAAAGAGAGUGAGAUUAUCAUGUCUCUCAAUUACCUCAUAGAGAUCUUGAAGACUCCUUGUAUGUUCUUCGAUUCUUUCAUUUAAGAAAGACGGCGGUGAAUCUCUGCAUGUGGUUGGUGCUAGUGAGAUAGGUGGAGUGGCAGGCUCUUGUUGUUCGUCUACUUGUUUUAUCUGUGUAUGAUCAUCUUCUUCAAUGGGAAAGAAGUUGAAGUCAUCCACACUAGAGCCAAAAUCUCAUUCUCCUUCUUCAUAAAAAAUUACAUUUCGACUGAUCACGAUCUUCCCGUUGUUUGGAUUGUAAAGUUUGUAUCCUUUGGAGUUGUUGUCGUAGCCGAUGAAGAUGAACUUCUCACUUUUGUCAUCCAGCUUGGCUCUACUUUCGUUUGGUACAUAUACAUGAGCAAUGCUUCCGAAAACUCUUAGAUGGGUGAUGCCGGGUUUUCUUCCACUCCAAGCUUCUUGUGGCGUCUUGCCCUACACGCUUCUUGUUGGAGAUCGAUUGGAUAAGUAGACUGAAAUUCUUUAAGUAGCCUCUUACUCUUAAGCAUGCUUCUUGCCAUGUCGAGGAUGGUUCUGUUAUUCCUUUCUGCAACACCAUUUUGUUGGGGGGAUCUUGGAACUGUCAAAGGGCGUCGAAUUCCAUUUGCUUCACAAAACUCUAAAAAUUCUUUGGAAGUGAACUCUCCACCUCGAUCAGAUCUCAUGGCUUUAAUCUGGUAUCCACUUUCUUUUUCAACUGCAGCUUUAAACUUCUUGAAAGCUUCGAAGACUUCUGAUUUUUGCUUCAAAAAAUACACCCAAGUUUUUCUUGAAAAAUCAUCUAUGAAGAGAAGGAAGUAGUUACUUUUACCAAGGGAGUUUAGCUUGAAUGGACCGCACACAUCAGUAUGAAUGAGCUCGAGUGGCUUCUGAGCUCUUGAGUUUGACUCAUUUAGAAAGCUCUUUCUAAACUGCUUGCCAAGGAAAUAUCCUUCACAAAGUUGAUCAGGGUGAUUGAUGUAUGGUAAGCCUUUCAUCAUGUUCUUCUUAGAUAGCAGCUCCAGUCCUCCAAAGUUGAGAUGCCCAUAUCGAAGAUGCCAAGUCCAUGAUUGAUCUUUGUGACAGGCUUUGAGACAUUUUGCAACAUCAUUUUGAAUAUUUAAAGGAAACAUUCUAUUCUUUGACAUUCUCACCUUUGUAAUUAGAUUUCCUUUGUCAUCUCUUAGGAAAAGACUAUAAUCUUUUAAGUGAAUAUCAUAGCCUUUUUCUAAAAGUUGACCUAAACUAAGAAUGUUGCUUUUCAUAUUGGGCACAUUGUAAACAUUUGAAAUUAUUUGGUGGCUACCAUCUUUUGUACGAAAAAGAAUGUUACCUCUACCCUUCACUGGUACUUUUGAAUCAUCUCUAAAAGCGACACUGACAUUCACAGAUUCACUUAGUUGCACGAACAUGCUUUUAUUUCCACUCAUAUGAUUGCUAGCACCUGUGUCAAGAUACCAUGUAUUUUCUUGACCUCCACUUGUGUCAUUGCGUGCUAGUAAAAGUGUGCCAUCUUCACUAUUUUUUUCUUCAGCAUAGUUCACUCUCUCUUCAAUUCUGGUGCUUGGAGCUCUGCAUUCUGAAGUAUAAUGCCCAAACUUUUGACAAUUAUAGCACUGUACUUGGGAUUUGUCAUACCUCGAUCUUGGAUUGCCUCUGCCUCGUCCUCUGGUUGAGCUUUCUCCUUUGGCAUAAUUGGAGUUGUUGUUGUUGAAAUUCCAACCUCGUCCAUGACCACGACCUCUACCUCGGACAUAGUGCCUUCUCUCGUUGUCGGAGCUUUCUUCUCUUUUCUUUGGAUUGACUUCCAUCUUGAGAAGUUUUUCUUCGAUUCCUUGCUUCUUUUUUUGUUUUUCUUCAUAGGCUUGCAACCUUCCUUGAAGUUGCUCGAUCGUCAUAUCCUCCAGAUCUCUUGUUUCUUCAAUUGUCACAAUAAUAUGGUCAAACUUCGAGUCUACUGAUCGAAGUAUCUUUUCAAUGAUCCUUACCUCUUUUAACUCCUCGCCAUUUCUUUUUAAUUCAUUAGAAACGGUCACAACCCGAGUAAAGUAGUCAGAAAUUGACUCCGACGCCUUCAUGUGUAAGGACUUAAAUUCUCCUCGUAAUGUUUGGAGACGAACCUUCUUAACUUGCUCCGCUCCUUUGUAAGAGGUCUCUAGUUUCUCCCAUGCUUCUUUUGAGGAGGUUGUACCAGCAAUCUUUUCAAAAGCAUCUUCAUCUAAUGAUUGAAAGAUGAGAUACUUUGCUUUCUUCUCUUUCUUCUUCAAAUCUUUUAAAUUCUCCUUCUCCACCGCAGUUAAAGUGGCUUCAUUUUCUGGCACAAUAAAGUCUUUCUCCACGACAUCCCAUACGUCAUGUGCGCCCAAUAGAGCCUUCAUUUUAAUACUCCAAUUGUCAAACUUACUUCCCUUUAAUUGUGGAACUUAAAAUGACAUCAUACCACCGUUUGCCAUAACUCACAAAUUGAGUGAGGAUUUAGAGAUUCUGAAAGCACAGAUGGAUCCAGCACGUCGAAAAACCUUGGGAAGGACUCGAGUCAACAUUCGGUCACGGUCAAUGGUCAACGUGGUCAACGGUCAAUGUCGGUCAACGGUCAACACCGGCUUGGUAGUCUUGGUUCGGUCCGGAUUGGUUCAGCUCGAGUUGGCUCGGUUCGACUUGAUUUGGUUCAGCUCGGCUCGGCUUGGUUCAGUUCGGCUCAGCUUGGUUCAACUCAGUGAGUCGACUCAACUUCAGGACAGAAAACUUCCGGCGGCAAGUGUGUGGGUGUUCGGUCUCGGAUCGGGAUGAUUUUUGCGGCGUCACGUUCCUCUCGUCGAGAUCUUCGAUUUGAUAUGCUAUAUGACUAUAUAUAGCAUCAAACACUAGCUCUGAUACCACUUUGUUGGAGAAUUAAUAAAUAAAACACACUAUUUUAUUUCUUCAACAACACUCCUCACCAAUUACAACUCUUAUUUUUCACUCUCUACACCUUAGAGAUUUUGCUACUUCACUUCAUAUUUAAACCAAAGGGGAGAGGGGGUAUUUAUACAUAAAACAAACUAAUCACAACCAUUCAUUUAUUCAACUAAUAAACAAAUCCUCACCAUCCAUUAAGACCUACCACUCACCUACUUCACCAACCAUACCUAACACACCUAACACAAAUAAUUCAAACCUCACCAACCAUACCUACUCAUGGAACCUUCCAUGAGUUGGCUUGAUUUAUUCAUCUUGGAUCAAGUUUAUGAUCCAACAGUAUCUUCACUAAUAAGUGUUGAAUCUUUUGCUUCAAAGGAAAGAAACUAAAAAGGUUUGUAAAUUUACCCCACUUCUAGAAAAUAAUUAUAAUAAAUUCACAAUAUUUUUAAAAAAUACAAAUUAAUAAAAAUUUUGUAUAGUUAAUCAAUUAAAUCCCUCUAUUACUUUUUUUAUUAGAUUUCUUUGAGUAUAUUUGAUCAUAAACUUGAUAUAAAUUUUAUUUUACUAUUUUAGUAUUAUGAUAUAAAAUGGCCAAAUUGUACAAUAAACAUGGGUUAUUGUAUCUAAUAAUUUAGGUAUUUAAUCAUGUGAACUAAUAUUUUUAAAUGAAAUUUAACUNNNNNNNNNNNNNNNNNNNNNNNNNNNNNNNNNNNNNNNNNNNNNNNNNNNNNNNNNNNNNNNNNNNNNNNNNNNNNNNNNNNNNNNNNNNNNNNNNNNNUGAGUAUUGUGCCAUAAAACAUAUGUCUGUUUAAAUUAAUGUUUUAUAAUCAUACUAAUAAAGUAGUAUUAGAAAUAAUGAAUUUGAUAUAAAAUUAGAAAAUAUUGAAGUUAAAGAAUUAGUUUUACCUUAUAAGGAUAAAAUAAUCAAUUUAGACUUAUGUCAAAUCAAUCCUUAUGAUCAAAUAUAAUAAAAAAAUUAAGUCACAAAAAGUAAAUUAAAAUAGAUUUGUUAAUUUGUUCUCCCAAAGUUCAAAAUGAGUAAAAGGAAUUAGGCUUCGUAGUUUAGGAAAUGAAUUUACUGAAUAGAAAUAUUUUUAGUAUAUAUUAUUUAUUUUUCAUUCAAACAUUUUCUGAUUUCAGCAAAGGUCACAAAAAUUUACUUAUUUAAUUUAAAUGUAAAUGUCUAAAAAUUAGAUAUAAGUUUAAAAAAAAAAAAAUUUUAAGUUAGACUUCAUAUGUUUAACAAUCAACCCUAAGGAUAAUGAAAAAGAGCUAUUAAAAAAAAAAGAAUAAUUUUGAAACUAAAUACAAUUAAUUGAGAGAUGAGGACGGAUAAGAUAAAUUCAGAGGUAAAAAUUAAAAUAUCACCCUACUUAUUGCUAGCAGUUAUGAGCAUUAAAGCACAGAAGCACGUGUGUUGAAAAGUAUGGUGUUCGUGUGGAAUUUUCAGCUAAAAGUCUACAAGGCAGUUGAAUUAAUCAAUCAUCGUGGAGUGCACGGUGCUUGGACAAUGAGAUGAAAUUGAAAAACUAUCACGGAACUUGAAGGAAGGUUCAUGGCAUCGAUUUAUUCUACAGAGUCAUGCACAUUUGGUUUAAUAAUUGUUUUCAUUCGAAUCAAAAUCUCUUUCUAAUCAAUUCAACUGUUUCUGUUGAUUAUGGCUUCUUCUUAUCGAAACAACAAGAAGUAUGAUGUUUUUGUUAGUUUCAGAGGAGAGGACACUCGAGACAACUUUACUAGCCAUCUCUAUUCUGCUCUGUGUCGACAAAAUAUCCAAAAUUUCAUUGAUGACCAACUUAACAGAGGAGACGAAAUUUCGGAGUCACUGUUGAAUGCAAUUGAAGCAUCAGCCAUUUCAGUUAUCGUCUUCUCAGAAGGGUAUGCAUCUUCCAGAUGGUGUAAGUAAGUACAAGAGAUAAAAGCAAAAGGUCAAGCAUCUCAUUUGAGCCUGUCACUAACAAAUGGUCAAUGAGCAAUGUCUAGCUAUGACUGAGCAACAGAAUCAAUAAACAGAGACAAAAAAUAAUAAUCAAGUCAUCUGUCAAAUGCUAGUCCAUGAAAAUCAUAUAUAGAUAUAGAGAGAGAGAGAGAGAGAGAGAGAAAUAUUCCAGUUAAGAAUUUUAAAGUGCGAGAAAGUACGGGAAACCUUUAAAACCAUUAAAACCGCAUGGUUUUAAAGGCUUAAAACUAUAGGCUUUUAAAGUCGUGUGGUUUUAAAGUUUUCCCAAACUUUCCCGUACUUUAAAAUCCCUGACCAGAAAACUACUCUAUAUAUAUAUGUAUGGAUAUGUAUAUGUAUGAUCAUUCAUUUCUCAAUCAACCACCAAAUUGAUGUCAACAAAGCCAUGAGGAUUGUCUCACAAGUCUUUCAUUUUCCCUCUCUUUAGGCCAGAGACCAGUAAACCAUUUGAAAUAUGGAUGUGCAAACCAGUAAAUAAAUCAUGAAGUUACAUACUAGUCUGCUUUCGCACUCAUUCGGAACUAUCAAUGAUACUUACUGCAGGUGUGGUGUAUACAUUAUACUAAAGUGAAGGCUAGAUCAAUAAGAAAUUCAAAAUGUUUAAUCACAUUUGGGGCUUGAUGAUGCCAAAGAAAGACCAUACCAAUUAUCAUGAACAGUAAAAUGUGAACAAGAACAAGCAUACAUUUAAGAAAGCAGAGAAGCAUCAUUAAAAUAAAGUAUUCUUCUUACUAUUCUAUGUUGUUGGAAAAUGGACCAAAAUAAAAAAGGAACCAUAUAUGGUUAACGUCACAACAAGAGUAUUUGUGCAUUUGUACAUCAUAGGAUAUUGGGAAGACAUCAGCAGAGAAGUGCAAAUAUUUUUUUUUUUUUUUGAGGAAAGGAACAGAGAAGUGCAAGUCAAAAAGGAGAAAAAAUGAAAAGAGAGAGAUCAAAAGGAAUGCAAUCUAAUUAAUUGUCUAAGGAGACUACUAUGCUACAUUUAGCCAUUGGUUGAAUAGGCAGCUUGUUUUAUAGUACAACUUUAAAUUUUCCAAGAUUUAGAAUUUUCCUACUGAAGAAAACUAAUUUCUAAAGCAACUAUUACCAUCUUCAUCCCAACGGUAAGCAGCUCCAUACUAAGGAAAGAGUGAAAUAAGUGUGCUUUACUUAUAGAAGCCCAUUCCUGUCCAGAGUGAUUAGUAAGUUGUUUCACCAUGACCCCCAUUAUUGUGACUGAAAAAAGAAAAAUAAAAGAAGAAAAUAUUAGCCGAACACAAUAGUAGCACCUAAGAAGUCCAACUUAAGAGGCUUCAUACCCUGCACAAAUCGGAAAGUUUUUAAAAAUUUCAUGUUUCAAAUGAAGAUUGUCCAUUAAAAAAUUACACACAUAAUGUAUGUAAAGCAAUUAAAACAAAAAAAAAAAAAGCCAGAAACAAUCCAACCAUCAAUAACAUAAAACUUUUGUAAUGCUGGUAAAGUGAAUGAGAAGCAGAACAUACAUUUCACGUAACAAUUCUCGUACUUCCUUCCAAUAACAAUUCAUAAUGCAGGUAGGUAUCUUGAAAAAUUAUAUCAUACAUUUCUCUUAUCAAUGGGGCAGACACUCAACAACAAAACACAGACUUAUUGUAUUUGUUGCACAAAUAAGAAAGAAGAUAACAAUUUUAAAUUAACCAACAAGUUUUAUCGUAAUACACACUAUCAACUAUGAAUUAGCAUACCUUUAGAAGUCCUGAACUUAUUCACAGCCAUUCAAAGAGAAUCAUCCGAUAGAAUCAACCGUGACAAUGCUCUAGUGCUUAACCUGCGAAAAAUAGAUCAAGCAGAGCUUGCAUUCCCUGAAGUUAACCACAAAAAAAAAACAUUACGAUGACUUAAAUUUUAACAGAAAACAAAAAAACAAAGCAAGAGUGAAUAGAGUAAUACCAAAGCAAAUUUAAGAUUGUUAGGUCCAAUUUGUGGUCCAACUUCUGAACGUCUAAUAGUAGACUUAGGAGGAAGGAUUUGAAGAAGCUGUGGCAGCGGCGAAUACGCAUCAAGAUUCACAUUGCUCCUCACAUUGAGGGCUAAAAGAGUGCGGAGGCGCGACAAAGCUGACGCGCGAUUCUUGUGCUGCGACCGGUCUUCGGCGGCAUGCGCUAUGACGUCGGUCGGUACUAUUAAGUUUUAUACGAAACUGUGAUAUUGUUUGGUUACUAAGAAAAUAGGAAGAAAGAAAACUUCUGUAAGCUGAGAAUUCUAUUAUUAUUGAUCUGAAUGAAUCUGGAGGUUACAAGCCCUUUUAUAUGUGCANNNNNNNNNNNNNNNNNNNNNNNNNNNNNNNNNNNNNNNNNNNNNNNNNNNNNNNNNNNNNNNNNNNNNNNNNNNNNNNNNNNNNNNNNNNNNNNNNNNNNNNNNNNNNNNNNNNNNNNNNNNNNNNNNNNNNNNNNNNNNNNNNNNNNNNNNNNNNNNNNNNNNNNNNNNNNNNNNNNNNNNNNNNNNNNNNNNNNNNNNNNNNNNNNNNNNNNNNNNNNNNNNNNNNNNNNNNNNNNNNNNNNNNNNNNNNNNNNNNNNNNNNNNNNNNNNNNNNNNNNNNNNNNNNNNNNNNNNNNNNNNNNNNNNNNNNNNNNNNNNNNNNNNNNNNNNNNNNNNNNNNNNNNNNNNNNNNNNNNNNNNNNNNNNNNNNNNNNNNNNNNNNNNNNNNNNNNNNNNNNNNNNNNNNNNNNNNNNNNNNNNNNNNNNNNNNNNNNNNNNNNNNNNNNNNNNNNNNNNNNNNNNNNNNNNNNNNNNNNNNNNNNNNNNNNNNNNNNNNNNNNNNNNNNNNNNNNNNNNNNNNNNNNNNNNNNNNNNNNNNNNNNNNNNNNNNNNNNNNNNNNNNNNNNNNNNNNNNNNNNNNNNNNNNNNNNNNNNNNNNNNNNNNNNNNNNNNNNNNNNNNNNNNNNNNNNNNNNNNNNNNAAGUUGAGCCAAGCUUACUAAUUACCUCUUCACAAGCCUUGUAUUUGAUCCAGUGAUGAGUAUGUCAUCCACAUAAAUCAGAACAACCAAAAUAUCAGCCCCAGUAUGUUUAAUAAAGAGAGAAGUAUCAGACUUAGAAGUUUGAAAACCCCAUUGCACCAGUGAACCUUUUAGCUGAUCAUACCAGGCCCUUGGAGCUUGUUUGAGGCCAUAUAAUGCCUUGUUCAACUUGCAUAUAUGAGAAGGAAAUCUGGAAUCAAUGAAACCCUCUGGUUGGUGCAUAUAUACAUCUUCAGUAAGUACUCCAUUCAAGAAGGCGUUAUUGAUAUCUAGUUGCCUAAUAGUCCAGUGCUGCAUUACUGCUAAGCUGAGAAUAAUUCUGACUAUACAAGGCUUUACAACAGGGCUAAAGGUUUCAAAGAAAUCUACUCCAUGUGUUUGGUGAAAGCCGUUAGCCACCAAGCAUGCUUUGUACUUAGAAAUGCUGCCAUCUGGAUUGUAUUUGACUCUGAAAAUCCAUUUGUUACCUACAAUCUUGUUAGCUGAAUCAGAAGGAACCAUAGUCUAUGUCUGAUUUCUAUGUAAAGCAUCCACCUCUUCUUUCAUAGCCAUAUACCAUUUCUGACUAGACAGUGCUGCCUUGACACUUGUUAGUUCUAUGUCCUAAGUUGCUGCUAAAUAGGUUUUGGGUUUGAAUAUUCCAGAUUUUGCUCUAGUCAUUAUAGGAUGUAUAGAAAUGGAAGGUCUGGAAGAGAUAGAUGGGAUAUUUGUUGAUGCUGGUGAUUGGCUUAAAGGUGAACUUGGCUCAAGGGUAACAGCAGGGAGUUGAGUUCCACUUCUGAAGUUGCUAUAGGUGGUGCUACUACAUUACUGUCAUCAAGAUGAGGAUUUGACAAAGAAAAAUGAGUGAAAGACUGAUUUGCAGGAGUGACACAUUUUGUUGGAAUAGAGGAAGAGUUGUUGGAAGCAGAAAACAACUCUGGAUAUGAAAAUUCAGACUCAUUAAACACAACAUGUCUGGCAAUGUAAAUUCUACCUGAUUUUUCUAGACACUUAUAACCUUUAUGUACAAGAUUGUAGCAAAAAAAAAAAACGCAUUUUUGUGUAUAGAAGUCUAAUUUGUGUUGAUUAUAAGGUCUCAAUAAUGGAAAGCAUGAGCAACCAAAAACUUUAAGGAACUGAUAAUCAAGUAAACGAUUGUGUAGCUUCUGAUAGAGUGAUUUAUUGUUUAAAACUGGUGUAGGAAUCCUAUUUAUCAGAUAGGUUGCUGUGUGAAAAGCUUCCCACCAAAAGACAAGUGGAGGAUUUGCUAGAGCAAGAAGAGUAAGGCCAGUUUCAACAAUAUGUCUGUGUUUUCUCUUCACAACUCUAUUUUGAUGGUGUGUAUGGGGACAACUAAAUUUAAUAUGUAUCCCUUAUUGCUGAAGAAAUGAACCAAAGGCUCUAAAUUCACCCCCCAUGUCUAAUUGCAUGGUUUUAAUAGACUUGGAAAAUUGUUUUUCAACAAGGAGUUUAUACUGUUUGAAUGUGUCUAAUGCUUCUGAUUUUAAAGUGAGAGGAAAUAUCCAACUACAUCUAGUGAAAUCAUCUACAAAGGAUAUGUAAUAUUUGUAUCCAUCUUUGGAUGACAUUGAUGCUGGUCCCUAGGAUCAGUGUGUAUUAAUUCAAGUGGUGCUCUAGUUUUUAUGUUAGUGACAGGGAAGUGAAACUGAUGUAGUUUGCCAUAUUGACAAGCAUCACAGAAGCUAAGAUAAUGAUUGACAAUAUGUGAAGUUUGAGUCUUUAAAAUGAUUUGCAUAGCAUGUUUAUUGGGAUGACCAAGUCUAUUAUGUAACAGCUGCAUUGAGAUACAACUAGAAGUAUUGAAACUUGCAGGAGAAUUGUUGAAAGACACUGAAUUAACAGAAACUGACUUGAUAGACUUUGGACAAGAGUUUACAAUUUUAUUUGAAACAACUGACAACAUAGAAUUUGGCUUUAAAACUUGUACUUUAGAAUUGGAGAACAAAUCAUCUUCAGAUAGUAGUUUGUAGAGACCCCCUUCAGCAAUUCCUGUGCUAGUAAUGUCCCCUUCACCUUGUCCUUUACAAAACAAAAUUCAAAGGUGAAUUCUAUAAUCAUACUAUUAUUAGCAAGGAGUUUGGACACACUGAUGAGAUUCUUUGUUAUAUGAGGAACACGUCGCAUGUCAGUAAGAUGUAGUAAAGCUCCAAGGGAAGUGUAAAAAUAAGUGUAACCAAUAUGAGUAAUAGAAAGGCCUUUACCAUUACCAACUAGCAGCAUCUCAGAACCAGAGUAAGACUUACCAACAGUCAGAUUUUGCACAGCAUUUGUGAGGUGAUGUGUUGCUCCACUGCCUAAGUACCACCCUUGAUCAGUAACUCCUUCUAAUGUCACCAUGUAUGCAGCUCUUGGUCCUUGAUUUUGAUUUGGAAAGGAACUCUGAACUGGAGGAUUUGGCACAAAAUUUUGGUUAAACCUAUUUCUGCACUCAACAGCUGAAUGAUUUGGCUUGAAACAGAUCUGACAUAUGAUACCUCUGCCACUUCCUCUUCCAGAAUUAUUGAAACCAGCAGUAAAUCCAUUUCCAUUGAAUCCAACAAAGCUAUUUCCAUUAAAUCCAGUAAAUCCACCUCUGCCUUGAUUACCUCCUUGAUUUCCAUGCCAUUGUCCCCUUCCAGUACCAUAUCCUGCAUUACCUCCUCUCCUUGCUCCAGAAUUUCCUCUACCAUAAUUUCCAUUCCAAUUUCCACCUUCAGUUCUGUUUCCAAAGUUUCCAGUGUAGUUGCCUUGAUUAUUAUUAUUAUUCCAGCCAGCAUUAUAAUUGUUUUUCCUUUGAUUAUUUCCAAUUUGAACCAAAUUAGCAGCAUAGUUCAUUUUAGCUUCUUUACUGGCAUUAGAGUUAGCACUUUCCAAUCGAGCUUCAUGAGUCAGAAGCAUAGAGUAUGCUUCAUUAAUACUCAUCUUAAGUACAUUAGCUUCAAUAUAAACCACAACUGGAUAAUAAGGUUGUCCUAGACCAGAAAUUAAAUGAGUAAUAAAGUCUAGAUUACUAACUGGACUACCAGCAAUGGCUAACUCAUCAGUAAUAGAUCUCAACUUACUAAAGUAUUCAGUCAUAGUCAGAGAAGCUUUAUUGAGAUUAUUCAGCAGCAUUUUCAAGUGAACCUUUUUAGCAGCAGUUUCAUAUCCGAAUUGCUGUUCUAAAUUAGUCCAAAGCUCAAAAGAAGUUUUAGAUGUUACUACUAAUCUGAGAACUUCAAUACUGAUUGAGGAAAGAAGCCAGCUCAGGAGCAUCUGAUCUUAUUUCUUCCAAGUGAUGUAGGCUGGAUUCUCAUGCAAAUCUGCACUGGAGCUUCUAGGUUCAUCAUCAAGAAAUUGGCUAGGACAGAUCUUGGAGCCAUCAAGAAAUCCUUCUAUAUCAUUUGCUCGAACUGAAGAUAGGAUCUGAGAUUUCCAGAUCAUGUAAUUGGAACGAUCAAGUUUGAUUGGUGUUGUGAAGGUGAAUGAUGAGAUGGAAGAAGAACCAUUUGUAUUCAAGUUGACAGAAGCCAACAAAGAUUGAAUUAGAAUGGCUCUGAUACCAUAUUAAGUUUUAUAUGAAAAUGUGAUGUUGUUUGGUUACUAAGAAAAUAGGAAGAAAGAAAACUUCUGUAAGCUGAGAAUUCUAUUAUUAUUGAUUUGAAUGAAUCUGGAGGUUACAAGCCUUUUUAUAUGUGCAUAAAAGACUCUACACACAUUGCACACACGUACGGCGGAUUCGCGCUUAUUGCGGUGCUGACCGCCUGGUCCCGACGAUUUGUACGCGUCCAUUUCGCAUUCACAAAACAACUCAUCGUCGGUCAAUUCUAAGUAAUUCUUCGAAGAAGAAGAAGAAGAAGUUGAAGAACAAUUGUCAUUGGUGUUGUAAAUUGCAAGACAAGAACAAUGGCUGAUAAUUCCCGCGAUGCUUGUACGACGGAAAGUUUAUAUUUUUCCUUCCGAGUUAGGGAAUCCGAAGCACGAAUUGAGCGGCCAACGCCAUCAUCAAUUUCAGUUUCCCUCUCUGUGUAUGGGAUAAUCAAAGCAAAGCUUCGUACUGGUAACACAUUCUCAUAGCAAGCCCAGCCCAAUCCAGCCCAGUCAAGCAAGUGAGCAAUGUUAUUAUUUUAUUAUUUUUGAACUCGCGGUGGCUCUGUAUUAUUUGCAAAAUACUCAUGUAAGGCAGAGAAUAUAUUUUAUAUUGGAAUAUUUUCAAAAUAAAUGGUGCUUUAAACAGGCGUCCGAUUGUAAAGAUAUGUCAUAUGCCUAAUUAAACAGUGUCAGAUAUAAUAAAAAUAUAUCUUUUUAUUUAAAGAUGUAUUCAUUCACGGUUUUAUACUUUAAUUUGAAAUGGUGAUGAUUUAUUUUAGACCAGUGAUGAUCUAAUUCAAUUUUUAAUUUAAUAACCAUAAAUGAAAAAUUACAUUUGCAAUGUGUCUCGAAGCACCAUCAAUUCUUACCUAUAUUUCAAUUAAAAUAAGAGUGAAACUAUUGGCACCCAUUCAUUAUUCAUAUAAAACUUAUUUCAAAUAAAAUUACAGUUAAGGGCAAAGAAGAAAUAAACACAUGUAGGAUUUUUUUCCCAACAAAUUACUUACAUUAAUAAUCAAACCUUUUUUUUUUAAUUUCCUACCAUUAUUUCUUAUCUAACUAAGAUAAAUUGUAUAAAUCUGGCAUAAUCUAUUUUUCUUUUCCUAUUUCUUAUUGAUUAAAUAUUUUCGGACUCAAGAUUACUUUCAAACUACAAUCUAAAAUAUAUGUUAUUUAAGCUAAUGAUUAGCAUUCAAACUUUAUCACCUCGAAAGCUUUUUAAUUUGUAUGUAGGAUAACAAUAAGAUUGCAAAAGAAAUGAAAAAUAGCACAAUACUACUUUGAGUUUUAACAAUAAAAGACGUGUUGUUUGUGAAAGCAAAUCCAGAAAACCAAAACGGCAGCAGACUUUGCGUUUAGGAGCUGGAAACACUUAAGCUCAAACGGCACAGGAUCCUGCGUUUUGAAGAGUAGAAGAAAUACACUUCUGAACGACGUAUGGGUCUGUCGUUUAGAUUUAAGUGAUUCACGCGUAUAUCACGUGCCUGAGUUCAGCUUUGCAAAGUUCGUUAUAUGUCGUUAGAAGUAUGAGGAACUCACGUGAGGUGCUGGGGAUUUUCUGGGUUCGUUAACUAAAGCUGUUAUGGAACAGCUGAUGUGGAAGCAACGGAUUGGAGAGCUAGAGAGAGAGAAGGGAACUGGUUAUAUAAGCUAGUUGUGAUCCUUCUUUGAAAGCUAAGCAUUUUACUCUGUAAUUCAUCUGAAGUAAAUCAAUAAAGCUGUGUUCUUUCCCUCCCGUGGAUGUAAGCUAGAGAAAUCUAGCUGAACCACGUUAAAGAUUCUUUGUUCUUUCUUUACGUUACUUUCGCUUGAUUCUCUAUACCAUUUUGAUUGAUCAUCUAAGUUCCAUAGGUUCAUCUUAGUCUAAGCUUUUUCAGUUAAACAUCUUGCUGCAUCUUGUUCUGUUGGCUGGAGGUCUUGGGGCAGAGUCUUGGGUUGCUCUAUCAGUCAAUAGCACCUGAGAUUCUUCAAUUGGUAUCAGAGCUGGAUCUACAACCAAAGACAAGUAUGGUUUCAACCAAGAUCGAUCUUGAGAAGUUUACUGGCAAGAAUGAUUUCAACAUGUGGAAGGUGAAGAUGGAGGCCUUGCUGAUAACUCAGGGGUUAGGAGAUGCACUCGAACCUGUCACCAAGAAGGAAGGAAAAGAAGAAUCAUCCUCCAAGACACCUGAGAUGGCAGUCGAGAUGGACAAGAAGGCCAGAAGCACCAUCAUAUUGAGCCUUGGUGACUCAGUGAUAAGGGAGGUUGCCAAGGAGAAGACUGUUGCAGACCUAUGGGCCAAAUUAGAAAAGAUUUAUAUGACUAAAUCUUUGGCUAAUAGGUUGUAUAUCAAAAGGAGGAUGUUCACACUGAAGAUGGCUGAAGGGUCCUCUCUGGAUGAUCACAUUGAUGAAUUCAAUCAAGUGUGUGACACACUUGAAACCAUUGAUGAGGGGCUGGAUGAUGAAGGAAAGGCAUUGCUUCUGGUGAGCUCUCUACCUCAGUCUUAUUCAAAUCUUGUCGAUGCCCUUAUGUAUGGAAGAUCAACCUUAUCAUUAGAUGAGGUUAAGGCUGCCUUGAAUACUAGAGGGCUACAAGAAAAAUCUGGGAAUAUGAUGCAUGCUGAAGGAUUAUCAGUUAAGGGUAAGUUUAACAAGAAUGAUGGAAAGAAGAAGAAACAAAAGCAAGACAAGUCUAAAUCACAAAACAAGAAGUGCUUUCAUUGUAACAAAGAAGGUCACUUCAAGAGAGACUGUCAAGAACUAAAGAACAAAAGCAAGGAAAGAAAUGGUGAUGCAGCUACAGUGGAGGAAAAAGGUUAUGAAUCUGCUGGUGUGUGUGUGGCUACAGAGGAUCUCCAGAGAGGUAAAUGGAUACUAGAUUCUGGUUGCACAUUUCAUAUGUGCCCAUUUAAAACUUAUUUUUCUGAUUACCAUGAUUUAGAUGGGGGAAAAGUAAUGAUGGGUAACAAUGCUGUAUGUAAAGUCAUAGGCAUGGGAAAUGUGAGUCUUAGGCUUCAUGAUGGGACAACAUGGGAACUUAGAGAGGUCAGAUAUGUUCCUGACUUAAAGAGGAACUUAAUCUCACUAGGUUUGAUAGAUCAGAAUGGGUUUAGUAUUAAGCUUGAAUCUGGUAGAUUGUUGAUCAUGAAGGGCUCUAAGAUAGUGAUGAAAGGUUCAAAAAGAAAUGGAGUAUAUGUCCUAGAUGGUGAGGCAGUUACAGGUAUAACAGAUGUGAUUGUUGGCACUGGUGGGGUUAGCACCAGGUUGUGGCACCUAAGAUUGGGGCAUAUGAGUGUUAAGGGGUUAAAAGAGCUUGAGAAACAAGGAGUUCUGGGGAAGGAUAAGAUAGAGGAGUUAGAUUUUUGUGAAGAUUGUGUAUAUGGAAAGUCCACAAGGCACAGUUUCAAAAACUCAACCAGCAAAUCUAUUGGCAUCCUAGACUACAUACACUCUGAUCUCUGGGGACCUGCACAGACAAGAUCAUUAGGUGGAAAUAGCUAUUUUUUGUCAAUAAUAGAUGAUUAUUCAAGAAGGGUUUGGGUCUAUGUACUAAAGCACAAAGAUCAAGUCUUUAACAAAUUCAAAGAAUGGAAAACCUUAGUUGAGAAUCAGACAGGAAAGAAGGUUAAGAAAUUAAGAACAGAUAAUGGACUUGAGUUCUGCAAUCAGCAAUUUAACAGCUACUGUGCAAAUGAGGGGAUAGCAAGGCACAAAACAGUGAGGUUAACACCUCAGCAAAAUGGAUUGGCAGAGAGGAUGAACAGGACCCUGAUGGAUAAGGUGAGGUGCAUGCUGGUACAAGCAAAGCUUCCAAAAAGCCUCUGGGCAGAAACCUUAUUAACAGCAAGCUAUCUGGUGAAUUUGAGUCCCUCUGCUGCUCUAGACUUUAAGACUCCAUUUGAAAUGUGGCAUGGGCAACCAGCAAGCUAUGUAAAUCUUAAAGUGUUUGGAUGCCCUGCUUAUGCACAUAUCAGUCAAGGAAAGUUAGCACCCAGGGCUCUUAAAGGUCAGUUCCUAGGCUAUCCUGAUGGAGUUAAAGGAUACAAACUAUGGUGCACUGAUCUAGAACCUCCAAGGUGCAUAAUAAGCAGAGAUGUGACAUUUAAUGAGAAGGCUGUUUUGGAAGUCAGAAAGGAUGCUGAGCUGAAAACUCAGAAACCUCAAGUGCAAGAUGACAUGCAAUUUGAGGUGGAGCAUCCUGAAUCAAAGAAAUCUGAGAAGGGUGACAGUUCAGAUAAAGACAGUGAAGAUCAUGAUGAAUGCAGUGGCCCUCAACCACAAUCUCAGAGGCAGACUCAAGUACAGGGUUAUCAGCUGACAAAAGAUAGAGAAAAGAGACAAAUCAAACCACCACAGAGAUAUGGUUAUGCUGAUUUGAUAGCAUAUGCACUAGCUGCUUCACAUGAUAUUGAUGUAGAUGAGCCUAAGAGUUAUGCAGAAGCUGUUCAAAGCUCAAACAAAUCAGAAUGGCAGGAAGCUAUGAAUGAUGAGAUAGCUUCUCUUAAGAAGAAUCACACCUGGAUAUUGAUUGAGAAGCCUGGAAACAGAAGGACAGUGGGUUGCAAGUGGGUUUUCAGAGUCAAAGAAGGCCUCACAGCUAGUGAACCUAGCAGGUACAAAGCUAGGCUGGUAGCUAAGGGGUACACUCAAAGGGAAGGAGUUGACUUUAAAGAGGUAUUCUCCCCUGUGGUCAGACAUGCCUCUAUAAGGGUGCUGUUAGCAAUGACUGCAGUUCAUGACUUAGAGCUUGAUCAACUUGACGUCAAGACUGCAUUUUUACAUGGAAGACUACAGGAAGAAAUUCUUAUGACUCAACCUGAGGGUGAUGUGGAUUCUGAGAAACCAAAUCAUGUUUGCUUGCUGAAAAGAUCACUGUAUGGGCUCAAGCAAUCUCCAAGGCAGUGGUAUCUCAGGUUUGAUGAAUUCAUGCUGUCACAUGGAUACCUGAGAUGCAGUUUUGACUGCUGUGUAUAUUACAAGCUAAUAAACACAAAUCUCUACAUAUACCUGUUACUAUAUGUAGAUGAUAUGUUGGUAGCCUGUAAGUCAAGAGAAGAAAUUGAAGCUUUGAAGAAUUUGCUGAGCUCUGAAUUUGAGAUGAAAGAUUUGGGGUCAGCAAAGAAGAUACUAGGCAUGGAAAUCAAGAGGGAUAGAAGCAAAGGCAUCAUGUUUCUUUCUCAAGAGAAAUAUCUGAGGAGGGUAUUGGAAACUUUUGGGAUGACCUCAUGUAAACCUGUGAUGACUCCAAUAGCAACACAUUUUAAGCUCUCCAGUUUGCAGUGUCCUAAGACAGAAGAAGAAAAGUUAGAGAUGGCUAAGAUUCCCUAUGCUAAUGCAGUUGGCUGCAUGAUGUAUGCCAUGGUUCUAACUAGGCCUGAUAUCUCCUAUGCUCUAAGUGUAGUAAGCAGAUAUAUGGUGUCUCCUGGAAAAGAACAUUGGAGAGCUGUAAAGUGGGUGCUGAGAUACCUAAGUGGAACCUUGAGCCAUGGGCUGGUUUAUGGAAAGUCAGGGAUCAAGUCUGAGGGGAUCUAUGGAUUUGUUGAUUCUGACUUUGCAGGAGACUUAGACAGGAGAAGAUCCCUCACAGGGUAUUUGUACAUGCUGGAUGGCUGCUUGAUUAAUUGGAAAGCAAGUCUUCAACAUGUUGUUGCAUUAUCAACAACAGAAGCUGAGUAUACAGCAGCUGCUGAAGCAGUAAAGGAAGCCUUAUGGAUGAAAGGCUUGAUAGCUGAGCUUGGAAUGAGUCAGAAGACAGUUGAUGUAUUCUGUGAUAGCUCAAGUGCCAUUUACUUGAGUAAAAACCCAGCUCAUCAUGAGAAAACAAAGCACAUCGACAUCAAGCUGCAUUUCAUUAGAAAUGUAGUCUCCAUGGGUGUGGUCAGAAUGGUGAAGAUACAUACAGACAGAAAUCCUGCUGACAUGUUAACAAAAGUAGUCACUACAGCUAAGUUCAAGGUUUGCUUGGACAUAGCUGGUCUUGGCUGCUGGUAAUCCAUUCUGGAAAUGGAGGGGGAAAACCAGGGAUGAUUUGUUUCAAGGUGGAGAAUUGUUGUUUGUGAAAGCAAAUCCAGAAAACCAAAACGGCAGCAGACUUUGCGUUUAGGAGCUGGAAACACUUAAGCUCAAACGGCACAGGAUCCUGCGUUUUGAAGAGUAGAAGAAAUACACUUCUGAACGACGUAUGGGUCUGUCGUUUAGAUUUAAGUGAUUCACGCGUAUAUCACGUGCCUGAGUUCAGCUUUGCAAAGUUCGUUAUAUGUCGUUAGAAGUAUGAGGAACUCACGUGAGGUGCUGGGGAUUUUCUGGGUUCGUUAACUAAAGCUGUUAUGGAACAGCUGAUGUGGAAGCAACGGAUUGGAGAGCUAGAGAGAGAGAAGGGAACUGGUUAUAUAAGCUAGUUGUGAUCCUUCUUUGAAAGCUAAGCAUUUUACUCUGUAAUUCAUCUGAAGUAAAUCAAUAAAGCUGUGUUCUUUCCCUCCCGUGGAUGUAAGCUAGAGAAAUCUAGCUGAACCACGUUAAAGAUUCUUUGUUCUUUCUUUACGUUACUUUCGCUUGAUUCUCUAUACCAUUUUGAUUGAUCAUCUAAGUUCCAUAGGUUCAUCUUAGUCUAAGCUUUUUCAGUUAAACAUCUUGCUGCAUCUUGUUCUGUUGGCUGGAGGUCUUGGGGCAGAGUCUUGGGUUGCUCUAUCAGUCAAUAGCACCUGAGAUUCUUCAAGACGAUUAAAUGAAAAACUAAAAGAGUGUCUUUGAAAAUAAAAGGAAAUGUUUGGAAAUAAAAUAAAUAUAACGGAAAAAAGGAUUUGAUGAGGAGACUAGAGGGGUGCCAAUAGUCCAACUUUUAAAAUAAAGUUUUAUCAAUUAUUGUUCCCUUUUUCUGCAAUUAUUAUUCCCCACAGAUAUUUCUCCAACAUUUUAUUUCAUAUAUUUACUCCUACUACACUCUAACAAAGGACGCCUUUUGGACUACAUCAGUUUCUAGAUGCAUUUUAUUAAUAAAUUAAAUAAAGGCACCAUCCCUUGUUCAAUUUCUCUAAAUAACCACUUUCUGUCAGCUCUCUUAAAAUUUAUUAAGGAAUCUAUGUUGAAGACCAUUUCAUCCUUAGUAUUGUGUAAAUGUAUAAAAACACAUUUUACACUUUGAAAUUUAAAAUGACCUUCUUUUAGCACAAAAUUUUAAAACAAAUGCCUCUAACUAAGCGACAAAUUUUAAAAUACAUGAUAAAUACUAUAUCAGUGAUAUAAAAGGUGAAUCAUACUAUGAUAUAUGUGCAUUUAUUUUGAAAACCCAUCACGUAAAUAAUGCUUAUAUUGAAUCUAAGUAAGUGCAUAUCAUACAUGACACAACCCGGCCCAGCCUCUCUUACGGAUUCGAGGUGAAUCAUGUGAUCUUAUAUCUAAAGCUUAUGAAAUAAAUUUAAUUCAUGAAUGCAUAACACCGCCUUUGUUAUAAACAUAUAAUCACAUAUGUGACUCAUUCAAAAAUAUAUUCAAAACUUGCACAUUUUACACCGUACUAUACAUACAUACACUUUAGAUAUAUACAUAUAAAUAUAAACAUAAACAUGCUCAAAAUAUAAGUUAUGCAGUAAUGCGUGUCGUGGCCCAACCUCAAUUGAUUAGAAACUAAAUUGCACAAAAUCCUAUGAAAAUCUUAAAGAAAUGGGGGUAAAUAGGAAAAUAGUAUACUUGUGGGUAAAUGAAUGGAUAUAAUUAUAUAAAUUAGCGCUCUAGUGCCCGUACAUAAUUGUAUGACAUAACUUCGCACUGAACGCAUUACACAAGCAAACAUGAAAUCAUAUAUUUAUACAUGAUAAAAUUGCACUAAAUAAUAUCUAGGAGAAAUAACUCUCAAUACUCGCUGGAAUCAUCAUUGCACAAGUAAAGUAGGGGAAACACCUCUCAAUACGCAGCGGAAUUAACUACAUCACAAGGGCCUUGUAAUCUAACUCUCAAUACACAUACAUAGAGCCUAUGGUGAAGGGUACACAUAUGGUAUCUGGCAAUCACAUCUCAUUAUUCAAUCAAGCAUAUAAUAUGAGUACAUAUAAUCAUGACAUGAUACUAAAUCAUACUAUCAAGCAUAAAUACUUUGUAGAAUACAUAUAAGUAAUAAUAGUAAUCCACUCAUAAAACAUUUUUCACUCCAGGGCUUGUUGGAGCUCUUAUAGAUUCCUUAAUUCUUGGAUUUCUCCUAAAAUAUAGGGUUCAAAAAUUAACUGUUAGAACUGAUAUAAAAUUUUUUACAUAUGACAUAAACUAAAUCAUAAUUGUUCAAAUUUCUUAAAUACAUUACUUACUGAUUUACUGGAUAUAGAUAUAACUAUCCAACUCUCUUUCCUAUAAUUUUUCCUCUCAAUUCCACUUUUCAAAUUUAUUUUUCACUCUCGGUUUUUCUUUUCUUUAUUUUUCCUUCUUCAUCUUUUAUUCUUCUGUUCUUUUCCUCUUCUUUCUUCAUCUUUUCUUCUUUUGUUCUUUUCCUCUUCUCUUUUCCUUUUGUUUUCUUCCCUUCUCACCUUUUCCUUUCUUUUUCUUUUCUCUUUGAAUUGCUUUGUUUUAGUUUGAUUCUUGAAAAUGGUGACAAUUGCUUCAAUUCUUUACUUUAUAUAUAUCCAUUGCCUCCAAUCAUGCAUGACAAGCACAUAGCAUGCAUGUGCUUUGCUUUAAGCCGACAGUUUGCUAAUUAGCCACAUGUGCUCCCUUUUGGUUUGCAUGUGCGUCACAAUAUAUGCAUUAAUUAGUUGUAUUAUUUUUAAUGUAUUAUUAAAUUUCUUUUAAUGAAGGACGUAGUUAACAAUUUUAACCAGUUAAACAUGUUGUUUGACAUAUAAUACAGUUUAUGGUCAAACAACUCAUAAGUAGUUGAAAUUAAAUUAUUUUUUAAUCUCAAUUUUCCUUUUCUCUCAAUUUUAAAAUAUUUUAUAAGAUUUUCAAACAUAAGAUACAAUGGUAUAGAAUUGAAGCCUAAUCCAACAUAGAAAGAAUAAAUAAAAUUAAUUUUCACCACUACUCAAGAGACUUGAAAGGACAUUAAGGUAGCGUUUAUUUUUUUUAUUUAAAAUAUGAAUAGGUUAGAAUUUGAUUAAAAGCUGAAUGGCUUUGAAUAUAAAUGUUUCAAUAACAUGUUUUUUUUAAUAUCUAAAAAUUAAGUGACAUCUUGUUUGUUUUUAUAAUAAAAAAAAUAUUAAAUGUAGUUAUUUAACAUUUAUGUCCUUAUAAGUCAAAACAAAUAAAAGGGAUUAGGUUUCGUAGUUUAUGAAAUAACUAUAUUGAAUUGAAAUAUUUUUAGGAUAUAGUAUUUAUUUUCCAUUCAAACAUUUUUUCAUUUCGGCAAAGGUCACAAAAAUUUACUUUUUUAAUUCAAAUGUAAAUAUCUAAAAAUCAGACAUAUGUUACAAAAAAAAAUAAAAUAACUAAUUUUUUUUUUAAAAAAAGUUAAACUUUAUAUGUUUAAAAUAAACGCUAAGGAACAUGAAUAAGAGCUAUGAAAACAAAAAAAAAGAGAAUAAUUUUGAAACUAAAUACAAUUAAUUGAGAGAUGAGAAUCGAUAAGAUAAAUUCAUAGAUAAAAAUUAAAAUAUCAACCCUACUUAUUGCUGGCAGUUAUGAGCAUUAAAGAACAGAAGCCGUGUCUUGAUAAGUAUGGUGUUCGUGCGGAAUUCUCAAUUUUAAUAUAUAUAUAUAUAUAUAUAUAUAUUAAAAAAAAGCUAGACUUCGUAUGUUUAAAAUCAACGCUAAGGAACAUGAAUAAGAGCUCUUUAACAAAACAAAAAAGAAUAAUUUUGAAACUGAAUACAAUUAAUUGAGAGAUGAGGACCGAUAAGAUAAAUUCAGAGAUAAAAAGUAACAUAUCACCCUACUCUCACACUGAUUUGUAUUAUAUCUAUUACGCCUCUUUCAGUCUUGUACAUGAAUUUAUUAAUAUAUAAUUCGAGAUAGGUGAUAAAAGAUAUGAAAUCUUAAAAGAAAAAACUUGCAGGGGUCACAACUUAUGCCAACCACCACAUAUCCAUUCGAUGGAGCCGUACCCUAAUAAUUAAAAUUUGGAAGUACGAUGAAAAUUAGAAAUGGGUAUUUAAUAAGUUGGAGAUUAUGUUAAGAUUUAUGGAGCCAAGAGUGCCGGUUAAAUAAUCCUGUGAGAAUUGACAAAAUCUUAUAUUAGAUUAGAUGGAUGGGUGGAUGUACAAAUAACUUGAUUUGCAUAUCUCACCGAGAUUGUCUAUUUCAAUUUGAGAUUUAAAGAAAAAUAAACCUUAAAAAUUGUAACAAAAAAUGGGGAAAAUCGUACCACACAUGGAUUGCAUGGGUCUAAUGAUCAAGGGGGCAUCCAAUGAAUGGGAGCCUAGGUUUUGAGAUAAAUUGGUGGUGGUGGUGGUGGUGGUCCUUGCGCGUGAGAUGAGUUAAUUUAUUAAAUGGAUUAUUAUUUUCUUUUAUUUUUCGAAGGGAGAAAAAAAAAUAAUAAAAAGGACAUCUAGAGGUUGUGAGCCGUGGGUUGAAAAGUAUGGUGUUCAUGUGGAAUUUUCAGCUAGAAGUCUACAAAGCAGUUGAAUUAAUCAAUCAUCGUGGAGUGCACGGUGCUUGGACAGUGAGAUGAAAUUGAAAAAUUAUCACGGAACUUGAAGGAAGGUUCAUGGCAUCGAUUUAUUCUACAGAGUCGCUCACAUUUGGUUCAAUAAUUGUUUUCAUCCGAAUCAAAAUAUCUCUCUAAUCAAUUCAACUGUUUCUGUUGAUUAUGGCUUCUUCUUAUCGAAACAACAAGAAGUAUGAUGUUUUUGUUAGUUUCAGAGGAGAGGACACCCGGGACAACUUUACUAGCCAUCUCUAUUCUGCUCUGAGUCGACAAAAUAUCCAGACUUUCAUUGAUGACCAACUUAACAGAGGAGAUGAAAUUUCGGAGUCACUUGUGAAUGCAAUUGAAGCAUCAGCCAUUUCAGUUAUCGUCUUCUCUGAAUCAUACGCUUCUUCUAGAUGGUGUCUCGAUGAACUUGUAAAGAUCCUCGAGUGCAAGAAAUAUUAUGCACAAAUUGUGAUUCCGGUUUUCUAUCGGGUUGAUCCAUCAGACGUGAGAAACCAAACUGGGAGUUUUGGGGAUUCAUUUUCGAAGCUCGAAGAAAGAUCAAAGGAGAAUACUGAGAAGCUGCGGAGUUGGAGGACUGUUUUGAAGGAAGCAGCCAGUUUGUCUGGCUUUCAUUCUCUUAACAUCAGGUGAAAAGUUGCCUUUAAUUUCUCAUACUAAUAUUUAACAAUAAAUAAAAUUCACGCAGCACUCUUAGUUAAAUUUCCGGAUGCUAAACUACAAUUUUAAAAAUUUUUAAGCAUCAGAUUCUAGACUUCCACACUUUUGUGCUCCCAUAAUUAUAAAAUAAUUUUGACAGAGUUAAUAAUAAAAGCUCGAGAAUUUUACAAUAUACAUCUAACAAAAUUAGUGGUGGUCUGUCAUUUUUUUAAGCAAUUGCAACCUCACUCAUAUACCACCAUUAGGAAAAAAAAGGAAAUUAUCCUUGCACCACCUUCCUUUUAUCUAUUGUACAUCCAACCACUACAAAAUUCUAACAUAUUCUUUGCACCACCUUUUUUUUAAAAAAAAAUUUGAAUCAAUAAGCCACUUUUGCACUAACACCAUGAAAUAAUUUAAAUGAAAUGAUAAUUUUUCCCUUAAAUAAAUUAAAAGACCAUUUUUAUUUUAUAAAAACUAUGAAAAUAAAAAUUAUAAUUAUAAAAAUACCCCUAAAUUUAAUUAAAAAUAAAUCCCAAAAUUACAAUUUUUAUUUUUUAAUAAAAAAUAUUUUAGUAAAAAAUUAUAAUUAUAAAAAUAAUUACAAAAUUUUGGGAUUUAAUAAAAUCCCCUAAAUUAUUAAAAUUUGAGGAUUUAUUUUUAAUAAAUAAAUUCAGUUAUUUUAAUUAAUUUUUACAAAAUUAUAAUUUAUAAUAAUAAAUUCAGUUAUUUUUAUUAAAAUAUUGUAAAAUUAUAAUUUUUUAAAAAAUUAGUAUUAAAAUUUUGUAAAAUCUAAAUUUAAUAAAAAUUAGCUGAGCACCUCUAUUUGAGAUUUAUGUCUUAUUAAAUUUAGGGGUAUUUUUUUAAUUAUAAUUUUUUUAUUUUCCAAGCUUUUAUAAAAUAAAAUGAUCUUUUAGUUUAUUUAGAGGUAAAUUUAUCAUUUUCUUUAAAUUAUUUAACGGUGUUAGUGCAAAAGUGGUUAAUAGAUACAAAUUUAAAAAAAAAAGGUGAAAAAAAUAUGUUAGAAUUUUAUGGUGGUUAGAUGAACAUAAGACAAAAGAGAAGUAGUACAGUGAUAAUUUUCCCAAAAACAAAAAUACUCACACAUAUUCCUGUAAUUUAAGAGUUAUUAAUUUAUUGGAUAUUGUAGACUAGUGGUGGUAUUUAUUAAUUUCAAUAAGAAAACUGACAAUCUCCCUUACUUCAUACUUAAUGCAAAUUCCUCGUAUUAAUUUGAAGUUACUUUGGCUAAUUUUAUGUAUUUGCUAGGUGUGAGUCGGAACUUACAAAUGAAGUUGUUAAUCACAUUUUGAAGAGAUUGGAUGAAGUGUUUCAGCCCCGUGAUAACAAAAACCAGCUGGUUGGAGUGGAAUCAACAGUUGAGGAAAUUGAAUCCCUAUUAGGUGUUGAGUCGAAAGAUGUUUACGCUUUAGGGAUUUGGGGCAUUGGUGGUAUAGGCAAAACAGCAAUUACUAGAGCUAUUUUCGACAAAAUCUCGGGUGAUUUUGAAGGUUCUUGCUUCCUCGAAAAUGUUAGAGAUGAGUCACAAAGACUAGGAGGAUUAGCUUGCUUACGACAAAAACUUCUUUCAAAUUUAUUGAAGGAUAAAAAUGCGAUGCCUUAUAUUGACCUCAAUUUUAGAAGGCUCAGCCGCAUGAAGGUUUUGAUUGUUUUUGAUGAUGUGAUUUGCUUCAGCCAAUUAGAAUCUUUAAUUGGAAGUCUUGAUUGGUUGACGCCUGUGAGUCGAAUCAUAAUAAUCACCAGAAAUAAACAAGUGCUUAGAAAUUGGGGGGUGAGGAAAAUCUAUGAGAUGAAGGCAUUAGAAUAUCAUCACGCUAUUGAGCUUUUUAGUCGACAUGCCUUCAAACAAAACCAUCCUGAUGUUGGUUAUGAGAAACUUUCAAGCAAAGUAAUGAAAUAUGCUCAAGGUGUUCCUUUAGCUCUUAAAGUUUUGGGUUGCUUUCUGCAUAAAAGGGAAAAAGAAGUCUGGGAAAGUGCAAUAGAUAAAUUGCAAAGAAUCCUCCAUCCAAGUAUUCUUGAGGUAUUAAAAAUAAGUUAUGAUAGUUUGGACGAUAAGGAGAAAAAUAUUUUCCUUGAUGUUGCUUGUUUCUUUCAAGGUGAGGAUGUAGAUCUAGUAAUGAAAUUUUUUAAUGCAAGUGGCUUCUACCCAGAAAUAGGAAUGAGUGUUCUUGUUGAUAAAUCUCUCAUUGCUAUUGAUUCAUACAACAAGAUAACAGUGCAUGAUUUACUACAAGAAUUGGGUCGGGAAAUUGUUCGACAAGAAUCAACUAAUCCUGAAAACCGCAGUAGGCUCUGGCAUCAUGAAGAUAUCUAUGAAGUUCUUACGUAUAAUACGGUAAGUAGUUUGUUGUGUAUUAUUAUUUUGGAACAAUGUAGUGUUUAAAAACUUCAUGUGAAUAUAUUUACAUACGCUCGCACUCGUGAGUCUUAGAAUUAAUGGAAGAGUGGCAAUGAUUAGAAAAAACAAUAGUGGUUAGAUGACGUAGCAAUAAAUUAUAAAUGCGACGACAAUUUGCAUAACCGUUUGCAAGCAUAAUUGAUAUGUAAAUUUGUCUAUUACACAUGCAGAAUUUUUAUGUUAAUUAUUACUUGUGUUAUUAUGUUUCUUAACUGCGUAGCAAUAACUAUAAACAUGAAUUAUUGAAAUUUGACUCGAGUAAUGACAGAGAGCCCCACUCCAAUCCCACAUAAACUCCAUGCAAGAAUAAAUAAAAAUUGAAUUAAUAACUAAGCUACCUCUAAUUGUAAAUUUGUGACAAAAUUGCCCCAAAUUGUUUUUCUUGGUGGGGUUGAAGUGCAAUUCAUUAGUGGAAUAUACAUAUCAUCUUCCAUUUGAUUUUAACUUUAUUUUUUUAUUUAUUUUUAGGGGACAGAAAAAAUUGAGGGCAUCUGUUUGGAUAUGUCAAAAGUAAAAGAGAUCCGUCUAAAUCCUAAUACUUUCACAAAGAUGCCUAAAUUGAGAUUUUUAAAGUUCUAUGGUUCAUCAGUCAAUGGAGAGAACAAAUGUAAGAUAUCUUAUUUGCAAGAUCCUAGAUUUGCUGAAGUGAAAUAUCUUCACUGGUAUGGAUAUCCGUUGAAGUCAUUGCCUUCAAACCUUAGUGCAGAGAAACUUGUGUUACUUGAAGUGCCUGAUAGUGACAUUGAACGACUUUGGGAUUGUGUGAAGGUAUGGAUAUCUUAUUAUACAUGUGCAAUCUUUCAAAUUACAACAUUAAAUUAUUAUACGCGGUAACGAUUUUGUCUUGGCCUCUUUUUUGACCGAGCAGCAUUAUAGUAAGCUAAACCAGAUAAUCCAUGCUGCCUGCAAUAAGCUAAUUGCCAAAACUCCAAAUCCCACGUUGAUGCCAAGUCUGAACAAGCUAGUUAUCUUGAAUCUAAGAGGUAGCAAAAGCCUGAAAAGUCUUCCAGCUAGAAUAUUUAAUUUGGAAUUUCUUAUCAAACUUGAUCUUUCGGGCUGCUCAAAACUGAAGAGGCUUCCGCAGAUCUUAUCAGGUAAUAUAAGCUGGUUACUUUUAAGGGGGACUGCAAUUAAAGAACUGCCCUCAUCAAUUGAGCUUCUACAUAGGCUCGGGUACUUGGACCUUUCAGAUUGUAAAAGUCUUAAGUGUCUCCCAAGCAGCCUAUGUAAGGUGAAAUCUCUUGGAGUUCUUGAUCUCAGUGGUUGCUCAAAUCUUGAGAGAUUGCACGAAUGUCUUGGCCAGUUAUCCUCGCCAAUGUUAUUGAAUCUAGCGAAAACCAAUAUUGAGAGAAUACCAGAAAGCAUUAUCCAACUUUUUGUGUUGCGAUACCUCCUCUUAAAUUAUAGUGAGAGGCUUCAAUCCUUACCAAAGCCUCCAUUCCUUGCACGAGGGUUAGAUGCCGAUCAUUGCCCACUGCAAUCAUUAUUAGGUUUAUUCUCUAAGUUCUGAAUCUUAUAGCAGUGUCUUUUGAGCAGAGCAAUAAUUUUAAAUUGAAAGGUCAUUGUACUGCAGGAAUUGUUGAAGAUGCCCUGAGAAUUCAGCAUAUGGGCCAUGUGCUAGCUGUCCGUUGGAAAGAAAUACGGGAAAAGGUGUCUUUAACUCUGUUUCCUUACAGUUUAUACAAUUUUUUUUUUUGGGUUUAAAGUUAUGAUUUUUUGGUACAGGGAGAUUUUUCCAUGGACAAAGGUCAUAUCGUACUACCUGGGAAUGAAAUUCCAAAGUGGUUUAAGUUUCAAAGUGUGGGAUCUUUUAUAACCUGGGAGAUGCCGCCAGAUUUCUUCAAUAAUAGCAGAGUACAGGGCAUUGUAUUUAGUGCUAUUUUAGCAUUUUCAGACCGUCAUGUAGAUUGUGGCAGAUGGUUUUCAUUUUCUUUUGAGCUCAAAGUGAAAACCACCAAAGAUUGUGGUCCGCAUGACACACGAUUAUUUCAGAGCAGAGUUAAUUAUGUAGAAUCAGAUCACUUACAUUUGGGGUACUAUCUGUUCUGUGAAGAGGAUUUUAAUGGUUUUUGGAAAUGCAAUUGCAUUCCUGAGGCUGUCCAAUUUAAUGUUUGUCCACCUUUGGAGUGCCAGUGCUGCGGGGUGAAAAAAUGUGGGAUCCAUUUACUUCACGCCCGAGAUUCUAUGAAUUCAAUGUAAGAUCCAAGCAGAUGUUUCAACUGUAACGUAGAAGACUGAUAUUUUCAUGAAUCUAUUUUUAUUGUUUUCCUUUUUCUAAUGAUUAUUAAUAAUAGGAGAAAAUGCUAAAAUCAAUUCUUGGAACAAAACAUUCAUGUAAUAACUUUGGAGGGAUCAGGUGCAUGCAAUUACCUUCGAGGGAUUUGGUGCAAGCAACACAAAUUCACACUAGAGCAUAGAACGUUACUUAUAAAUAAAAGUAAAAAGACAACCUAAAUGAAGGAGCACAUGAUUAUCUAUAAAUAAAAGUCGCAACAUUUUCUAUAAAUAGAAGUUACGCCAUUUUGUGAUCCAUAUAUCUUCUUGCACCACUCCUUUUUUUCUUUUUUUAUUUUAACCCCUCUUUCCUAAAACGAAUUUCUGCAUAAUACAUCUAUAUUUUAUGCAUCAAAUCCUUAAUAUAUUAUUUUUUGCAGGAACAAUAUAUUAAUUUUUCGUAAGUUUACAACAUACAAGGACAUUUAGGUUUGCUUUUGUUUGUGCAUAAUACAGGCAAAUAAACACAAGCACUUCAUUAUAUCAUGAAGGCAUAUUUACUUAACUUAUGUAUAUCACUCAAUUGGAAGAGGGAGUAAAUAACGUCUUGAGGAAAACAAUAUUGUGUCUCGCAGCACUGUUAAUUCAUACAGUUUACUAUUUUGAUUAUUAUUCUUUGUACCUAUAAAGUUUCAUCAAUUAUUUCUCCAAUUUUCCACAAUUAUUAUUCCCCACGAGUAUAUUUCCAAUAUUUUAUUUCACAUAUUUACUUCUGCUACUAGUGUGAUAAUAAAAGAUGCCUUUUUGAACUACAUCAGUUUCUAGAUCUAUUUUAUUGAGAAACUAACCGAACGCACCAUCCAUUAUUUAAUUUAUGGAUCAAAUAAGCCAUAAGUAGUUGAAAUAAAAUGUUUGUUUGGUAGAUAAUAUCGAUUUUUAAAAUAGUUUAAAAGAUUUUCAAACAUAAGAUACAAUAAUAUACAAUUGAAGCCUAGUCCAACAUAGAAAAUAAAAUAAAAUUAAUUUUCAUCACUACUCGAGAGACUCAAAGAGUACUAAGGUAGCAUUUUUUUUAAUUUAAAAUUUGAAUAGGCUUGAAUUUGGGUGAAGUCUUAACAUAAAUGUCUAAAUAAUAUGUUUAUUUUUUUUAAUAUCUGAAAAUAAAGUGACAUCUUAUUUUUUUUAUAAUUUUUUAAAAAAUAAACAUGGUUAUUUGACAUUUUUGUCCUUAUAAGUCAAAAUGAAUAAAUGGAUUAAACUUUAUAGUUUAAGAAAUAACUAUAUUUAAUAGAAAUAUCUUUAAGAUAUAGUAUUUACUUUCCAUUCAAUAUAUGUUUUCAUUUUGAUAAAAGUCAUAAAAUUCACUUUUUGUAUUCAAAUGUAAAUAUCUAAAACUUAGACAUAAGUUCCCAAAAAACAAAUAAAUAAAUAAACAAGCAACAUUAAGGGAAAAAAAAAGGUUACGUAGCUUUUGUUUUAAACAUAUAUGAUAAAUAAGACAAUUUUCAAAAUUAAAUACAAUUAACUGAGAGACGAGGACUGAUACGAUAAAUUGAGCGAUAAAAAUUAAAAUAUCUCCUUGGUCGUUGCUGAUAGUUUUGACUUGUGAGUGUGAAAGCACAGAAGCCGUGUGUUGAAAGUAUGGUGUUCAUGUGGAAAUUUCAGCAAAAAGUCCACAAAGUAAAUUCAGUCAUCGUACAGUCCACGGUGCUUGGACAAUGAGAUGUUGAAAAAUUAUCACGGAACUUCAAGGGAGGUUCAUAGCAUCGAUUUAUUCUACAGAGUCACGCACAUUGGAUUCAAUAAUUGUUUUCCUCCCAUCAAAAUCGAUUUAUUCUAUGAGUAUGAAAGCACAGAAGCCGUAUGUUGAAAAGUCUGGUGUUCAUGUGGAAUUAAUCAAUCAUCGUGGAGUGCACGGUGGUUGGACAAUGAGAUGAAAUUCAAAAAUUAUCACGGUACUUGAAGGAAGGUUCAUGGCAUCGAUUUAUUCUACAGAGUCGUUCACAUUUAGUUCAAUAAUUGUUUUCAUCCGAAUCAAAAUAUCUCUCUAAUCAAUUCAACUGUUUCUGUUGAUUAUGGCUUCUUCUUCUCGAAACAACAAGAAGUAUGAUGUUUUUGUUAGUUUCAGAGGAGAGGACACCCGGGACAACUUUACUAGCCAUCUCUAUUCUGCUGUGUGUCGACAAAAUAUCCAAACUUUCAUUGAUGACCAACUUAACAGAGGAGAUGAAAUUUCGGAGUCACUUGUGAAUGCAAUUGAAGCAUCAGCCAUUUCAGUUAUCGUCUUCUCAGAGGGGUAUGCAUCUUCCAGAUGGUGUCUCGAUGAACUUGUCAAGAUCCUCGAGUGCAAGAAAGAGUAUGCACAGAUUGUGAUUCCGGUUUUCUAUCGGGUUGAUCCAUCACACGUGAGAAACCAAACUGGGAGUUUUGGGGAUUCAUUUUCGAAGCUCGAAGAAAGAUUAAAGGAGAAUACUGAGAAGCUGCGGAGUUGGAGGAAAGCGUUGAAGGAAGCAGCCAGUUUGUCUGGCUUUCAUUCUCUUAACAUCAGGUGAAAUUGAAAAGUUACCUUUAAUUUCUCAUACUAAUAUUUAACAAUAAAUAAAAUUCACGCAGCACUCUUAGUUAAAUUUCCAGAUGCUAAACUACAAUUUUAAAUAUUUUUAAGCAUCAAAUUCUUGACUUCCUCACUUUUGUGCUCUAUAAUUAUAAAAUAAUUUUGAUAGAAUUAAUAAUAAAAGCAAGAGAAUUUUACAAUAUAUAUCUAACAAAAUUAGUGGUGCUCUAUAGUUUUUUAAGCAAUUUCAACCUCUCACUCAUAUACCACGAUUAAAAAAAAAAAAAAAAAACUCACGCAUAUUCCUGCAACUUAAAAGUUAUCAAUUUAUUGUGAGAUUGUAGACUUAUAGUGGUAUAUAUUAAUUUCAAUAGGAAAAUUGACAAUCUACCUUAUUUCAUAUUUAAUGCAAAUUCCUCCUAUUAAUUAAUUUGAAGUUACCGCGGCUAAUUUUAUGUAUUUGCUAGGCGUGAGUCGGAACUUAUAAAUGAAGUUGUUAAUCACAUUUUGAAGAGAUUGGAUGAAGUGUUUCGGCCGCGUGAUAACAAAAACCAGCUGGUUGGAGUGGAAUCAAAAGUUGAGGAAAUUGAAUCUCUAUUGGGUGUUGAGUCUAAAGGUGUUUACGCUUUAGGGAUUUGGGGCAUUGGUGGUAUAGGCAAAACAGCAAUCGCUAGAGCUAUUUUCGACAAAAUCUCGGGUGAUUUUGAAGGUUCUUGCUUCCUCGAAAAUGUUAGAGAAGAGUCACAAAGACCAGGAGGAUUAGCUUGCUUACGACAAAAACUUCUUUCAAAUUUAUUGAAGGAUAAAAAUGCGAUUCCUGGUAUUGACCUCAAUUUUAGAAGGCUCAUCCACAUGAAGGUUCUGAUUGUUUUUGAUGAUGUGACUUGCUUCAGCCAAUUAGAAUCUUUAAUUGGAAGUCUUGAUUGGUUGACGCCUGUGAGUCGAAUCAUAAUAACCACCAGAAAUAAACAAGUGCUUAGAAAUUGGGGGGUGAGGAAAAUCUAUGAGAUGAAGGCAUUAGAAUAUCAUCACGCUAUUGAGCUUUUUAGUCGACAUGCCUUCAAACAAAACCAUCCUGAUGUUGGUUAUGAGGAACUUUCAAGCAAAGUAAUGAAAUAUGCUCAAGGUGUUCCUUUAGCUCUUAAAGUUUUGGGUUGCUUUCUACAUAAAAGGGAAAAAGAAGUCUGGGAAAGCGCAAUAGACAAAUUGCAAAGAAUCCUCCAUCCAAGUAUUCUAGAGGUAUUAAAAAUAAGUUAUGAUGAUUUGGACGAUAAAGAGAAAAGUAUUUUCCUUGAUGUUGCUUGUUUCUUUCAAGGUGAGCAUGUAAAUCCCAUAAUGAAAUUCUUUAAUGCAAGCGGCUUCUACCCAGAAAUAGGAAUAAUUGUUCUUGUUGAUAAGUCUCUCAUUGCUAUUGAUUCACACAAAAGGAUAACAAUGCAUGAUUUAUUACAAGAAUUGGGUAGGGAAAUUGUUCGACAAGAAUCAAUUAAUCUGAAAAACCGCAGUAGAUUGUGGCAUCAUGAGGAUAUCUACGAAGUUCUUACAUAUAAUAUGGUAAGCAGUCUGUUGUGGAUUAUUUUUUUGGAAUAUUGUAGUGUUUCAAAACUUGAUGUGAAUAUAUUUAUAUACGCUCGAGCAAAUGAGUCUUAGAAUUAACAGAAGAGUGACAAUGAUUAGAAACACAAUAGUGGUUAGAUGAUGUAGUAAUAAAUUAUAAAUGCGAUUGACAACUUGCAUAACCGUUUGCAAGCAUAAUUGAUAUAUAAAUUUGUAUAGUACACAUACAGAAUUUUUAUGUUAAGUAUUACUUGUGCUAUUAUAUUUCUUUGUGCAUUUGCAAUUAAGAGUUUAACUGCCUAGCAAUAACAAUAAACAUGAAUUAUUGAAAUUUAAUUUGAGUAAUGAUGGAGAACCCCACUCCAAUCUGACAUAAACGCCACACAAGGACAAAUUAAAGUUGAAUUAAUAACCAAGCUACCUUUAAUUGUGAAUGAGUGACAAACUUGCCCCAAAAAUUUGUCUUGGUGGAGCUGAAGUGUUAAUCAUUAGUGGAAUAUCAAUAUCAUUUUUCAUUUGAUGUUAACUUUAUUGAUUUUUUUAUUUAUUUUUAGGGGACAGAAAAAAUUGAGGGUAUCUGUUUGGAUAUGUCAAAAGUAAAAGAGAUCCAUCUAAAUCCCAAUAUUUUCACAAAGAUGCGUAAAUUGAGAUUUUUAAAAUUCUAUAGUUCAUCAUUCAAUGGGAAGAACAAAUGCAAGGUGUCUUAUUUGCAAGAACUCGGAUUUGCUGAAGUGAAAUAUCUUCACUGGCAUGGAUAUCCGUUGAAGUCAUUACCUUCAAACCUUAGUGCAGAGAAACUUGUGUUUCUUGAAGUGCCUAAUAGCGACAUUGAACAACUUUGGAAUGGUGUGAAGGUAUGUUUACCUUAAUAUAUAUGUGCAAUCUUUCAAUAAGAACGUUAAAUUAUCAUACAUAGUAAUGAUUUUAUCUUUGCCUCUUUUUUGACCGAGCAGCAUUAUAGUAAGUUAAACCAGCUAAUCCAUGGUGCCUGCAAGAAGCUAAUUGCCAAAACUCCAAACCCCACGUUGAUUCCACAUCUGAACAAGCUAGUUAUGUUGAAUCUAAGAGGUAGCAAAAGCCUGAAAAGUCUUCCAGCUGGAAUAUUUAAUUUGGAAUUUCUUACUGAACUUGAUCUUUCGGGUUGUUCAAAGCUGAAGAGGCUUCCAGAGAUCUCAUCUGGUAACGUAGGCAAGCUAUUUUUAAGUGGAACUGCAAUUGAAGAACUACCCUCAUCAUUUGAGCUUCUACUUAGGCUUUGGUUGUUAGACCUUUCAGAUUGUAAAAGGCUUAAGAGUCUCCCAAGCAGCCUCUGUAAGUUGAAGUCUCUUGGACUUCUUAGUCUCCGUGGUUGCUCAAAUCUUCAGAGAUUGCCCGAAUGUCUUGGCCAAUUAUCCUCGCCAAUAAUAUUGAAUGUAGCGAAAACCAAUAUUGAGAGAAUACCACAAAGCAUUAUCCAACUUUUCGUGUCGGGAUACCUCCUCUUAAGUUAUGGUGAGAGGUUCCAAUCCGUACAAAAGCCUUCAUUCCUUGAACGAGGUUGCUUGGCACUGCAACCAUUUUUAGGUUUGUUCUCUAAGUUAUGAAUCUUACAGGCAAUUUUUUUUUACCGGAGCAAUAAUUUUAAAUUGGAAGGUAAUUCUACUGCAGGAAUUGUUGCAGAUACCCUGAGAAUUCAGCAUACGAACUAUAUGCCAGCCAUACAUUGGCUAGGAAUAUGGCAAGAAGUAUGGCUAAAUGUGUGUCUUUAACUCUCUCUAUUUACAAUUUCUACAAUCUUUGUUUUUUUUUUGGGUUUAAAAUUAUGUUUUUUUGGUACAGAGAGGUUUUUCCAUGGGCAAAGGUCAUAUAGUACUACCUGGGAAUGAAAUUCCAAAGUGGUUUGAGUUUCAAAGUGUGGGAUCUUUUAUAACCUUGGAGAUGCCGCCAGAUUCCUUCAAUAAUAGCAGGGUGCAGGGCAUUGCAUUUAGUGCUAUUUUAGCAUUUUCAGACCGUCAUGUAGAUUGUAGCAGAUGGUUUUCAUUUUCUUUUGAGCUCAAAGUGAAAACCACCAAAGAUUGUGGUACGCAUGACACACGAUUAUUUCAUAGCAGAGUUAAUUAUGUAGAAUCAGAUCACUUACAUUUGGGGCACUAUCUGUUCUGUGAAGAGGAUUUUAAUGGUUUUUGGAAAUGCAAUUGCAUUCUUGAGGCUGUCCACUUUAAUGUUUUUCCACCUUUGGAGUGCCAGUGCUGCGGGGUGAAAAAAUGUGGGAUCCAUUUACUUCACACCCCAGAUCCUACGUCAAUGGAAGACCCAAGCACAUGUUUCAACUGUAACGAAGAAGACUGAGAUAGGUGUCAUUUUCACUCAACUCACCUGAGUUGUGAAUCCAUUUGCUUAAACAUGUAUGCACUUUUUCAAGUAUCUCUACCAAUUCCAUAUUUGGAAUGGUGCAUUUGAUUCCAUAGUUGAUGUGAUAUCGUCUAUGGUUAGAAUUUAUAUUUACAAAAUGACUUGUAAGGAAAGGAUUGAAGAUGCCUGUGAACUUAUAUUUCGAUUUAGAUUAUUGUAUCUUUUUCAUGUAUAAAAUUGGAUCCUAUCAUUCACAUAUCAUUGACAUGAGCAAUAUGGAUUACUAAAUCAUUAUUCUUUAUUAUUGUGCUGAAUUUGAUUUUUUAUUGAAUAAUUUGAUAUAUUUCUUUAAUCAAUUUGGAGCUUCUACAACUUGUCAGAGAUCAGUUUCUCCAACAUUCCUUUCGGUGCCAAAAGAUAACCAAGCGGUUGAAUAAGAAUUGAUAUAUACAACAUAAAUAGAAGAGUUGUUUUGUCUUUUUACAAUAGGAAUAAUAUUUAAUGCUCGUUAAAACUUGCUGAUGAGAAAGUAAAUUUCUCAGAAAUUAAAUGUUUCAGCCAACCAAGGAAGCAUCUUUUCAUGGACCAACUCAGGCCUGUCGUCAUGGGGGCAAUGUCCUACUCCUUCCAAUACAAUUAACUUCACAUUUGAGAGUUUAGAAGGCAGAUAUGAGAAGUAUUUACCAACAGGUCCAUCGAGGGGUGUGAAUGGAUCCUCAUCACCCCAUAAAACUAGUACAUGUAUAGAGAUUGAUGGCAUCAAUUGAACUGGGUUCGGCCCUGGUGGGCCUGUUACAAUCGAAACAAAUGCAUCAAGUGCCCCUUCCUCAUUGGCAGGCUCUCGUAUGAUCUGCAGUUUUGAGGUUGAUACCUCAACCAGUGUUUCAUCCACAGAUUCCUUAUUUGCAUAGAUCGACAGUAAAAUAUUCCUCAGUGAUUCCCUGAAGCACCAAUGUAUACACAUCAUAGAUUUUUUUAAUUUUGACUCUAGUGUUUUAGGAUAAUGAACAAUGGACUGAAUAAAGAGAAGAGAAAAUACCUUUGUUUCACACGCUCAAAUAUAGCAGAAGCAAUUGGCCUUUGCUUCAACAAAAAAUCAAUGAACCAAAGCAAUGGUAACAAUAGCUUGAUUCUCCAAUCAUCAACAAUUGCCUUGUUGUUCAUGCCACCAGCACAAUUCAACAGAACAAGCCCUCGAACAAGGGGUUGACUAGAUUCUUAUGGUAGAAAAUAUAGCAGGUUUAUCGUAAACCAUAGAUACCAAAAAGAUAAUUAGGGACAGUGUUUCUUUUGCAACAGUUGAAGAAUAUCUGAUGUCCAAGGGGANNNNNNNNNNNNNNNNNNNNNNNNNNNNNNNNNNNNNNNNNNNNNNNNNNNNNNNNNNNNNNNNNNNNNNNNNNNNNNNNNNNNNNNNNNNNNNNNNNNNAGGCAGCAAUAACACAAGCUAGGCUUCCAACAGAGUUACCUAUAAGCACAGUUGGCUUCUUAACAACUUCAUCCAAUAAAUCCAAUAUUAUCUGUAUCAGUGAAUCUCACUCAAGUUAGCAAGGAAAAUAACUAAAGGUUAAGUGAUUGAUGACGUAAGUACAUAGAAAGAUCCAACUUCUGGGUAGGGAACAUUGCACACCUGAACCCAUGCCUCCCUGGUAUAUGAAUAACCAGCUGGCUUAUCUGAAGCACCAAAUCCAAGAAGGUCAAUUGCAUAAACCGUGUAGCUCUUCGCCAGGGUGCCGAUAUUCCUGAAAUUACCUCAGAGAUGACAAGAAAAAUAUCAAUUCCUCACAUUAUUUAAUAGGAUAAAGGAGUAGUGAACACACAAAUUGUCAUUCCCCUCUUCUACGAAGCGGUAAAAUGAAUACUUUUUCACUAGAUUAAGAAUUGGAAAAUGGAAGAAGCCUAUACCCAUAAAAGGGUAAUAUGAAAUGGAACCCUGAAAUUCAGAUCACUGGUUUGUCAUCAUCUAGGUGCAAGGAAUAGAACUAAGUGUUAAUGCCAAUGCACCAUGAAAUAAUGAAUAGACUUUACUUUCAUUAUUCUUUUGCUUCAUUGAUCUUAAUUAAUUAUUAGAAGUAUAACACAUAUAAAUCCAUCCCUGGAGUUCAUAAUACAUAACAGAGUCAGAGAUAUUACAUACAUAAGUGUUUGAGGGAAAUACUUCGGUGAGACCAGACGUGAUGAACAGAUGUUUGGUGGCAGAAUUCUGCGAGCAGGUGUCUCCUGUAAGAGCCAGGUAGCAAGGGAACAGGAGCAGGAAUAUUCUGCUCGUCCACGAAUAUGCCAUUCGCGAGGCCGAACCCUUGCUAGAGGCAUAGGGUCACUCCCGCUAGGGUUCGAGGAGAGGAGACCCGGUCAACGGCAGUUGGCGAGACGUGCCUUCCUAUCCGAGAAUCAAGGCACGAGGUCCAUCUCCAUUCGCCCAUCAUGACGAUAAUGGGACAUCCACAUCCGAGCAUGGGGAGAACAACGGGCGUAAGCUGCGGAAGACCGGGACUCAGAGGAAGCCUAUAAAAAGGUAGCCAACGAAGGUAAAAGGGUUAGCAAUUUUGAGAUUAGAAGAGAAAUAAAAGCAAUUCUAAAGAAGAGAAAACUACCCAAAAGCCAUAAAAUCUGUGGCAAGCAUUCCCCGAACCUUCAUAUCUGACUUGAGCGUCGGAGGGUUUGUGCCGGGAAAACAACCGGCGUACUCUGACCUGUCUGUGUGCGCAGGAACCUCUGGAGAAGAAUCUUUACGAGGAGAGAUCCUGGUCGUGGUGAAGUUGAUCGAGCAGAGACCCUGGUCGUAGAACGAGGACAACCAGAAUCUCGCAUCAACAUUUUGGCGCCGUCUGUGGGGAGCUGAGCAAAAAGCUUCUGUUGAUAGCAAGAAGAGAAGGGAAGCAGCUGAAAAGCAAUGGAGACAGGAGGAAGUAGUACACAAGGGGGUGAUAUGAGGCUUAACGAUUCCGUAACGCUGAGGGAGAUAGCCAGUGAAGCACGGGAAAAAGCCAUGUUCGACCGAAUGGAACGGAUGGAAAAGCAGAUGGAGACCUUGACAACCAUCCUGCAUGAGCUGCGAAGCGAACGAAGGGUAACCCAGGAAGAAAGGGUGAGAGGUGAUAGAGUGGCACCAGGUCCGGAUAAUACGAGGAGAAGUCAGACCAUCGGGAGAUUUGGUGAGGAAAGAGGUAACAUACCCCAGCGAGGAGAAUUCCAUAGAGAGGGAGAGCAGUCCCCGGCAAGACAGAUUUUUGACGAGGACGAUGGGGUGGCGAACGCAGAGGAAACAGUGCUGAGGCAACAUUUACAUAAUGUAGAGCAAGAGCGGGAUCAAGUUGCAGCACGUGACCCUAGUCGUGCAGUGCAGCUGGAGGAGGAAGUGCGCAGACUAGCGCAGAUAAUUGACGACAUGCAAGGGAGGAGCAGAGCUCCUGGUUGGAGGAUAAUGCUGGACGGAGAAUCACUGCUCGCAGCAGAGAUCAUGAGGGCAGUUAUUCCGAGAGAUUUCCGCCUCCCAGACCUAAAAUAUUCGGGAAGAACUGAUCCGCUGGUACACAUAGAGCGCUUCAACGACAUAACUGGGGUACAAGAAUUAUCUCAAUCCCAAAGGUGCAGAGUGUUCCCACUAUCCCUUGAGGGACGUGCACGAGAGUGGUACAGGAAACUUCCUCGGGGCAACAUUAAAACCUUCGAGCAAAUGUGCCAGGAAUUUGCGGAGCAGUUUAGUGGGGCAAUGGCACCAGAAGAUGACAUGAUGGAGCUGAAAAGCAUGAAACGGGGAGAGCAAGAAACCCUUCGGGAAUUCAUCAAGAGGUUUCAUCGUGCUGUCCUCGACUUGGGAGCCUUCAACCACCCUCAGUCGUUAAGGGGGUUGAAAGAAGGGGUGAAGAUAGGAAGGCUGUGGUACAACUUAAGAAGCCCAAUUAUUCAGACGUAUGCGGCCGCAUACGAGCAGGCUAAGAGAGACAUUGAGAUUGAAGAGGAGAAGGCCGCACAGAUUAAAACAGACCAGUUAGAAGGGUUGGGGAGGAAAUAGAAGAGAGCAUUACCAGGGAAUGGGCCGAUCAGGAGGAGGGACCACCAGACCUCGGGUAGUGGAGCAGGAGGUCGGGUAACUGCUUACCAACCCCAUCAGAGGCCACCACAGUAUCAGCGCAGCAGGGCGCAACCUCCUCGUUCCCCAGCUAGGGAGCCUUGGAGAAGACAUGAUUCGGCAUAUGGUGGUCUUCAUCAACAUUCCCACGGUAGCAGAGGGAGCAGACCAGAAUUACUGCCAACGCCCUCAACUCAGAACGGAGCAAACAGAGAAAGAGCAGUGCACCUGAUCGACCAGAACCAGGACUAUGGGCGGUAUACUUCCUUGAAGAUGUCCCUGGAUGAGGUGUAUGAAGCCAUAAAGGAUCGAGGGCUGCUGUACCUCCCUGCCCCAAUAACAAAGCCAUCCAGCAGGAGGGAUAGGGGACGCUAUUGUAAGUUCCAUGGCACUCAUGGCCACACCACAGCAGAUUGCAAGGAUCUCAGGACCCAGGUUGAAGAUUUGGUGAGAAAUCGGUAUCUGGACGAGUUUAUAGAUGGGACAUUCCCAAUGGUAGCAUCAACAAAUGAAGGGGAGCAGAGUGACAGGAAUUUGAGGCGCGAGCAGCCUACAGUAAGGGUGAUAGCUGGGGGGCCCAACAUUGGCUGGAGAUUCCAACAGGUCGAGGAAGAAUUAUGCUAGAUACGCCAUGAUCGGCAAAGAGGUAUUCUUCAACACCCCAGCAGCCAAACGUGCAAGAGUUAGGCAAGUGCCAAUCAUGUGGACAGAUGAGGAUGAGGAAGGGAUUUUAUACCCUCACGAGGAUGCUUUGGUCAUCAAGGCCACUGUUGCUAGCAAGAAGUUUGACAGGAUACUGGUUGACACAGGGAGCUCAGUUGACGUAUUGUUUAAGUCAACCCUGGAGGAGAUGGGAAUAGCAGACCGGAAGUUGGAAUAUACCAACACCUCCUUGAAAGGGUUUGAAGGAGGAAAGCUGAUCCCUCUGGGCCUGGUCGAGCUGCCUAUCACAAUUGGGAGCUCCCCGACAGAAAGGACAAUGAUGCUGGACUUUGUGGUGGUAGACGAAGAAGGCCCUUACCAGAUGAUCCUAGGCCGGCCAUUUCUGAGGAUGAGCAAAGCGGUGCUGUCCAACCAUUAUCUGGCUCUGAAGUACCGGGUGAAUGGGGUAGUUGGAGUGGUACGAGGAGACCAGAGGAUCACAAGAAGCUGCUACUCCUCGGCAGCAAGGGAAGCAAUGCAGAUAACAUCCCUCGAUACCCGAGUAGAAAACAAGAAGGGCCAUAUAGAGUCAAGCAGAUGGUGGGACCCGGAGCUUACAAGUUGGUUCGCACGGACGGCCACGAGGUGAAACGCCCAUGGAACGCAGCACACCUCCGAAAAUACUUCCAGUAAGACUUGUUCACAUUUUAAAGCAAUUUCUGCUCGUGCUCUUUAUCUUUUAUUUUUAUGUUUUACGUCAAAGCAAGUUCAUGUAAAAUCAAAACCUGCAAUUAAUGGAACGUCGAGGAAUGUCAUUCACUUGAAACUGUGAUAAAUUUUCUAAGGCAUGCAAAGGCUCGUGAAGUCUCAAGGCCUGUUUUAUGGCGAGACAGAAGCCAAGCAUGCCAGGAUCUGCUCGACCACGUGAAGGCGAGCAGAAUCCCCAAGCAUCGAAGAAGUCACUAAGGCAUGCAAAGGCUCACCAAGUCUCAAAGCCUGUUUUAUGGCGAGACAGAAGCCAAGCAUGCCAGGAUCUGCUCGGCCACGAGAAGGCUAGCAGAAUCCCAAGCUUUGAAGAAAUCAUCUAAGGCAUGCAAAGGCUCACCAAGUCUCAAAGCCUGUUUUAUGGCGAGACAAAAGCCAAGCAUGCCAGGAUCUGCUCGGCCACGAGAAGGCUAGCAGAAUCCCAAGCUUUGAAGAAAUCAUCUAAGGCAUGCAAAGGCUCGUCAAGUCUCAAAGCCUGUUUAUGGCGAGACAGAAGCCAAGCAUGCCAGGAUCUGCUCGGCCACGAGAAGGCUAGCAGAAUCCCAAGCUUUGAAGAAAUCAUCUAAGGCAUGCAAAGGCUCGACAAGUCUCAAAGCCUGUUUAUGGCGAGACAGAAGCCAAGCAUGCCAGGAUCUGCUCGGCCACGAGAAGGCUAGCAGAAUCCCAAGCUUUGAAGAAAUCAUCUAAGGCAUGCAAAGGCUCACCAAGUCUCAAAGCCUGUUUUAUGGCGAGACAGAAGCCAAGCAUGCCAGGAUCUGCUCGACCACGUGAAGGCGAGCAGAAUCCCCAAGCAUCGAAGAAGUCACUAAGGCAUGCAAAGGCUCAUCAAGUCUCAAAGCCUGUUUCAUGGCGAGACAGAAGCCAAGCAUGCCAGGAUCUGCUCGACCACGUGAAAGCGAGCAGAAUCCCCAAGCAUCGAAGAAGUCACUAAGGCAUGCAAAGGCUCACCAAGUCUCAAAGCCUGUUUUAUGGCGAGACGGAAUCCAAGUAUGCCAGGAUCUGCUCAACCACGUGAAGGCGAGCAGAAUCCCCAAGCAUCGAAGAAGUCACUAAGGCAUGCAAUGGUUCACCAAGUCUCAAAGCCUGUUUUAUGGCGAGACAGAAGCCAAGCAUGCCAGGAUCUGCUCGACCACGCAAAGGCGAGCAGACUCCAAAGCAUUCGAAAAAUUUUCAAAGGCAUGUAAAGACUCGCCAAUUCUCAAAGCCUGUUUUAUGGCGAGACAGAAGCCAAGCGUGCCAGGAUCUGCUCGACCACACGAAGGCGAGCAGAAUCUCAAGCAUUGAAGAAUUUUCCAAGGCAUGUGGCGAAACCAUAUGCCAAGCCAGAACUUGCUCAAUCAGACGAAGACGAGCAGAUUCUCAAACGAAAAAUAACUCAUGAUUACAACACAAGAAAGUAAUCAAAAAACAUUUUUUAAUUUGUUAAUAAUUAACAGAGGAGAGAAUCUUCACUAACAUGGUUCAUUACAAGACAAGAAAUAUAUCAAGAAGAUGGUGGAUCAGUAAGCCGAGCAGUGUCGGCGGGCUGGGCCUCCUCAGGUGCGGGGGGGGUAUCACCAGUUGCGUCUGGGGGGUGCUCGCCUCGCCAACAUCAACAGGGAUUGCACGAGGAGGAGAGCUUUCCUCCUCAAUCACGAUUGGCUCCACCCCUUGGGCAUUUUCCUUGGCAGCCUUUUCCAGUCCCACGCGACCAAGAACCACUGAGUUUCUACUGCUGGUCCAUUACAUUACCCAACACCAGAAACUGGGGGACCGGUGUUUGAGGGAAAUACUUCGGUGAGACCAGACGUGAUGAACAGAUGUUUGGUGGCAGAAUUCUGCGAGCAGGUGUCUCCUGUAAGAGCCAGGUAGCAAGGGAACAGGAGCAGGAAUAUUCUGCUCGUCCACGAAUAUGCCAUUCGCGAGGCCGAACCCUUGCUAGAGGCAUAGGGUCACUCCCGCUAGGGUUCGAGAAGAGGAGACCCGGUCAACGGCAAUUGGCGAGACGUGCCUUCCUAUCCGAGAAUCAAGGCACGAGGUCCAUCUCCAUUCGCCCAUCAUGACGAUAAUGGGACAUCCACAUCCGAGCGUGGGGAGAACAACGGGCGUAAGCUGCGGAAGACCGGGACUCAGAGGAAGCCUAUAAAAAGGUAGCCAACGAAGGUAAAAGGGUUAGCAAUUUUGAGAUUAGAAGAGAAAUAAAAGCAAUUCUAAAGAAGAAAAAACUACCCAAAAGCCAUAAAAUCUGUGGCAAGCGUUCCCCGAACCUUCAUAUCUGACUUGAGCGUCGGAGGGUUUGUGCCGGGAAAACAACCGGCGUACUCUGACCUGUCUGUGUGCGCAGGAACCUCUGGAGAAGAAUCUUUACGAGGAGAGAUCCUGGUCGUGGUGAAGUUGAUCGAGCAGAGACCCUGGUCGUAGAACGAGGACAACCAGAAUCUCGCAUCAACAAUAAGGUAAAGACAUGCUCCAUACAAAAAAAAAUUAUUACAGUCGAAAGUACCCAGAACAUAAUUUGAAUUGAAUUCACAAUAAAGGAGCUACAUUUUUUUGCACUCAAUAAUCAACCCACUAGACAAUUCACAACAAGAAAGAGCAAUCUUAUCUCGCUAACCUGUGCCAGUGAGGAAUGGGGGUACCAAAGCCAUGGACAAGGAGUAGAGGAGGAGAAUCGGGAUGUGAAUUUGGAGUUGAAGAAACCAAGUAAUUGAUGGAGUACUGACCCUUCCAUUUCCACAUUUUGCAACUCUCCCUUAUCUCAUUAACCUCCAGUUCUAGUGCAGCAGAAGCAGAAUCCCCUCCACUGCUACUGUUAGUAUAACUGAUGGUAACAUUUUGUCUCUUCUUCUUCUCCUUAUUCCUCUGCUGCAACUCCAACUGCAACUGAAACUGCCAACUCUUAUUGCUCAAUAGGGGCAAGCGCAGGCCUUUUACAUCUCCAUUUCCAUUUCCAAUCCUGAGUGUUGUUAUUGAAAUAAUGAAAGAGGGAGCCCGAGCCCUUACCAUCCACACGCUCAUUCUUUUCUUGCUUUUUCAAUUGAAUAUUUUCUGUGGCCUGGCUUGGUCUGCUCCUCCCCUGCUUCCACCUCUAUGAGACUGUGGCUAUGACAAAAACUUUUUAUGUCCUUAUUUAUUUAUUGGGCUUGUUCCACUAUUAUAUGAAAAUUUUACUGAUAUUCCUCAAAAAUCAAAAUGACAAUACUUCGUCUAAAAAAUAAUUAUAAAACAUACAUGCUAUGUUUUAAAAUUUUCAAACAAAGAAGAACUUAGUAGAGUUAAUUAACUAGAUUUAUUUUAGUUUACUUUCUUGUGAUUUAGAUUAUUUUAUUAUAUUUAGCUACAAAGAUUAUUUUGUCAUGAGUUUAAAUUGAUUGUUUUACCCUUAUAAGGUAAAACUAUUAAGAAUUUACUUAAUUUCAAUAUUUUUCUAAUUUUAUUCCAAACUCAUUGUUUCUAAUACUACUUUACUAGUAUGAGUUUUAAUCUUUAAUUAAACUAAAAUAGUAUCUUUAGGGCACGAUACUCAUGUAAAUUAUUGGGAUGUCAAUUUUAUGUUAUUUACACACUAAAGUAGAGAAAAUCACAAUUAAAUUUUAUUUUAAAAUAUUAUAUUAUAAGCCACAAAAUUAGAUACAUAAAUUAUUAGAUAAAAUAACUCGUGUUUAUUAUGGUAAUUUAGUCGCUAUAUAUCAUAAUUAUAAAAUACUAAAAUAAAACUUGUAUUAAAGUUUAUGAUUAAAGAUGGUCAAAGAACCCAAGAAGAAAAUCGAUAGAAGGAUCUAAUUUAUUAACUAUACGAAAUUUUUAUUAAUUUGUAUUUUUUAAAAAAUAUUGUGAAUUCAUUGCAAUUAAUAUCUAGAAAUAGGGUGGAUUUAUAAAAAUAGUGGGGUGUAAAUAACCUUAUCCAAAUACUCCAUAAAAAGUGAAAAUUAUUACCCUUUUCGAUGUACUUCUCUUAAAUUUUUUAUUCCUAAGGAUAAACUUCAAUUCAUUCCCAAAUAAAAUGAUAAUCUCUAAUUUGCUCUCAAUGAAACCUCAAUUUAUUCUUUAUUUUCGUCCAAAAGAUGAGGGGCAAAUAAGAAAUGUAUUGAUGGAUUUCUUUUUUUUAAUCUUCUUAACAAUAAAUGGGGUAAAUUAAUAUUUUUCUACUUUUAGGUGAUAAAUUAAAGAUUUUCAUUCUGAAUUGGGGGCAAAUUAAAAUCUAUCUUAUUUCUAAAGGCACCAUGUGACUAUUUUGCCUAACCAAGAGAACCAUUAUUCAAACACCAAUCGCAUUUUUUUUUUAACAAACACACUUUCAUUUAUUCUUUAAGCUUUUUUUUUUCCCAAAAAAUGAUGAAUAGAUAUUGAAAAUUUUGUUUUCAUUUUUUUAUUGAAAAAAUGAAAAACAACAAAGAUUACUGCUUCCUUGUCCAUACUUUUUCGUCCUAUAUUACCUUAAUUUUAAUCGUUUUCUCUAUUUUUAUUUUUAUAGUCCAAUUCUGAAAAUACACUAUUAGACACAUUUUUAAAUUUAAAAACACAAAACAUAGUGCAUCAUUUUCAUUAUAGGCAUUAACACCUGACGUACACAUUCUCCAAAUGGGAUUAAUGGAAAAAAAAUAAAUAAAUAAAGGUGAGUCCUUCGGCCAAUCUUAUAGGUUCUAACGUUUUGAAGGUAAGUUUUAUCUUGUAACAUUCCCACAAAAUUUAAAAUCAACUGGGACGAAAAUUUUGAAAAUACUAUGAUUAGCACAAGCAUUUCAACAAUAGAGGAUGUAAUAAAAGCUCAUUGAGUUGAAACUUGAAAGCAAAAUUAGGGCAAGGUCAUUUCUUUAAAAGAAUAAGGCAAGAUGCACGACAUGAAAUACCUGUGCCAAGCCUCAAAAGAUUCACCAAGCCCAGUAUUUUGCUUGCCCACGGCAUAAUUACACUUGGCUUCCCAAACAAAUAAUUGCUGGAGCUCGGACAAUGCUAGUAUUCAAUUUAACUUCAUAAAUAUCAGCCGGAGCAUAAUUACACUUGGCUCCCUAACAAAUAAUGCUGGAGCUCGGACAAUACGAGUAUUCAAUUUAACUGUACAUAGAUGCGCGGGGUUUUGGGGGUAAGUAAAAAGACGUGCCACUAUCAGUUGAGGAGUGCAUAAGAGAGUUACAUCUAUCAAAUACUAUCCGGCCCCCUCGGCCAAUUCUUCCAUGAAAUUUGUGAGUUCGUGCUAUAGUGCCAUUCCUCGUAGAAGAAUCUGACGGCGGAACAAUACCUGCAGCGUCCAAUUUUUCUGGCACAAGGGGUUUUGUGAACAACAAAACUGGCUCGAGAGGAUCCUGAAACCCCACAGUUACAUUUUCAAAAUGAUGCACUGCUGAUAUUCAGAAAUAAAACAAGGAUAAAACAUUUUCUAAAGUUUACUUAAAUCAUUUUUCUUUCCAACCACAGAUAGGUCAAUAAGUCAAAUAUGUGAGGAAAAAUACUAAAGAAACUGAAGCUGACAGAGGGCAGGCAGAAUUAACUACAAAACCACCAGAUUUAUCGUGUUCUUGUCCUGUUAAUUAAUUGUUUUCAAUUAACACGGUAACCCGGCUCGGGUGUUAACUCUGUUUCUGUCAGUGCUCUGUUGAAUAUUUCUGUUUAAAAAUCAGCACUCCCAUGUAAGUAGUAUGGCAGCAGCAAAAUAUCAUGUGUAAUAAUUAGGCUACUGGUUCUGGGUCCAGGAAUCGAGAUAAUCAGAUUAGGUGCAAAAGCUAUAUGUACCGAUUUAUGUAGCCAUGCAUAAUAUAUUCAUUUUUUACUUGCAAAUUCUUCCUUUUCACAACUUUAGGUACAACUUUUCCUUUCCUUUUGAAGGCCCACUCCACUGGCAUAGAGAGUAAAAAGAGUUUCUUAUUAAUAAUUUUAGGAGGAUGCUUCUGCCACGACAAGUAAAACCAUAAACAAAUGAUUUCACCACAUUUCAAGAAAGCAUUUAACUUAUGCCUCAUUUUCAUUCUAGCAAUUUGCUUGCCAUUGGCUGAUUGGAAAAAGUGCAUUUAAGUUAUAGAUUACUGUCAACCUAUAGCACGAAUAGGGGUUAAACAAAGUAAAUCCCUACCUUUACAUGUCAAAUAAAAGACUUUCAUAAUCAACUAUCAAAACUCAUGUCUAGUAAAGGAUUCCCCAAUGCUGGCUCUCAAAAUUGCUUUUGUUUCAUGGAUGAGAUGAUCGAUUUUGUGGAUAUUCUGCUCAACUUGGAUUAUGACUUGGGUCAGAUCCCAACUUGCUGCAAAGCUCACCUGACUAAAUCUUAGUUGAUUUGCUUUUCCAAACUAAAUCCAAGCAAGUAAGUACAAGAGAUAAAAGCAAAAGUUCAAGCAUCUCAUUUGAGCCUGUCACUAACAAAUGGUCAACAAGCAAUGUCUAGCUAUGACUGAGCAACAGAA
rnacentral:lncRNA from 1 species